UUUAUUUAUUUAUAUUUCUUUGUACCUUUUGUGAAUUAUACAGGUAUACAUGUGUAUACAAUAAAGCUCAUAAACAAAUAUAGCCAUUUUGUCUUUAUUGUUAUGUGACUUCUUUCUUUGUUAUACAGAGUAUUAAUGAAAAGGGAUUAAGUGAUGAAGGGAAACAUAUUUGUGUAGUAAAAGUUGGAGAAGUAAUCAGGCAUUAUCACAUUUUCUUUCUUUUGGUAAUCAGUGUGAGCUGCAUCCACGCCUAGGUUUUUGUAGCUAGAGGGAAAAAAGACAAAUUAGUAUUAAGAGAGAUUAUAGGAUUUCCUAUACAUAGGAAUAAUUAAAAGUAAUUACAGUCAGAGCUGUCCAAUUUCAGUGCCUCGGGUACACAACCAUUUUGGUGAGUUUUGCAUAUUACUCUUACCUAAUUUAUAACACACAGAAAAUAGGUGGAGCAAGUGGUGAUAAUUAAAUAAGAAUGUACUUCCCUCUCUUCUAACUUUCUCACUGUAAUUUAGCUAUUUUUAUUUAACACACAUUUGAACAAACGGUCGAUAGUAGACUACCUUUGUAAAAUGAACAAUGUAUAAUAGCGAUAAUGCUUAAAAAAAAAAUAUAAAAAUACUUACCUGUCAAUGUACCCUAUCCCCAGAAUCUGUGAGAUUUGCAACGAACAACAAAUGGAUAUAUGAUAUUGCUGUGCUUUCUUAAUAAAUCCUGAUUUUCCCAUUUUUAUCAGGAUGAUUUCUUGGUUUUGCAUGAUGGUCUUUAAGUGCACUUUUCUUUGCAUGUUCUACAAUCCUUCUACGUGUUUCAACUUCUACUGUGAACUUUUAAAAGACCAGGAAGUGGCUCUGCCAAUACUGAUGCUUCUAUUAUUUUAUUCGUAAGCUACUGAACUUAUUAAUGUCUCUGAGUGCCACAGACAGGGUCAGACUAGCCCAUCUUUUCCAGUUGGCCCCCAUACCUUCAGGGCCUGUGCACAGCCGCCUAGGGUGCACUGGCCCUUGGGCGCAAUUGCUUAGCACUGCCUGUCACUACAUGUAGCAUGCCCGAGCGGACUGUAGUACAGGAUCUCCAUUUUUUCCAGGACUACUGCUAGUUCCAAGGCUGGCCCAGGCCGCAGGCAACUGGAACUGCAAGGGAGACCUUAAAUUGAUCUGCUCCUAAUAGACCACAAUGCUCCAUCACUGGACCUCCAGGGACCACAUUACCUACCACAAGGUAAGGAAUAAAGUAGGUAAAGUUGUGAGGAGUUGCUUCCUCAUGUACAUUUAACCUCCUCAUGUUAGAAGAGAUACUACAGGUUGAACUGAGCCUUACCGAUAAUGCAAAAAUAAAUAUUAUGAAAAUGUAUAAUGAAAAGAAAGUAAUCUUCAAAUAGCCUAUACUCUCUGCAAACUGUGAAGAAAAUUCUACAUUGAACUUUGCCAAGACCAACAUGUGGCUCUGGCAAUCCUGGUAUUCCUGAUAUGUUAAUUGGUUGCUGAGUAAACCCCAUAAAACCAUAACCAGCAGGGAAUUUAAUGCAGUUCAGCACAUGGUGUGAGUACUGUUCAUUAUGUAGGGUGAAUCAGGUAAAGAGUAGAAGUAGAGUUGUAUAGCAUAUGCAUCCAAUGCUAGCUCUUGUACCUGCAGAGAGGUAGUAUUACCUUCCCAAUAUGAUGUAUCACAGGUAUGUGUUUAAGUAAUAGUUUUUUGAUUAAACUAUGAAAUUACAUAACAAGCAUCCAUUGCAAGACACUCCAAAUCACCACACUAUCAAUAAACAUAAUAGGAAAACANNNNNNNNNNNNNNNNNNNNNNNNNNNNNNNNNNNNNNNNNNNNNNNNNNNNNNNNNNNNNNNNNNNNNNNNNNNNNNNNNNNNNNNNNNNNNNNNNNNNAAAUUUGAAAUACACUCACAUGUAAACGGGCCUUUUCCUAUAGGCUGUAUUUGCAAAGUGGACACCUAUUUAUUGGGGUGGUGUUACACUCCAAAGAAAUACAGGAAAUCUCCAAAUUAAGGAAAAUUCAAAUUUAUUAGACAAAUAAAGAUACAAAUAUAAAAUCACAAUAAAACAAUAAAUGGGGCUUGUCCAAAAAGCAUUUCACCUAUUCAGGCUUCCUCAAUCAGUAAUAAAGCCACUUGUGUAUUGGUGUUUAUAUAUCCGUAUAAUGAAUUAUUAAUCACGUCUUUCUGUGGCCAAAUGGGUCCGACGUGUGUUCCACCUUUCAGAAACAGAUAGUUCAAGCCUUGUUUCACUAUGCCAUAAGCCCCAUUAGUCCACUCAGCAGAAUUCUCCCCUCCUUUCAUUCAAAGAUUGCCUCCACGAGUCAAACCUCAUUCUGACUCUAGUGGCGUCCAUCUUUGCAUUACAACCAUUGCAUUCCACCACUCGUUCUUAGUCAAAUCCACCUUCUGUGCAGUAGUAACUGGUGUGUUCUAUCAUAUUAAGCGAAGGGCAAUCAGUGCAUAUAUUAUAUGGAGGUAUAAUACAAAGAUUAUUAGACAGGAAAAAAAGAAAAUUGAAGAUAAAAAAAAAUUAGAAACUAAAACAGAUAUAUUCCUGAUAACAACAAACAAUAAAGUAAUCAUUCUAAAAAAGUAACACAAUUUAGUACAAAAUGCAAGAAAUGGUACAAAAUACAAGAGAUGGUACAAAAAUGGACAAUUUUCAUGUGCACUUACACUGAUCAACCACAACAUUAAAACCACCUGCCUAAUAUUGUGUAGGUCCCCUCGUGCUGCCAAAACAGUUCUGAAAUUUCAAGACAUGGACUCUACAAGCCCUCUCAAUGUGUCCUGUGGUAUGUUUCACCAAGACAUUUGCAGCAAAUCCUUUAAGUCCUAUAAUGUGUGAGGUGAGGCCUCCAUGGAUUGGAUUUGUUGUUCCAGCACAUCCCACAGAUGCUCAAUCGGAUUUAAAGGCCAAGGGCACUCUGACCUGUCUGUGGCUACAGAGUUUUCCAAGUUUUUCUGCAAUUUGAGCUACGGUAGCUCUUCUGUGUAAUCGGGCCAGACAGGCAAGCCUUCGCUCCCCAUGUACAUCAAUAAGCCUUGAGCUACCACGGCUCUGACGACUUUUCACCGGUUGUCCUUCCUUGCACCACAUUUGGUAGGUACAAAUCACUACAUAGCAGAAUCACCCCACAAGUCUUGCUGUUUUGGAGAUCUUCUGACACAGUCAUUAUUUGUUCUUUGUCAAAAUCACUAAGAUCUUUUUGCUUGCUCAUUUUUCCUGCUUCAGACACAUCAAAUCCUGACUGUUCACUUGCUGUCUAAUAUAUCGCACCCCCUGACAGGUGCCAUUGUAACAAUAUAAUAAAUUUUAUUCACUUCACCUAUUUGUGGCUGAUCAGUGUAUGCAGAAUACAAACUUAUACAAUUUUACAUUUCUGCAUUUACCAGGCCACAACUGUAUGUGUUAGGAGAGUCCUGCUUCUUCACAAAUUAGCUUGAAAAAAACAGAAAGGGAAAAUGUCUAAAGAUUAUUCAUACCAUAACCACUACAAUUAGCUGUACGACAAGCAACAAUGUUUCUGUUCCAACUACUCCAAUGCAAUGUGUACCCAGGUUGUGUCUCGAAUAUAGGGAAGAGCUAACAAGUCCUUCCACGCUAUCUGUUUGUCCCCUGUGGCACUUGUCAGAUCUCCUAUGCUGGAAUGAACUAAAUCCUAAAGUCAAUUGCUAAAUCUUUAAAAUAAAUGAAAAGAAAGCAGAGUAUGAACUUUUAGAUAUGCGUCAUUUCCAGAGAAGUGUCUUAUUACCUUUAAUCAGGGCCGGACUGGCCCACCGGGAUACUGGGAAAUUUCCCGGUGGGCCGUCGGCACCUGGGGCCGGGCAGGCAGCUGGCUCUUCUAGCGGCCACAGGGGGAGCUCUUUUGGCUGCCACAGGGGGAGCUCUUUCGGCGGCAGCAGGGGGAGCUGGCUGUUCUGUCUCUGCUCCCCUGCCCUCGCGCGUUAGAAAGAGACCGGGACCGGAAUAUAACGUCAUAUUCCGGCCCGGUCCCAUUAAGCUGCGCGCUGGGGCGGGGGAGCAGAGAUAGAACAGCCAGCUCCCCCUGUGGCCGCCGAAAGAGCUCCCCCUGCGGCCACCAGAAGAGCCAGCUCCCCCAUGCCGCCGCCAUCAUACUGAGCUCCCCCUGCGGCCGACAGCACACAGGUAGAAAUUAUGUGUAUCAGUGUGAGUGUAUGUGUGUGUCUCUGUGUCAUUGUGUGUGUGUCUCUGUCUGUCAUGGUGUGUGUGUGUCUGUCUGUGUCAUGGUGUGUCUGUCUGUGUCAUGGUGUGUCUGUCUGUCUGUCAUGGUGUGUCUGUCUGUGUCAUGGUGUGUGUGUCUGUAUUUCAUGGUGUGUCUGUCUGUGUCAUGGUGUGUGUGUCUCUGUUUGUGUCAUAGUGUAUGUGUGUGUGUGUCUGUCUGUGUCAUGCAAUGUGUCUCUGUGUCAUUGUGUGUGUCUUUCUGUGUCAUGGUGUGUGUGUGUCUCUGUCAUGGUGUGUGUGUCUGUCUGUGUCAUGCAAUGUGUGUGUGUGCCAUUGUGUGUGUGUGUCUGUCAUGUAAUGUGUGUCUGUCUGUGUCACGGGUUGUUUGUGUCAUGGUGUGUGUGUUUGUCAUGGUGUGUGUGUGUGUGUCUGUCUGUGUCAUUGUGUGUGUCUUUCUGUGUCAUGGUGUGUGUGUGUCUCUGUCAUGGUGUGUGUGUCUGUCUGUGUCAUGCAAUGUGUGUGUGUGCCAUUGUGUGUGUGUGUCUGUCAUGUAAUGUGUGUCUGUCUGUGUCACGGGUUGUUUGUGUCAUGGUGUCUGUCUGUGUCACGGUGUGUGUGUGUCUGUGUCACGGUCUCUCUGUGUUGUGGUGUGUGUGUCUGUGUGUCAUGGUGUGUCUGUCUGUCUGUGCCAUGUAAUGUGUGUCUGUGUCACAGUGUUUGUGUGUUUGUGUCACGGUCUGUCUGUGUUAUCGUGUUUGUGUGUGUCAAGGUGUCUGUGUGUCUUUUUUAAGGUGUGUGUCUGUCAUGGUAUGUGUGUGUGUCUGUCACUGUAUGUGUGUGUCUCUGUCAUGGUGUGUCUGUGUUUCUGUCUGUGUCACGGUGUGUGUGUGUCUGUGUCAUGGUCUGUCUGUGUCAUGGUGUGUGUCUGUCAUGGUACAUGCUUUUUUCAAAUUUUUUGUAUGGAUACUUUUUAUUAUUGUAUAACGCUAAAGUAGCCCAUUUUGACAAGUCAUAUUCUAUAAACCUAAUGCCACCUCUUCUGAGAUUAACUCAAUAGGGCAAUGCUUUCUCCUGGGGCUCUUAGCAGUGCAAGACUAAAUAGGGCUGCCGCAUCAGGCACCUGUAACAGCGAGGGGUGAAAACCAGGGGAGUUAUGUUUUAUGAGCUUUGAAUUUGGUUGUUUAAUGAAUGAGUUGGCAAGCGCUCUGGAUUCUGCAUGUGUUCUUUAUUGAUUGGCUCCAGCAGUAUCCUUGUAAUGUAUGCAUGUAUAAGUGUCUAGUGAAUGGAACAUGUAGUUAGUGUGGGCUACAAUUGAGCAUACAUAUAAAUACUGAAAAUAAAGCACCCAUGGCCCUUUGUCUCAUCUGCAAUCAUGUAUGCUUGCAAAUAUAUCAACAGAUAUUUUUCACAAAAUUCUUGACAUGAGCUUUUGGGUACCAGUUUCAGUUUGAGUAUGUUAGCCUAACACCAGAAUGAGUAAGCAUUAUCCUGGUUUGGAUUUCAAAUGCUCUAUUUCCAUACAUAGAGUUGUACAACUUACAGAUCAAAGUGGCAGACAAUUAUCCUUGAUACAAGGGUUAAAAUGUUCCAUUAGUCCACUAGCUGUUGGCAUGUGAAAAUUCAGCCCUGGUGAGUAGACAUUAACCCCAGGUGAGUGUGCCUUGGGCCCUCCAAGCGUGCAGUGACACGUAUUUUUAAGGCUUGGGUAGUAGCAUAAGUACUUGACAUUUUGAAUCCUGCUAUAUACAGUUACUCCAUAGGUGUAAAUUUAACCAAUUUGCCCAAAUAUUUACUUAUAAAUCUGUUUAUUACAGCAAGAAGGUAACUAGAGAUAUCUUUGCCAGAAGCUCAAGGAAGCAAGGUGAAAGGUUAGUGUAGGACCCACCUGAGAGGUCUGCCUUGACGUGGCAGGUGGGCUAAACUCUCUCAUGGCCUUUGGAGAAACUAAAAAACCUCCAUUUGUUAAAAUAUGCAUAGGGAUUUGGGAAGAGCUCAGGUAACUUUUUUUUCUUUGGUUUUUACUGUACUAUUGGGGCUGAUGUGUACUAUGGUCGUUGCUGCUGGCAGGAGAGAUGGGAGUUUGAGCACAGGACUUGUUUUUUUGUAUUCACCCUUGUAUCACACAGCUAUGUUACAAUUCUGCCACCCAUCCCAUGUGUUCCUUAUUAGGGGUUAAUAAGCAUGUAGGGGUGUAUAUAUAUAUAUAUAUAUAAAUAUAAAAAAUACCCCUUUCUGUCUCAUUAGAGAUAUAUUUGCCAGAAGCUCAAGGAAGCAAGGUGAAAGGUUACUGUAGGACCUAACUGAGAGGUUUGCCUUGACGUGGCAGAUGGGCUAAACUCUCUCAUGGCCAUUGGAGAAACUAAAAAACCUCCAUUUGUUAAAAUAUGCAUAGGGAUUUGGGAAGAGCUCAGGUAACUUUUUUCUUUGGUUUUUACUGUACGUAUUGGGGCUGAUGAGUACUGUGGUCGUUGCUACCGCCCAGGAGUGAUGGGAGGUAGAGUGCAGGACUUGUUUGUUCAUGUUAAUAUUGAUACAUAUUUAGGUUUUACAGUGACGUGGGUGUGCUCCUGACAUGCUCCGACCUUCAAAGUGUAGCAUCACCUCUAUCUGCACCUAUCACAGUAGCACUAUGCAUGGUUACAAUAAUUACACAUAAAACAAGUAUAAACUCAGGACUAAAAAAAAGGAGGUGGAGGAUACUGGAGACAAUGCCUUUGUGUGCAUUGUCAGUAACACAAUCCACAUCACUGCUGAUGAUUGUGGCUGUGAGCAGGAUGACAAAGUGCAUGUGUGUUUACAGAGCUGUCCUAUGGGGUGUGCAUGUGGCUAUAUGUGACAGUAUAUGUGUAUAACUAUGAGCACCUGAUUGUGUUGUUUUAGACCAAACCAAGUAUUUGCUUGAAUAUCUGCCCCUGUCCAAAUGUCUUAAAUGUAAUAAAGUGUGCACGCUGAAGAAAUCCCACCAACACAAAAAAGUUCAGUUGAAUGAAAACUUCCAAGUGUAUUGUCAGGGGGCGGUGUAGCCCCUUAAAAGGGCAAAGAAUGCAAUGUAUGCAAAUACAGAAAGUAAACUUUUCAAUUGGUGAAGUGUUUUAGUAAAGUAGACAUUUAAUUGGUUAGGUGUUAAGUGUCUAAUCUUUAUGGACCUCCUCCAGAGGGUGUUGAUAUCAUCGUCAUCUUAGGUGUAACUCCGGAAGGAGAGGCCAUCUUACUACACGAGGGUCUUGGUCAAUGGGAGGGGGUGCUCUAGCAGCCAUUUUGAGUAAUAAAUGAACACAGGUAUACAAAGUAAAUAGACAUUUUACACACAUUCAUUUCUAUCCAUCACAGUGUCUCUCACGCCUACAAAAAUGCACACCUGAAUUCACACAUGGGCCUACAUGCAUGUUUUUAAAUCGAAUUAAACAAAUAUCACAUCCAUUACAUACAUAUAUCACACACAGUCAAUACAGCCAUAACAAUUACCACACACUGAGGCGGAGGCACAGACCAGAUUCCCAGCACACUUGAUCAGCAUAGAUUAGCACGUCCCUUGGGAGUGUGGCAACUUUAUAAUGUAGCAGCAGCAGCCAGCCCUUGCUGGAAGACGUUAAUCAAACCUUAUGGAAUCUGUUUACUUACUCAAUCAAGUGCCAGAUCUCUCCAGCUGUAGAAUUUUGAUUCAAUUCAAUCAUUAAACAAACCAGGAACCAAGUGUGAAAUGCAACAGUGUAGUUUAGCUACUGCAGACAGGCCAAGAUUAAAAUUCUAGCGUGUGCUGCACAGUCAUCUUUAAAAUUUGAGAUAUGGAUCUUUCUGACUUUAGUUGAAGUUGGGCGAAGGAAGGCCAACCCAAGAUGUGUCAAUAAAACAAAAUACCUUACUGACCUUGCUUCUUGUAACAUGCCUCAUUAUGUCCCUCCUGUAGCAGAUAGUACAAUAAGUAUAUUAUGAUAAAAUUGGUCAGGGCCGUCUUUAAUGCUGAUUGAACCCUGGGAAAGCAUUUGCUUGGGACCCCUGGUCCCCUCCCUCCCACCUUGUGGCAUGCAAACACGCCUUCCACUCAAAGACACACAUAAAGAAUACACAAAAAAAACACACACACAUAGAACAUAGACUUAGCCACACUAAAUAUACACACUGACACACAUACAAAUGCAAACACUGACACAAAUACAGAUACACACAUACACAAACUCAGAUAUGCACAGGUACAGACAAACAGAUACACAGACAUACAAAGACAGAUACACAGACACACAGGUGCAUAUACAGAUACACAGUGACACACAUACAGACACAAAGAAACACUCACUGACAAACAUGCAGACACACGCUAGCACACAUACAAAUAAACAGACACUCACCCUGACAUAUAUGCAGAUACACACAAUAACACACAUACAGCUACAUACACAGACACAAAUGCAAUAAAACAGACAUACACUAACACAUACAGAUGCACAGACACACACACUGACACACAUACAGAUACACAGACACACACAGAUACACAGGGGCACACACUGACCCACAUGCAGAUACACAGGCAAAUGCACAUACAUUUACACAUAUAGACAGAUACACACACAGAAACACAUACAGACAUACAGACAGAUAGACAGAUACACAGAUACCCAUUUUACAGUGCUACGGAAUAUGAUGGCUCUAUAUAAAUAAUAAAAUAAUAAUAAUACACAUACAGACAGAGAGAGAGAGACACAUACAGACACACAGAUACACAUAUAAACAGAGAAACACACAGAAACACACAUACAUACAGACAGAUACACACAUACAGACACACAGAUACACAUACAGACAGAUACACAUAUAGGCAGAUACACACACAGAAACACAGACACACAUGCAUAUACACAUACAGCCAGAUACACACAGAGAUACACAGACACACAUGCAUAUACACAUACAGACAGAUACACACAUAUAAACACACAUACACAUACAGACAGAUAUACACACAAAUAGACACUCAUGGAAAAUAUACAUUUUUAGUCACCCUCCUUUUGGCUGCAGAAAGGUGACUUCCCUGGGGUCCAGUGGCUGGCUGAGGCUGUUGGGAGUCGGGCUCUCUACCAGUCCACGCUCCCCCUACCUUUCUCCCUUCCAUGCGGAACUCUCUGUGUUAGCUAGAAAGGAAGUGACUGCACGUCCUCCAAGUGCUGUCCUCAUCACUGGAGGCCCGCUACGCUGUUAAAGCACUGCAGCGCUGAACGGGCUCCUGCAGACUCAUUGCCAUCAGGUGAAACUAAGAGCAUGGGCCACCCAAUGGGCCCCCUCUACGUGUGGCCUGCGGUAGUAAGGGGCAGUCUGUUCAUAUGAUUUUUAAUAUUAUGUUUACUUAGCCUCUACAUUUAGCAAAUAUGUUUAAUUGAGGUCUGAAAAAUAAAAUUACAUCUAGAAAUCCACACCUCUGCCUUUAUUUGCAUCCUAGUACUAGAUGCCUCCAUUUUUAUUCCCUGUCAAUCAUUGAUAUAAAUGCUGCUUUUUUCUGCCAUUAAACAUGGUUAGUGAAAGAGGAGAAAUUGUACCAAUCCUUGCGUUUUCCUCCUCAUUUCCAUUGUCUACCCUGGCUGUACCCCGACAGAACCGAAUUGUGAUGUCACCUGCCACAUCUUCAAUUUACAUUUGAAAAGAAUACAGAUCCUCACAUGGAAAUGGUUAAACAAUUUAAAAGUUAUAUUCAAUGUUUCAUUCAGUUAUGCCAUUACUAGAAAUGUGACAAUUCCCCUUAAAACCAUUCUGUCCGUUUCAGGGAAAAGUGACUGGGUUAUUCAUGAAAGUGAACAUUUUUGGAAUUCAAAGUGAAUUUCAAAAUUUAGGACAAAAGAACCAAAUUAGAAAAUUUUUCCAAGCUAAUUCUGUUUUGAGUUUGAUUAUUUUGCCCUUAAAUUUGAAAUUCACUUUACACAAAUCUGCUUAUUUAAGCCUCUAUACAUAUCGUUACAUAGUUACAUAGUUACGUAAUUACAUAGCUGAAAAGAGACUUGCGUCCAUCAAGUUCAGCCUUCCUCACAUAUGUUUUUGCUGUUGAUCCAAAAGAAGGCAAAAAACCUAGUCUGUAGCGCUUACAAUUUUGCAACAAACAAGGAAAAAAUUCCUUCUUGACCCCAAAAUAGCAGUCAGAUGUCUACUUGGAUAAAGCAGCUAUUACCCCACUAAUUAGAAACUAUAUCCCUGUAUGUUAUGUUUUUGCAAGUAUUUAUCCUAAUUUAGUUUAAACAUCUGUAUGGACUCUGAUAAAGCCACCUCUUCAGGCAGAGAAUUCCAAAUCCUUAUUACUCUUACUGUAAAAAAAACCUUUUCUUUGCCUUAGAUGAAAUCUCCUUUCUUACAGCCUAAAUGUGUGACCGUGUGUCCUAUGUAUAGGCCUGUUUAUGAAUAGAUUUUUAGAUAAUGGUUUGUACUGGCCCUGAAUAUAUUUGUAUAAUGUUAUCAUAUCCCCUCUGAGUUGUCGAUUUCCAAACUAAAGAGAUUUCAAUUUUUUAACCUUUUUUAUUUUUUUAAUACACGCUCUCCAUUUUAUUCAAGAGUAAACAUAGUCUGAUCCUGGCUAAGAGAAAAUAGCUAGUAACUAGUCCUUCCUCACAUUUAGCUAAAUUGUGGUCAUAUAAUAUAAAUAUAAUGUCUGUUUCAGUAUGUGUGUCUGUUAGUGUGUGUAUCUGUGUUCUUUUGUAUCAGUGUGUGUGUUUGUGUCUGUGUGUGUUUGUGUCUGUGUGUGUAUUCCUGUGGGUGGGAUUUGGAGGUGGACCCUGUGGGCGGAAUUGGAGGCGGGCCCCAGGGGGCCCAGACCCUGAGCUGAGUUAGGGGCCCCAAAAUUUCUGGUGGCGGCCCUGCUUUUCAGUAUGCCUUGAGUACUGAUAUGGAAACCACUGCCUUAGAUGCAUGCCCCUUAUGAAGAAGAAUUGUUGAAAAAAGAAAACGUGGCAAACGUGUGAUAACAUCUCUGUAUAGUAUACAGUAGUUUAGAUUACAAUAAAGAAGUCAUGUAAAUAUAUAUAUAUAUAAUCGUUUUUGUACAGGGUUAUUGACUAAAAUGUGAAUCUUUGGAAAUUCAAAGCGAAUUUUAAAUUUAAGUAAAAAGGAUCUAAACUGGAAAGAUUCUCCAAAUCAGCUGUGCUUCCAGUUCCGCUACUUUUGGCUUGAAAUUUGAAUUUCACUUUCAAUUCACUAUAAAUUGCCAACAAUUCUCAUUUUGGUAAAAAAAAAAAAAAAAUUUGAAAAAUGAUUUAUUAUUAGUGUUUAGAACAUAGUAACAUCAUUCCUUGUGUUACAAAUGGGCCAACCACAUUUUAUUUGUUAAGGCCCUUUAAAACCAUGGCGUUUAACACUGACCUUUUUCAACAAAACAUUUUUCUUAAAAAGGAGGAAUUUGUGUUUGUGGGCCACUGACAAAUAUGUGAAAAUCCAGUAUCAAAAUAAUAAAGGUCAGACGUGGACAACACAGUCUCUAAAUUCUCUUAAUAAAAACAAAAAAAUGGAGAUAACUACAGUAAAGAACAAUAAAUAGAAACAAAUGUAUGCAAAAUGAGAGAAUUAGAGGACAGAAUAAAGGUCGGUGUAGUCUACACAGUUCUACACAGUUCUCGCUUAUCUACAUGAUUGUAACUUCUCUGGAUACAUUUUAUUAUAUAUAUGUCCCCUGGAUUCCAUUUCCCUUGACAAAGAAUGUCAAAGAAGUAACAGUUGGUUUGUCAACCACCCCCUAGGACUGAUCACAUAACACUAUUGUUCACACAUAGCAUGUUCACAUAUUACACAUAAUUUUGGUCUGAAAAAGAUACAGUAUAUUGAGGCAGUCAUGGUUCUAAUGUAAUUUAGAACUGAUUAUUUCUCAACCAUACCGUUACAAUAUUUCCAAAUAUCAGUGUCAAGGCUGCUAUUCACCUGGUGUACCUGGUUCCCACCUGUCAUUAGUCCAUGUAUGUGGCAUUGCUAGCACUCAAAACAACCAUUGUUAAGGGAGCCCUACCACUAGUGAUGCUUACCUGUCCUUGAUAUAGGUUUCAACUUCAAAGUUCUGGCAACUAGUAAUGUAUUUCAUCAUACUCUCACCUUCUCAGUAUGCAUUCCAUUAUACAGUGCAGUCUCAACUUGCAUCAGGGCACUCUUGAUACUCUUGAUACCAUAACUACUGCAGCACACUGUAGUGGUUAUGGUGCUUGGAGUGUUCCUUUAACUCUUUGACUAAGACCACAAACAGCUUGAAAUAUUGCAAGAUUAUUUUAUAUUGAUUGUAGAACUAAUAUGGUCACUACAAUUGUUGCUAAAUUCAUAAUUUUAUUUAUCUUCUAGAUUUGUGUUUGGCGCAGUGCUGAAAAAGAUAGAAAAAAGUUAGAAAAGGAGCCUCAUCUGCAGGUUUCUGUCUGUUAUCAUCUUUGGAUUAGUUAUGUUUUGUCAUGUAUGUACGUAGUGGGGGAUUACGAUACCACAUAACAUAGAUAACCCCAAUAAAAAAAAACCCAAUAAUGACAGACAACUUAGUAUGGAUGAACAGGCCACAGCAUUUAUUAUAACAUAAAUAAAUGACUGCAUAACACAUCCAUAACUUUAUUAAUUAAACUCUUCUUUCUGUUAGAAAUAAAUAAUCAUAAAUUCACAUAUAUACAUAUAAUAACAAAACGUGCUAUGCAGAGACCCAACCGUCCUUGCCAAUAAACAUCCAGUGGUUCCUAAUCACCACUUCCUCUCACCUCCCCCCUCGUCAUAAAAAAUCCUUCCAAUGCCCGCCAUCAGCCGACCUUAUCCACGCUCGAUGGGCACGAUACCUCAGGCAACCUAAUGUUUAACCUUUGAAGCAGGGGAGGUUGAGACCUGCAAAACAUAAAAACUUAGUCCAUCCUUAGACAUAACCCCUCAAACUUGAUUGGCAAGUACAUAGCUGUGACUAACUGAAACUAAAAGGGGUGGGCGGGCGGGAAGCUGUUUGCUGGCCCGUAUCCCAAGUGGCACUGAGGUAAGACCUCGCCCACACUAACUUACAUUAAGCCUAAGCCCUCCCAUGCACACUUCCCAAGUCCCUCCCCUAUAUCUAUCCCCACACUCCUACAUGUGCCCUUGUCCGCUUAGCUGCGCUAUCUCCCCAGGGCCUGUGUGGUAGAAAGAGAGUGGAGCGCUUAUAAAAACCACAAUAAAUGUAUCAAAAGACUAAAACAAAGUGAUGCAAAUAUUGUGCAGUGAUAGUGCUAAAAGUGCUGGGGAACAUUGAUAACUUGUAUAGUCUAAAGUGUACCAAGUCUCUGAUUCAAAUUAAUUCAAUGAAAAUAUCAUAUGCAAACAAAACAAUGAACUUUUAAGUCCAAUUCAAACAGCGAUUUACAAUAUGUGAAACAAAAAGAUGAUAGAGGUUGAUACUUUCCAGUUUUUGAUGACAAUUAAAAGACCUAAAAAAUAAAAAUAUGAAUUUCAUAGUGCAGACAAUCUGAUAUUCAAAGUUAAAGAUCAAUACCAAUAGAGGUGAUGGAAGAAUUACCAACUCACAAGUGGGGAGGCUUUAAUAAUGUCUCAAUCUUGACAGCGUAUGGAGUCUUUAAGAUCAGGGUACUCCCACCCUACUUUGAGAGGCUUUCUUCCAAUUCCCUUGGAGUUGAUAUAUAAAACAGGAAAAGUGCAGAAAUAGUGUAAUAUGUCUUUAAGUCCAGAAAUCAAAUUUGAAAUGCACUCACUUGUAAAAGGGCCUUUUCCUAUAGGCUGUAUUUGCAAAGUGGACACCUAUUUAUUGGGGUGGUGUUACACUCCAAAGAAAUACAGGAAAUCUCCAAAUUAAGGAAUAUUCCAAUUUAUUAGACAAAUAAAGAUACAAAUAUAAAAUCACAAUAAAACAAUAAAUGGGGCUUGUCCAAAAAGUGUUUCACCUAUUCAGGCUUUCUCAAUCAGUAAUAAAGCCACUUGUGUAUUGGUGUUUAUAUAUCCGUAUAAUGAAUUAUUAAUCACGUCUUUCUGUGGCCAAAAUUCUCAAAUUCUGACGUGCGUUCCACCUUUCAGAAACAGAUAGUUCAAGCCUUGUUUUCACUAUGCCAUAAGCCCCAUUAGUCCACUCAGCAGAAUUCUCCCCUCCUUUCAUUCAAAGAUUGCCUCCACGUGUCAAACCUCAUUCUGACUCUAGUGGCGUCCAUCUUUGCAUUACAACCAUUGCAUUCCACCACUCGUUCUUAGUCAAAUCCACAUUCUGUGCAGUAGUAACUGGUGUGUUCUAUCAUACUAAGUGAAAGGCAAUCAGUGCAUAUAUUCUAUGGAGGUAUAAUACAAAGAUUAUUAUAUAGGAAAAAGAGAAAAUUGAAGAUAAAAAAAAAAUUAGAAACUAAAACAGAUAUAUUCCUGAUAACAACAAACAACAAAGUAAUCAUUCUAAAAAAAGUAACACAAUUUAGUACAAAAUGCAAGAAAUUGUAAAAAAUACAAGAGAUGGUACAAAAAUGGACAAUUUUCAUGUGCACUUACACUGAUCAACCACAACAUUAAAACCACAUUGCCUAAAAUUGUGUAGGUCCCCUCGUGCUGCCAAAACAGUUCUGAAAUUUCAAGACAUGGACUCUACAAGCCAUCUCAAUGUGUCCUGUGGUAUGUUUCACCAAGACAUUUGAAGCAAAUCCUUUAAAGGGACACAGUAGGCACUGUAUCUGCUUCAUCUCAUUAAACUGGUUAUAGUGUCUGGAGUCCCCUGGUACCAUCAUUUCUUUCAGCAUUAAACAGUUUUUAAUGUUGUAAUGUUUUAAUGCUAAACAAGAGUCCACGGUAGUCUAUCCCCUCUGUGCUGCUUUGGCUAAUAAGGAAGUAUUACCCUUAGAGGCAAUGGGCAGCUGUGAUGGGCUGAGAGUGUCAGCUGAUUGCUUUUAACCUGUCAGAGCUCCAACUGACGGUAUGAAUGGGUAUGACAACAAGGAAGUGUGUAAUCUCUGCCACAGCUACACAUACAGAAGGGGCCGGACUGUGGGUGGACAGGGACUCUUAUUUUGUGGCAUACUGCACAAACAUGGUGCAACACUGAACGGAGGGACAGUGCCAGGCCACUCCAGGCACUAUAACCAAUUCAAAGAGACAAAGUGGUUAUAGUGACUACAGUGUCCCUUUAAGUCCUAUAAUGUGCGAGGUGGGGCCUCCAUGGAUUGGAUUUGUUGUUCCAGCACAUCCCACAGAUGCUCAAUCGGAUUUAAAGGCCAAGGGCACUCUAACCAGUCUGUGGCUACAGAGUUUUCCAAGUUUUUCUGCAAUUUGAGCUACGGUAACUCUUCUGUGUGAUCGUGCCAGACAGGCAAGCCUUCGCUCCCCAUGUGCAUCAAUAAGCCUUGAGCUACCACGGCUCUGACGACUGUUCACCGGUUGUCCUUCCUUGCACCACAUUUGGUAGGUACAAAUCACUACAUAGCAGAAUCACCCCACAAGUCUUGCUGUUUUGGCGAUCUUCUGACUCAGUCAUUAAAGGACCACUAUAGUGCCAGGAAAAGAUACUCGUUUUCCUGGCACUAUAGUGCCCUGAGGGUGCCCCCACCAUCAGGGUCCCCCUCCCGCCCGGCUCUGGAAGGGGGAAAGGGGUAAAAACGUACCUUUUUCCAGCGCUGGGCGGAGAGCUCUCCUCCUCCGAUCCUCCUUCUCUCCUCCCGUCGGCUGAAUGCGCACGCGAGGCAAGAGCUGCACGCGCAUUCAGCCGGUCACAUAGGAAAGCAUUCAUAAUGCUUUCCUAUGGACGCUGGCGUGCUCUCACUGUGAAAAUCACAGUGAGAAGCACACAAGCACCUCUAGUGGCUAUCAAUGAGACAGCCACUAGAGGAAAUAGGGGAAGGCUUAACCCAUUCAUAAACAUAGCAGUGGUCUGGGUGCCUAGAGUGGUCCUUUAAGCUGUCAUGAUUUGUUCCUUGUCAAAAUCACUAAGAUCUUUUUGCUUGCUCAUUUUUCCUGCUUCAGACACAUCAAAUCCUGACUGUUCACUUGCUGUCUAAUAUAUCGCACCCCCUGACAGGUGCCAUUGUAAUAAUAUAAUCAAUUUUAUUCACUUCACCUAUUUGUGGCUGAUCCGUGUACACAGAAUACAAACUUGUGCAAUUUUACAUUUCUGCAUUUACCAGGCCACAACUGUAUGUGUUAAGAGAGUCCUGCUUCUUCACAAAUUAGCUUGACAAAAACAGAAAGGGAAAAUGUCUAAAGAUUAUUCAUACCAUAACCACUACAAUUAGCUGUACGACAAGCAACAAUGUUUCUGUUUCAACUCCUCCAAUGCAAUGUGUACCCAGGUUGUGUCUGGAAUAUAGGGAAGAGCUAACAAGUCCUUCCACGCUAUCUGUUUGUCCCCCGUGGCCCUUGUCAGAUCUCCUAUGCUAGAAUGAACCAAAUCCUAAAGUCAAUUGCUAAAUCUUUAAAAUGAAUUAAAAGAAAGCAGAGUAUGAACUUUUAGAUGUGCGUCAAUUCCAGAGAAGUGUCUUAUUACCUUUAAUCAGGGCCGGACUGGCCCACCGGGAUACCGGAAAAUUUCCCGGUGGGCCGUCGGCACCUGGGGCCGGGCAGGCAGCUGGCUCUUCUGGCAGCCGCAGGGGGAGCUCUUCUGCGGCUGCCAGAAGAGCCAGCUGCUUGCCCGGCCCCGGGUGCCGAUGACCCACCGGGAAAUUUCCCGGUAUCCCGGUGGGCCAGUCCGGCCCUGAUUAAAGGUAAUAAGACACUUCUCUUUUAGCGGCCGCAGGGGGAGCUCUUUCGGCGGCCGCAGGGGGAGCUGGCUGUUCUGUCUCUGCUCCCCCGCCAUCGCGCGCUAGAAAGAGACCGGGGCCGGAAUAUGACGUCAUAUUCCGGCCCGGGUCUCGUUAAGCUGCCUGUUGGGGCGGGGGAGCAGAGACAGAACAGCCAGCUCCCCUAGCGGCCGCCGAAAGAGCUCCCCCUGCGGCCGCCAGAAGAGACAGCUUCCCCAUGCCACCGCCAUCAGACUGAGCUCCCCCUGCGGCCGCCAGCACACAGGUAGAAAUUAUGUGUGUCAGUGUGAGUGUAUGUGUGUGUCUCUGUGUCAUUGUGUGUGUGUCUGUGUCUGUCAUGGUGUGUGUGUGUGUGUCUGUCUGUGUCAUGGUGUGUGUGUCUGUCUGUGUCAAGAUGUGUGUGUCUGUCUGUGUCAUGGUGUGUGUGUCUGUCUGUGUCGUGAUGUGUGUGUGUGUGUCUGUCUGUUUCACGGUGUGUCUGUCUGUGUCAUGGUGUGUGUGUGUCUGUCUGUCAUGGUGUGUCUGUCUGUGUCAUGGUGUGUUUGAGUCUGUCUGUGUCAUGGUGUGUGUGUGUGUGUGUCUGUCUGUGUCAUGCAAUGUGUGUCUGUGUCAUUGUGUGUGUCUGUCUGUGUCAUGGCGUGUGUGUGUCUCUGUCAUGGGGUGUGUGUCUGUCUGUGUCAUAUAAUGUGUGUCUGUCUGUGUCACGGGGUGUGUGUGUCUGUGUCACGGUCUCUCUGUGUUGUGGUGUGUAUGUCUGUGUGUCAUGGUGUGUGUGUCUGUCUGUGUCAUGUAAUGUGUGUCUGUGUCACAGUGUUUGUCUGUUUGCGUCACGGUCUGUCUGUGUUAUGGUGUUUGUGUGUGUCAAGGUGUGUGUGUUUGUGUCUUUUUUAAGGUGUGUGUCUGUCAUGGUAUGUGUGUGUCUGUCAUGGUAUGUGUGUGUCUCUGUCAUGGUGUGCCUGUGUAUCUGUCUGUGUCACGGUGUGCGUGUGUCUGUGUCACGGUCUGUCUGUGUCAUGGUGUGUGUCUGUCAUGGUACGUGCUUUAUGACAUUUUUUGUAUGGAUACUUUUUAUCAUUGUAUAAUGCUAAAGUAUCCCAUUUUGACAAGUCAGAUUCUAUAAACUUAAUGCCACCUCUUCUGAGAUUAACUCAAUAGGGCAAUGCUUUCUCCUGGGGCUCUUAGCGGUGCAAGACGAAAUAGGGCUGCCGCAUCAGGCACCUGUAACAGUGAGGGGUGAAAACCAGGGGAGUUAUGUUUUAUGAGCUUUGAAUUUGGUUGUUUAAUGAAUGAGUGGGCAAGUGCUCUGGAUUCUGCAUGUGUUCGUUAUUGAUUGGCUCCAGCAGUAUCCUUGUAAUGUAUGCAUGUAUAAGUGUUUAGUGAAUGGAACAUGUAGUUAGUGUGGGCUACAAUUGAGCAUACAUAUAUUAAAUACUGAAAAUCAAGCACCCGUGGCCCUUUGUCUCAUCUGCGAUCAUGUAUGCUUGCAAAUAUAUCGACAGAUAUUUUUCACAAAAAUGCUUGACAUGAGCUUUUGGGUACCAGUUUCAUUUUGAGUAUGUUAGCCUAACACCAGAAUGAGUAAGCAUUUUCCUGGUUUGGAUUUCAUAUGCUCUAUUUCCAUAUAUAGAGUUGUACAACUUACAGAUCAAAGUGGCAGACAAUUAUCCUUGAUACAAGGGUUAAAAUGUUCCAUUAGUCCAUUAGCUUUUGGCAUGUGAAAAUUCAGCCCUGGUGAGUAGACAUUAACCCCAGAUGAGUGUGCCUUGGGCCCUCCAAGCGUGCAGUGACAAGUAUUUUUAAGGCUUGGCUUAAGUUUGAGUCCUGCUAUANNNNNNNNNNNNNNNNNNNNNNNNNNNNNNNNNNNNNNNNNNNNNNNNNNNNNNNNNNNNNNNNNNNNNNNNNNNNNNNNNNNNNNNNNNNNNNNNNNNNUACAGUUACUCCAUAGGCGUAAAUUUAACCAAUUUGCCCAAAUAUUUACUUAUAAAUCUGUUUAUUACAGCAAGAAGGUAACUAGAGAUAUCUUUGCCAGAAGCUCAAGGAAGCAAGGUGAAAGGUUAGUGUAGGACCCACCUGAGAGGUCUGUCUUGACGUGGCAGGUGGGCUAAACUCUCUCAUGGCAAUUGGAGAAACUAAAUAAUCUCCAUUUGUUUAAAAAUGCAUAGGGAUUUGGGAGAGAGCGCAGGUAACUUUUUUCUUUGGUUUUUACUGUACUAUUGGGGCUGAUGUGUACUAUGGUCGUUGCUGCUGGCAGGAGAGAUGGGAGUUUGAGCACAGGACUUGUUUUUUUGUAUUCACCCUUGUAUCACACAGCUAUGUUACAAUUCUGCCACCCAUCCCAUGUGUUCUUUAUUAGGGGUUAAUAAGCAUGUAGGGGUGUAUAUAUAUAUAUAUAAAAAAAAAAAUACCCCUUUCUGUCUCAUUAGAGAUAUAUUUGCCAGAAGCUCAAGGAAGCAAGGUGAAAGGUUACUGUAGGACCUAACUGAGAGGUUUGCCUUGACGUGGCAGAUGGGCUAAACUCUCUCAUGGCCAUUGGAGAAACUAAAAAACCUCCAUUUGUUAAAAUAUGCAUAGGGAUUUGGGAAGAGCUCAGGUAACUUUUUUCUUUGGUUUUUACUGUACGUAUUGGGGCUGAUGUGUACAGGGGAGGGCUGGCAGCCUUCGGCCUAGGGGGCAAAACCAGUCAAGUGGCCCAUUGCACCACCAAAUCAGUGCAAUGGUGCCCACCUUUUCCUGGUUUUAUAACGGAUAUUGAUGUUAUGCUAACCAGUAGCUCUUUGCCAUACCCGCUCCUUCACGGCUCUGACUUUCAAUGUUGUCAGAGCGCAGGCUGAGAAUCUCUGAGCCUGUGCUCUGACUCACUAACUGAGCGCUGGAACCACGAGGGAGAGGCUAUAAUCUGACUGCAUCUACUGCUGGUGCGCACCAGUGGACCACCAGCGAAUCAUUUAAAUUGAAUAGGCCGGUGUCCCCAACUUGUGAGCUGUGUUGUCCGCCGGGCGCCUCUAUUGUGAUGGCACCCUGCGUAACCGCACAGCGUGCACACCCCAACGGCUGACCCUGCUGACACACAAUGAUGUUACUACUUAGAAAUCCCUCAAUAUUAAUACAGACAUCAGAGUAAACACCAAUAAACUGUGGAAACAGAGCUGAUCCCCCCCAAAUUUAUAAAGAUUUUCUUACUGGAUUUGUUGUAAGAUUAAAUCAUGCCUCCUCCUCUCUCUCUCCCAUGCGCUGCUCUGUAGGCUGGGAGGAAGUGAAGAGUAAUCACAAUCUCCCAGCACAGUGGCACCUGUGGCUGCAUGGGGAACAGCUGUAUUUGCCGCCCCCCAUGUGACAUCACAAUGCCCCACCUAUAUGAGCUGCCAUACGAACUAACGCCAGUGCUGCCCACAGUGUGUGUUUACAUUAAAAAGCCUGCAGGGACCAGCUAUAGACACCAGAACCACUUCAUUAAGCUGCAGUCGUUCUGGGAAAUAUAGUGUCCCUUUAAUGUGAGGUAAAUUAUAGAUUAGUGUCACUAAUAUUAUACUAGAUUGCUUACUUACAACCAGAUGAGGAUGAUGAUAGGCAGCAGUUUGGCUCCACUGGUCUGGUGUAGAACAGGAUCUCUGGAGGCUGUUUGCAACUGUGGUCACAAAAUUCAAUGUUCUGGGAGAAUUGGAAGCAGCUCAAUUUUUUGGGGCCCUUUACACAGCUCAAGGUCUGGGCCUCAGGGCCUGACAGUGAGUAUGCCCACAAGGCCCACUCAUAAGUCUCCCACUCAUAAGUCCCACUCAUAAGUCCACUUAUAUGUUCCACCCACCCAUGAGUUCGCUCACAGGGAGUGGAGUGUGUAGGGGAUGUGUUAUUUGUUAUUGUAGAGGAUCUAAUAUGUGUGCUUAUGGUAUGUAGUGUAUAGGGAUACCAGUUUGUGCAGGUGAUGCAGUGUGUUUGUGUGUAGUGGAAGCAGUGUGUAUUUGUGUAUAAGGAUGUAUUAUGUGUUUCUGGUUGUGUGUAAGGGAUGCAUUGUGUGAAUCUGUGUUUGUAUGCAUAAGGGAUGCAANNNNNNNNNNNNNNNNNNNNNNNNNNNNNNNNNNNNNNNNNNNNNNNNNNNNNNNNNNNNNNNNNNNNNNNNNNNNNNNNNNNNNNNNNNNNNNNNNNNNCCCCUUCACUUACUCCCACUCUUCACUUACUCUCCCCCCCCUCUUCACUUUCCUCCCCCCUUCUCACCUCUCCUCCCCUCCCGGCCAGACUGAUAGGAAGGUGCACACUCAGUGCGUGAAAACAGGAAACAGGUUACAGCCCAGCCGGACUGAUAGGAAGGUGUGCACACUCAGUGCGUGAAAACAGGAAACAGGUUGCAGGAAACAGAAACUCCUGUUCCACGCGGAACAGGAGUUUCUGUUUCCUGUAACCGGCCGGACUGACAGGAAGUGCACACUGAGUGUGCACCUUCCUAUCANNNNNNNNNNNNNNNNNNNNNNNNNNNNNNNNNNNNNNNNNNNNNNNNNNNNNNNNNNNNNNNNNNNNNNNNNNNNNNNNNNNNNNNNNNNNNNNNNNNNGGUUGUUGCUACCGCCCAGGAGUGAUGGGAGUUUGAGCGCAGGACUUGUUUUUUCGUGUUAAUAUUGUUACAUAUUUAGGUUUUACAGUGGGGUGGGUGUGCUCCUGACAUGCUGCGACCUUCAAAGUGUAUCAUCCUCUAUCUGCACCUAUCACAGUAGCACUAUGCAUGGUUACAAUAAUUACACAUAAAACAAGUAUAAACUCAGGACUAAAAAAAGGGAGGAGGAGGAUACUGGAGACCAUGCCUUUGUGUGCAUUGUCAGUAACACAAUCCACAUCACUGCUGAUGAUUGUGGCUGUGAGCAGGAUGACAAAGUCCAUGUGUGUUUACAGAGCCGUCCUAAGGGGUGUGCAUGUGGCUGUAUGUGACAGUAUAUGUGUGUAACUAUGUGCACCUGAUUGUGUUGUUUUAGACCAAACCAAGUGUUUGCUUGAAUAUCUGCCCCUGUCCAAAUGUCUUAAAUGUAAUAAAGUGUGCACGCCGGAGAAAUCCCAAUGACACAGAAAAGUUCAGUUGAAUGAAAACUUCCAAGUGUAUUGUCAGGGGGCGGUGUAGCCCCUUAAAAGGGCAAAGAAUGCAACGUAUGCAAAUAGAGAAAGUAAACUUUUCAAUUGGUUACGUGUUUUAGUAAAGUAAACAUUUAUUUGGUUAGGUGUUAAGUGUCUAAUCUUUAUGGACCUCCUCCAGAGGGUGUUGAUGUCAUCGUCAUCUUAGGUGUAACUCCGUAAGGAGAAGCCAUCUUACUACACGAGGGUCUUGGGAGGGGGUGCUCUAGCACCAUUUUGAGUAAUAAAUGAACACAGGUAUACAAAGUAAAUACACAUUUUACACACAUUCAUUUCUAUCCAUCACAGUGUCUCUCACUGUGGGACACCUGAAAAAAUACGCACCUACAAAAAUGCACACCUAAAUUCACACAUGGGCCUACAUGCAUGUUUUUAAAUCGAAUUAAACAAAUAUCACAUCCAUUACAUACAUAUAUCACACACAGUCAAUACAGCCAUAACAAAUACCACACACUGAGGCGGAGGCACAGACCAGAUUCCCAGCACACUUGAUCAGCAUAGAUUAGCACGUCCCUUGGGAGUGUGGCAACUUUAUAAUGUAGCAGCAGCAGCCAGACCUUGCUGGAAGACAUUAAUCAAACCUUAUGGAAUCUGUUUACUUACUCAAUCAAGUGCCAGAUCUCUCCAGCUGUAGAAUUUUGAUUCAAUUCAUUAAACAAACCAGGAACCAAGUGUGAAAUGCAACAGUCUAGUUUAGCUACUGCAGACAGGCCAAGAUUCAAAUUCUAGCGAAUUCACAGUCAUCCUUAAAAUUUGAGAUUUGGAUCUUUCUGACUUUAGUAGAAGUUGGGCGAGGGAAGGCCAACCCAAGAUGUGUCAAUAAAACAAAAUACCUUACUGACCUUGCCUCUUGUAACAUGCCUCAUUAUGUCCCUCCCGUAGCAGAUAGUACAAUAAGUAUAUUAUUAUUAAAUUGGUCAGGGCCAUCUUUAAUGCUGAUUGGACCCUGGGCAAGCAUUUGCUUGGGCCCCCUGGUCCCCUCCCUCCCACAUUGUGGCAUGCAAACACGCCUUCCACUCAAAGACACACAUAAAGAAAACACACAAAACACACACACACACAUAGUACAUAGACUUAGCCACACUUGUUUUUCACCUAGAGAAAAUAUACACACUGACACACAUACAAAUGCAAACACUGACACAAAUACAGAUACACACAUACACAAACUCAGAUAUGCACAGGUACAGACAAACAGAUACACAGACAUACAAAGACACAUACACAGACAAACAGGUGCAUACACAGAUACACACUGGCACACAUACAGACACAAAGAAACACUCACUGACAAACAUGCAGACACACGCUAGCACACAUACAAAUAAACAGACACACACCCUGACAUAUAUGCAGAUAUACACAAUAACACACAUACAGCUACAUACACAGACACAAAUGCAGUAACACAGACACACACUAACACAUACAGAUGCACAGACACACACACUGACACACAUACAGAUACACAGACACACACAGAUACACAGGGGCACACACUGACCCACAUGCAGAUACACAGGCAAAUGCACAUACAUUUACACAUAUAGACAGAUACACACACAGAAACACAUACAGACAGAAACAUAGAAUGUGACGGCAGAUAAGAACCAUUCGGCCCAUCUAGUCUGCCCAAUUUUCUAAAUACUUUCAUUACUCCCUAGUCUUAUCUUAUAGUUAGGAUAGCCUUAUGCCUAUCCCACGCAUGCUUAAACUCCUUUACUGUGUUAACCUCUACCACUUCAGUUGGAAGGCUAUUCCAUGCAUCCACUACCCUCUCAGUAAAGUAAUACUUCCUGAUAUUAUUUUUAAACCUUUGUCCCUCUAAUUUAAGACUUUGUCCUCUUGUUGUGGUAGUUUUUCUUCUUUUAAAUAUAGUCUCCUCCUUUACUGUGUUGAUUCCUUUAUAUAUUUAAAUGUUUCUAUCAUAUCCCCCCUGUCUCGUCUUUCCUCCAAGCUAUACAUGUUAAGAUCCUUUAACCUUUCCUGGUAAGUUUUAUCCCGCAAUCCAUGAACCAGUUUAGUAGCCCUUCUCUGAACCCUCUCUAAGGUAUCAAUAUCCUUCUGAAGAUACUGUCUCCAGUACUGUGUACAAUACUCCAAGUGAGGUCUUACCAGUGUUCUGUACAAUGGCAUGAGCACUUCCCUUUUUCUACUGCUAAUACCUCUCCCUAUACAACCAAGCAUUCUGCUAGCAUUUCCUGCUGCUCUAUUACAUUGUCUUCCUACCUUUAAGUCAUCAGAAAUAAUCACCCCUAAAUCCCUUUCCUCAAUUGUUGAGGUUAGAACUCUAUCAAAUAUUCUGUACUCUGCCCUUGGGUUUUUACGUCCAAGAUGCAUUAUCUUGCACUUAUUCACAUUAAAUGUCAGUUGCCACAAUUCUGACCAUUUUUCUAGUUUACCUAAAUCAUUUGUCAUUUGGCUUAUCCCUCCUGGAACAUCAACCCUGUUACAUAUAUUAGUAUCAUCAGCAAAAAGACAUACCUUACCAUCAAGACCUUCUGCAAUAUCACUAAUAAAAAUAUUAAAGAGAAUGGGUCCAAGUACAGAUCCCUGAGGUACCCCACUGGUGACAAGUCCAAGCUUUGAAUAUAUUCCAUUAAUUACAACCCUCUGUUGCCUGUCACUCAGCCACUGCCUUACCCAUUCAACAAUAUUGGAAUCCAAACUUAAAGAUUGCAGUUUUUUGAUAAGCCUUCUAUGUGCAACAGUGUCAAAAGCCUUACUGAAAUCUAGGUAAGCAAUGUCUACUGCACCACCCUGAUCUAUAAUUUUAGUUACCCAAUCAAAAAAAUCAAUAAGAUUAGUUUGGCAUGAUCACCCUGAAGUAAACCCAUGUUGUCUCUGAUCUUGAAAUUCAUGUGUUUUUAGAUGUUCAACAAUCCUAUCCUUUAACAUGGUUUCCAUCACUUUCCCCACUACUGAAGUAAGGCUUACUGGCCUAUAGUUGCCCGACUCCUCCCUAUUACCUUUCUUGAAAAUGGGCACAACAUUCGCUAACUUCCAAUCUUCUGGGACUACUCCUGUUAACAAUGAUUGGUUAAAUAAUUCUGUUAGUGGUUUUGUUAGUAUACCACUAAGCUCUUUUAAUAGCUUUGGGUGUAUUCCAUCAGGUCCCAUUGACUUAUUUGUCUUUACUCUUGACAGUUGAAAUAGAACCUCUUCCUCUGUAAACUCACGUGUAAUAAAUGACUCGUUUAUCCUUUUUCUCAACUGAGGUCCCUUUCCUUUAUUUUCAUCUGUAAAUACAGAACAAAAAUAUUCAUUGAGGCAGUCAGCUAGACCUUUAUCCUCUUCUACAUACCUUCCUUCUUUUGUUUUUAAUCUAACUAAUCCUUGUUUUACUUUUCUUUUCUCAUUUAUGUAUCUAAAAAACAUUUUAUCCCCCUUUUUUACUGACUGUGCUAUUUUCUCUUCUGUGUGUGAUUUGAAGCUCUUAUAACUUGCUUAGCCUCUUUGUGCCUAAUCUUAUAGAUCAUUUUGUCUUCCUCACUCUGGUUUUUUUUAUAAUUCCUAAAUGCUAACUUUUUGUUUUUAACUAUUUUGGCCACAUCUGUGGAGUACCACAGUGGUUUCUUGAAUUUUUUGCUUUUACUGACAAGCCUAAUGCAAUUUUCUGUUGCCUUCAAUAGUGUAACUUUUAAAUAAUCCCAUUACUCUUGGACUCCAUUUAAAUUGCUCCAGUCUGAUAAUGACUCAUCUACCCAUAUUCUAAUUUUAGAAAAGUCUGUUUUUCUAAAGUCUAAAACUUUUGUUUUUGUGUGGUAUGACUCAGUCACUGUUCUUAUAUUAAACCACACUGACUGAUGAUCACUGGAUCCUAAACUUUCACCUACAGUAAUACCUGAUACCAAAUCUCCAUUUGUUAACACUAAAUCUAGUAUGGCCUCUUUACGAGUUGGCUCCUCAACAACUUGUUUUAGAGACAAUCCCAGUAGGGAGUUUAGAAUAUGUGUGCUCCUGGCACAAGUAGCUAAUUUUGUUUUCCAAUUUACAUCAGGAAGAUUAAAGUCACCCAUGAUGAUAACUUCCCCCUUCAAUGUCAUUUUAGCUAUUUCCUCAACUAGUAGAUUAUCUAACUCUUCAAUUUGUCCUGGGGGCCUAUAAAUCACACCUACACGAGUUACUGUGUGAUUACCAAAUUCUAACGUAGCCCAAACGGACUCUAUGUUUGCCUCACUAACUUUUAUUAGGCUAGAUUUUAUGCUAUCCUUCACAUACAAGGCCACCCCUCCCCUUUCUUGCCUUCCCUAUCUUUCCUAUAUAAAGAGUACCCUGGUAUUGCUAUGUCCCAGUCAUUUUUCUCAUUGUACCAUGUCUCAGUAACAGCGACUAAAUCUACACUAUCAGUUGCCAUUAUUGCCACAAGUUCAUGGAUCUUUCACCAGAUAAUUUACAAAUCUCAGACUUCAAAAAUACAAUCUCCUGCCGCAAGAUAGAGAUCUGUCUACAGAUUAGACAACAACCAAACCUCCAAAAAGUGGAACGUGAAACAAAUGCAUAGCAAUUGUUACACUGAACUAAGUCUGCCAUUCCAAUUAGGAGAAUAAUUUAAAUCUAACAAAUCUUAACUUUGUAUUUAUCCUCCUGAAUACCUCAGAUUACCUCAAACUACACACUUAGAAACAUCACUUAGAAGUAGCACCAAGCUGUAUUAGACAAGCUAAUGACAACAAGCCUUAUAUAACUCCUAAAAUCACCACCCACUAGGAAUGUUUAACACCUGGGUAGGCCUCUGCUUAUUUGCAAACAAUAGCUAAUUAACCAGCAAUCAAUAGCAAGUAACUAAAUCAAAUCAAAUGCCUUAUAAUUACCAACAGGAAUUCAAACCUUGUGCAAUCAGUAACCUUUUCCUACAGAUGAAUCUUACCUGUAACAGUAGAAAAGAAAGCUCUUAGCACAACUCUUAGACAGUUGAAGCUUCUGUAAAACUCUCCAGAAUAUCUCCAACUACACACUUAGAAACAGCACUUAGAAGUAGCACCAAGCUAUAUUAGACAAGCUAAUGACAACAAGCCUUAUAUAACUCCUAAAAUCACCAACCACUAGGAAUGUUUAACACCUGGGUAGGCCUCUGCUUAUUUGCAAACAAUAGCUAAUUAACCAGCAAUCAAUAGCAAGUAACUAGCUUAAUCAAAUCAAAUGCCUUAUAAUUACCAACAGGAAUUCAAACCUUGUGCAAUCAGUAACCUUUUCCUACAGAUGAAUCUUACCUGUAACAGUAGAAAAGAAAGCUCUUAGCACAACUCUUAGACAGUUGAAGCUUCUGUAAAACUCUCCACAAUAUCUCCAACUACACAGAUAGACAGAUACCCAGAUACCCAUUGUACAGUGCUAUGGAAUAUGAUGGUGCUAUAUAAAUAAUAAAAUAAUAAUAAUACACAUACAGACAGAGAGAGAGAGACACAUACAGACACACAGAUACACAUAUAAACAGAGAAACACACAGAAACACACAUACAUACAGACAGAUACACACAUACAGACACACAGAUACACAUACAGACAGAUACACAUAUAGGCAGAUACACAGACACACAUGCAUAUACACAUACAGCCAGAUACACACAGAGAUACACAGACACACAUGCAAAUACACAUACAGACAGAUACACACAUAUAAACACACAUACACAUACAGACAGGUAUACACACACAAACAGACACUCAUGGAAAAUAUAAAUUUUUAGUCACCCUCCUUUUGGCUGCAGAAAGGUGACUUCCCUGGGGUCCAGUGGCUGGCUGAGGCUGUUGGGAGUCGGGCUCUCUACCAGUCCACGCUCCCCCCACCUUUCUCCCUUCCAUGCGGCACUCUCUGUGUUAGCUGGAAAGGAAGUGACUGCACGUCCUCCAAGUGCUGUCCUCAUCACCGGAGGCCCGUUACGCUGUUAAAGCGCUGCAGCGCUGACCGGGCUCCUGCAGACUCAUUGCCAUCAGGUGAAACUAAGAGCAUGGGCCACCCAAUGGGCCCCCUCUACAUGUGGCCUGCCGUAGUAAGGGGCAGUCUAUUCAUAUGAUUUUUAAUAUUAUGUUUACUUAACCUCUACAUUUAGCAAAUAUGUUUAAUUGAGGUCUGAAAAAUAAAAUUAGAUGUAGAAAUCCACACCUCUGCCUUUAUUGGCAUCCUAGUACUAGAUGCCUCCAUUUUUAUUCCCUGUCAAUCAUUGAUAUAAAUGCUGCUUUAUUCUGCCAUUAAACAUGGUUAGUGAAAGAGGAGAAAUUGUACCAAUCCUUGCAUUUUCCUCCUCAUUUCCAUUGUCUACCCUGGCUGUACCCCGACAGAACCGAAUUGUGAUGUCACCUGCCACAUCUUCAAUUUACAUUUGAAAAGAAUACAGAUCCUCACAUGGAAAUGGUUAAACAAUUUAAAAGUUAUAUUCAUUGUUUCAUUCAGUUAUGCCAUUACCAGAAAGGUGACAAUUCCCCUUAAAACCAUUCUGUCAGUUUCAGGGAAAAGUGACUGGGAUAUUCACGAAAGUAAACAUUUUUGGAAUUCAAAGUGAAUUUCAAAAUUUAGCACAAAAGAACCAAAUUAGAAAAAAAUUCCAAGCUAAUUCUGUUUUGAGUUUGAUUAUUUUGCCCUUAAAUUUGAAAUUCACUUUACACAAAUCUGCUUAUUUAAGCCUCUAUACAUAUCGUUACAUAGUUACAUAGUUACGUAAUUACAUAGCCGAAAAGAGACUUGCGUCCAUCAAGUUCAGGCUUCCUCACAUAUGUUUUUGCUGUUGAUCCAAAAGAAGGCAAAAAACCUAGUCUGUAGCGCUUCCAAUUUUGCAACAAACAAGGCAAAAAUUCCUUCUUGACCCCAAAAUAGCAGUCAGAUGUCUCCUUGGAUAAAGCAGCUAUUACCCCACUAAUUAGAAACUAUAUCCCUGUAUGUUAUGUUUUUGCAAGUAUUUAUCCUAAUUCAGUUUAGGCAGAGAAUUACAAAUCCUUAUUACUCUUACUGUAAAAAAAACCUUUUCUUUGCCUUAGAUGAAAUCUCCUUUCUUCCAGCCUAAAUGUGUGACCGUGUGUCCUAUGUAUAGGCCUGUUUAUGAAUAGAUUUUUAGAUAAUGGUUUGUACUGGCCCUGAAUAUAUUUGUAUAAUGUUAUCAUAUCCCCUCUGAGUUGUCGAUUUCCAAACUAAAGAGAUUUCAAUUUUUUAACCUUUUUUAUUUUUUUAAUACAUGCUCUCCAUUUUAUUCAAGAGUAAACAUAGUCUGAUCCUGGCUAAGAGAAAAUAGCUAGUAACUAGUCCUUCCUCACAUUUAGCUAAAUUGUGGUCAUAUAAUAUAAAUAUAAUGUCUGUUUCAGUAUGUGUGUCUGUUAGUAUGUAUCUCUGCAUGUGUGUGUGUGUGUGUGUGUGUGUGUAUCUGUGUUCUUUUGUAUCAGUGUGUGUGUUUGAGUCUGUGUGUGUUUGUGUCUGUGUGUGUAUUCCUGUGGGUGGGAUUUGGAGGUGGACCCUGUGGGCGGAAUUGGAGGCGGGCCCCAGGGGGCCCAGACCCUGAGCUGAGUUAGGGGCCCCAAAAUUUCUGGUGGCGGCCCUGCUGGUCAGUAUGCCUUGAGGACUGUUAUGGAAACCACUGCCUUAGAUGCAUGCCCCUUAUGAAGAAGGAUUGUUGAAAAAAGAAAACGUGGCAAACGUGUGAUAACAUCUCUGUAUAGUAUACAGUAGUUUAGAUUACAAUAAAGAAGUCAUGUAAAUAUAUAUAAAAUCGUUUUUGUACAGGGUUAUUGACUAAAAUGCGAAUCUUUGGAAAUUCAAAGCGAAUUUUAAAUUUAAGUAAAAAGGAUCUAAACUGGAAAGAUUCUCCAAAUCAGCUGUGCUUCCAGUUCCGCUACUUUUGGCUUGAAAUUUUAAUUUCACUUUCAAUUCACUAUAAAUUGCCAACAAUUCUCAUUUUGGUAAAAAAAAUAAAAAAAAAUUUGAAAAAUGAUUUGUUAUUAGUGUUUAGAACAUAGUAACAUCAUUCCUUGUGUUACAAAUGGGCCAACCACAUUUUAUUUGUUAAGGCCCUUUAAAACCUUGGCGUUUAACACUGACCUUUUUCAACAAAACAUUUUUCUUAAAAAGGAGGAAUUUGUGUUUGUGGGCCACUGACAAAUAUGAAGCCCAUGGAGCAACACAGGAGGGGAGUGGGCCUUGACAGGGCCAGAGAGUUGGCAGGUGAAGUUAAGGUCAAGGGGUGUGGAAAAGUAAUGGCUGGACAGGGGGGGGAGGAGAAUAAGGGUUCAAAUAACAGCCAAUUUGGUGAGCUGGCCUUUUUAAUCAAAAUCACACUUACUUGAUACUUGUCAGGUUUGUGUGGUCUGUUCUUUUUCUUACAGGGAUGGCUUCUGCCGAAGAAAUCUUGGCUGGUGUGAGAAGAAUGGUGGAAGAGAAGGGGAUGGCGUGGCUGCAGGAUCAACUGGGGGUCCCGAGCACGUCUGCUCCCCCCACUGCGGUGUCGGAGAGGAGGCCGACCAGGAGGGCAAGUCCGCCCCAACGACUCAGCCCGGGAGCACCGCCAGCGGCGAGGAGGAGUCCAGCGCCGCAAAGUGGGGAAAAGGCGGCCCAGGCGGAAGGACGGGCGUCAAGAGUCGGAGUGCGCCGGGCGGGCGCUAGUCGGAAGCCCGCCGGUGGGAGAAGGCCCCGCCGCAAGUAUGCGGGCGGGAGGCAGAAGGACACGGCUGGAUCCUGUACAGCUGGGAUGGCAGCCAGGCAGCAGGGCCGUGAUGGUCCGGAACUUCAGCGCCCCGGUGAGUCCGCCCCUAGUGGCGAUACUGAGGGGCAGGAGGAUGGGGUGCUUGAGGACAGCUCGACGCCAGCGCCCCCUCAGGUGACAGGUGGAGAGGCAGAUGGCAGGUCAGGGACGGGCUUAACCCUCACAGGGAAUAGGUCCAGGACAGGUAGCGGUGACAGGGGCAGCAGCGUCUCCGGGCAGACGGGAAUUGCGAGGGGGGGUGAAUCCCUGCCCUCAGGAAGUUGCCGGGAUGAGAGGAGAGGAGACGGCAGGUCAGCGACAGGAGGUUGCAGGGACAUGGAGGAGCCGCAGGGGCUGAGGAGGAAGGAGACAUGCAGAGGGGUCAGAGGCGAGCGGGAGCCCCCUAUGGGCCGCUCUCAGGCGCAGCAGGACAGGAGCUGGGCCAGGAGGCGAGGAGUGAGUAGCGAGCGGCGCAGUGAAGGGGACAGGAGCAGCACCCAGAGGAGGUCAGCAGAGCAGGGGAGGAGCAGGGACAGGAGCCAGUCCAGGAGCCACCGGAGCAGGCAGAGGUCAUGCACCAGGGAACGGAGGCUAAGAUGUAGGCGCAGUGCUUCCAGUUCAUCGGGCGGGAGUUUAAAGGACCAGCAGAGGAGGUCUUACGGCCGGGACGGUCAGGCAGCGAGACAGCGUAGCGAUAGUGACAGGAGGAAGGAACGCCGGGAGGAAAGGCGGGUAGGACAACACGUGGACAGACUACCCAGGUUAUAUUUUCCCGGCAGGUCGAGGAGCGUGACACCUACGGUCCCGAGGAGAGGCCAGGCGGAAAGGAGUCGGCGGCAACAGGAGUCUCCGGAGCCUGAAAUGGCGGACGGAAGGACAGCAACCCUGCGGCCGGCCACGGUCGGGGGCACUGGCGGUGAGUCACGAAGUACACCACACACUGGGUCCUUAUUGGGUUGCUUAAAAUCUUUCAUUAACUCCUGGGCGGGAGAUGAGGGGUCAACCCCGCAGUUUGGUAGGGUAUGGUCGCCAGAGGACGGGGGAGAUAAAGAACAAGGGGCGGAGAGGAUGGUGACACACAAGUCGGGUGCCGUCGAAACGGGGGACGGUGAGUCGGGAACCGGAAAGGCAGUCGGGUCUGGCCAACAGGUGGUCGGGGGUGGUGAGAUAGCGGACGUGGCACGGCAAAACGUGCAUGUGUCCUUCGCGGGACCACUAGGAUGUCACCUGAAAGCGGAGGUAAAAGAAAAAAUUGGGAAGGGGGAAUUCAUGGAAAUCUUCUCCUUACUUCCACUCGAGGAAUUUCUCGACUUGAAGGAAGAGGAUAAGAAGGACGCUAAAAAAGAAGAGGAGAAAAAGCGGCGGUAUCGGAAGAUACCCAAGACUUUUGGGAAUUGGCUCAGAGCCUUCUGUAUUUUGGCGAGCGUAGUCGGGGAAAAGCACCCAGAACGAUGUUCGCAGCUGUUUUGUUAUUUGGACGGGAUAGGGGACGCUUACAGGACUUAUGGGGGAUUAGCAUGGUGGCGGUACGACGAACAAUUCCGCCAACGGUUGGCAGCGAAUCCGAGUAUGAGGUGGGAUCAGAUGGACCUGCCUUUAUGGAUGAGAAUAAUGAUGGCCCAGAAAAAUGCGCCCUUUCAAGGGACGGCCGGUACGGCCACGGGAAGCGCUGUACCGGCCGGACAGAAGAAGGGGUUCUGUUGGCUGUUCAAUGAAGGGCAGUGCAAAUGGGGGGCAUCGUGUAGAUUUAAACAUGAAUGUUCCGGAUGCGGGGGAAAUCAUGGAGUCAACAGGUGUUUUAAGAAAGGAAAAUCUAACUUCGGGGGUGCAGCAGGGACAACAGCCACGGCAGUGGCGACUGGGAACGUCGCCGGUGAAGGUCGGCGCGAUGCUGCCGUGGUUAAGGCAGUACGGUAAUCAGGAAGAGGCGAGGUUCUUAUGGCGGGGGUUUACAGAGGGUUUUGUUAUCCCAUUCAAGGUCAAAGGUCCGGGAACCAUGUGUGCAAACCUUAAAUCAGUCCGGGACCACCCGGGGGUAGUGCGGGAAAAAUUAAUGAAGGAAGUCCAGAUGGGGAGGAUGGCGGGGCCGUUUCCGUCCCCGCCGAUAGAAGAUUUAAGGGUGUCUCCGCUGGGGGUGGUCCCUAAAAAGGAGGAAGGGAAAUUUCGCCUGAUACAUCACUUAUCGCACCCACGGGGGUCAUCGGUAAAUGAUGAUAUCGACGCGGCGCUGUGUUCCGUAUCCUAUGCAUCAUUCGAUCAUGCGGUCGAGUUGGUUCGGAGAGCGGGACACGGUGCACUGAUGGCAAAGGUGGACGUGGAAGCAGCAUUUCGGCUGCUCCCCAUUCAUCCAGGUUGUCACCACCUUUUGGGGUGCUUCUUCGAAGGGGGUUUCUUCAUAGACCUGUGUUUACCGAUGGGCUGUUCCAUCUCGUGUUCCUAUUUUGAAAAGUUUAGCACCUUUUUGGAAUGGGUGGUACGACGGGAGUCGGGUGGGGGAUCAAUCGUGCAUUACCUCGAUUUCUUGUGUGUAGGGCCGGAAGGAUCUGAGCGGUGUGGCCAGAUAUUGAGGGUGUUUCAAUGGAUAGCACACUCUUUUGGGGUUCCUUUGGCAGGGGAUAAGACGGUUGGCCCCACCUCAUGCCUUAGUUUCUUUGGCCUGGAGAUUGACUCUGUAAAAGGUGAAUGCAGACUGCCCGCGGACAAGCUACUUAAGCUUUGUCAGCUAGUGGACACAGCGUGGCAUGCGAGAAAAGUGACUUUGCGAGGGCUGCAGUCGCUAUUGGGGAGUCUUAAUUUUGCAUGCAGGGUGAUUCCGAUGGGCAGAGUUUUUUGUCGACGGCUGGCCCAGGCGACGAGCGGUGUGCGGUUGCCGAAUCAUUACGUGAAAGUUUCGGCGGAUAUGAGAGCGGACCUGGGGGUUUGGAAAAGGUUUCUAAGGGAAUUUAACGGUAUAGUGUUUUUUCGGGAGCCGGGAGUUUCCUCCAAGGACAUAGGCUUGUUUACAGACGCCUCCGGGAGCGUGGGGUUUGGGGCUUAUUUAGCGGGGCAAUGGUGCGCCGAGGAGUGGCCGGCGGAGUGGAAGACGAGCUCGCUGAUAAGGAACCUCGCGUUCCUAGAAUUUUUCCCGGUGGUAGUAGCGGUGGCGUUAUGGGGAAAGCAGCUCGCAAACAAAAAAGUAGUAUUUUACUCAGAUAACAUGGCAGUGGUCCAGGCUAUCAAUGGGUUGUCGGCAUCAUCUCCUGCAGUGAUACGGUUAUUAAGGCACCUGGUACUUUUAUGUAUGUCUAGCAAUAGUGUUCAGGGCAAGGCAUGUUCCAGGUUUCUUGAAUAUAGUGGCUGAUGCGCUUUCUCGUUCACAGUGGGAACGUUUUCGGGAAGCAGCGCCGGAGGCACAAGAGGAAGGAUUGGCAUGUCCGGCAGAAAUGUAGCAGCUCGGGACAUCAUGCUUGGGGAGUUCAUAAAGAAUUCCCUGGCACCGGGCACCUGGGCGGCAUAUGUGAAGGUUUGGCACGAAUGGGAAGAGUCGGUGGCACAAGUGGGAGGGGACUGUUCAGAGGAACAUCGGUUAGAUAUACUGUUAUGGGUACUGUGUCGACUAUUUGCCAGGAAGGCUUCACCAGCUAUGGUUGACAGGCACAUGUCGGCGUUGGCCUUCCUAUUUAAGUUUAAUGGAUGGGAGGAUAUAACGAAACAUUUCUUGGUCAGGCAAGCCAUAAGAGGUUUUCGGAGGGGUAAGAAAUCGGUGGAUACGAGGAGGCCAGUGUCAUUCGCGGUGCUGCAAGGACUAGUGGAGGUUCUACCGGCAUUAUGUUAUUCCAAAUAUGAAGUUGUGUUGUUUUCCGGGGCGUUUGUCUGGGCAUUCCGUAUUGGGGAGCUGCUUAGCACCAACAAAGCAGGGGUUGGUGGGAUUCGGUUGGGGGAUGUGACCAUUGGUGAAGAUAAGGUACAGGUCAAGUUGUGCCGCUCAAAGACGGACAUAUUCGGCAAAGGAAGCUUGGUAACAUUGUUCAAAUUGCCAGGGUCUAGGGUUUGCCCAGUGGCUUGUGGCGCCGAAUUCUUGGAAGUCCGCCCCGAGAAGGAAGGCUGUUUCUUCAUCCAUGCUGACGGUAAGGCUUUGUCCCGUUUUCAGUUCGUUAAGAUAUUUCGUGCAGGAUUGGGUAAGCUGGGCCUGGAACCCAUGCAUUUCGGGACACAUUCGUUUAGAAUUGGGGCCGCAACGGAGGCGGCUCGGUUAGGUCUGGGAGACGAGCGGAUCAAACAGAUAAGAAGAUGGGAGUCCAUUCGGUUCCGCUCAUACGUUAGACCGGACAAGUUGGUGUAAAAGGGGACUGGGGCGUGGUUUGUUAAGGGCUCUGCUGUUCACUGUUCUAUUUCUUUUAGGUCGUUUGGUAUGGCUGAUCGGACAUUCCUACGUUUAUUGGGCGCGGAGGAGGGCCGCGAUGAGAAGAGACGGAGCACAACUGGGCUUCCCGGUGGAGGCGGUGGUUCUCACUUGGUUGGGUUUCCAGGGUUUCGGUUGGCAGAGCAUCAGUAAGGAACUGUUCAAUAGGCUGGCAUGGGGGUCAGUCCCUAACGUAAUUCUGGUUCAUGGUGGGGGGAACGAUUUAGGCUUGAUCCCGCAGCGGGAACUGUUGAGGAGGAUGAAGAGGGAUCUGGAUCGGCUACGUAAGCUGGUUCCUGGCGUGGUAGUGGUCUGGUCCGAAAUGGUGCCUCGCUUUAAUUGGAGACACGCCAGGGAUUCGGCUGCGAUAGCGCGAAGUAGGGGUAAGGUCAAUAAGACCAUGGCGGUUUUCGUGAGGCGGAUGGGUGGCGUAGUUGUGCGUCACAAGGAGUUGGAAUGUAUGCUGCCCGGGUAUUUUAGGAUGGGGUUCAUCUAUCCCACGUGGGAUCGGAUUUACUUAAUUUGGGUUUUCAGGAUGGUAUUGCACAGGCCCUGUUUUUGUGUGGUGGGGGUCGCUCAUGUUCUUGAGGGGGUCAAGUCAUGUGCUGUGGCGGAAUAGGGCCUGGGUUAAAGAGGAUUUAGGUGGAAUAGGAAGUGGGCAGGCCAAGAUCUAGGCUGGACUAUGCCGGAGUGGAAAAUGGUUUGUAGGUUCUAGCUCGUUGGUGGCUACGAAUCUGGGGGUGUAGGGGUGUCUGGGUACACCCCUACAGUUAAACAUAUGGUUAUGGGGCCUCUUUGGUUAAACGUUAUGUAUUAUUGGAAUGUUUUAUUAUGUUAUUUGGUAGGGUCAUUGUCGGGGGUAUUGGGCAAGAAGGUCGGACAUAAUUAAUACUUGUGACAAUGACCCUAAAUUGUUAAAUUGUUGAAUUAAAAUUUUUCAUAAAGCUGUGGACUUUAUACUCCAACAGAAAUGGUGUCACAGAGUUAUUUUAUUAAGGUUUUAGCACAUGCCGAAUAACGACUGUGCACAUGUCAUGAAGCCCAUGGAGCAACACAGGAGGGGAGUGGGCCUUGACAGGGCCAGAGAGUUGGCAGGUGAAGUUAAGGUCAAGGGGUGUCGAAAAGUAAUGUCUGGACAGGGGGGGGAGGAGAAUAGGGUUUAAAUAACAGCCAAUUUGGUGAGCUGGCCUUUUUAAUCAAAAUCACACUUACUUGAUACUUGUCCAUCCCACCCUCCCUUUGUGUUCGGUUGUCUUGUUUGGUAGGUAGUUUCCCGUUUGGUCACAGCGGCGGGAAUAGGGCCUGGGUUAAAGAGGAUUUAGGUGGAAUAGGAAGUGGGCAGGCCAAGGUCUAGGCUGGACUAUGCCGGAGUGGAAAAUGGUUUGUAGGUUCUAGCUCAUUGGUCGCUACGAAUCUGGGGGUGUAGGGGUGUCUGGGUACACCCCUACAGUUAAACAUAUGGCUAUGGGGCCUCUUUGAUAGGCCAUGGGUUAAACGUUAUUGUAACUCCGACUGAGUACCCUCCGUUGACGGAUGCUCCUAGCGCUUCCUGAGGACUCCAAGCACUGCAGCAGACACCACAACCACCGCAGACUCCGCAACCGCCGUAUCUUGACUGGAGUCUCGCCGUCUUCCUUCCACCCUGGAUCAGCUUCUGUCCUCCAGGACUGUGUGGGAAAGAACUCUUCCUUCCACCCUGUAUGAACCUCCAGCAUCCAGGACUGUGUGGUGAAGACCCCUCCUCCAAGGAGAGCGUGUCAGGAACAAGCUCUUAAAAGAGCUAAGUGAUUCAAGCUCAGGGGAGCAUGCAGAGCAUAGCAACCCCCAGUGUGAUUAUAACAGCUCCCUCCAAUAACGAGACAAGGCUACGUUUAGAGGGAUCAAGAAGAACUGUCAAAACCUUUAUUUCCCCUGAGACCAGCCAAUAUGGUCACCACAAUAACAUUGUUGUGAAACCUCAAUAAAAUCACAAACAGACAAACCAUAUCAAGCAACACACAGUGAAUUAUCACAACACAAUGGCACAUUUUAAAAGGUGGAGGGAGACAAUAUUUAACAGUAAAUAUCUCACCUGCCUGCAAAAUUAGCAAUAUGCAAAUCUACCCGAAUAUGCAAAUGAACCAGUCUUGCAAUUCAGGUAGUGCAUAUUGCUGUUGCAACCAACAGAGAGCACUAGACAAGCUCCAUAGCCAAACCCACCUAGUUGGUAGCAAACCUCAGCAAUACAAGAGAGCAGGCAAUACAUUACACAGUACAUACACACACACUAUAAACAAUUACAUUACACACACCCUGCACCUAUAAUGGGUACAGGGUGACUAAAACAUAAGAUAAAUAAAGCAGCCUACAUAAAUAGUCUAAAAAAAAGGAUAAAAGGUGGGUGAAUAAACAAUAUAGACUAUUGGUAAACCAAGUGCAGGCAAGCCUCUGUAAAUUGGAUACUCCAAGUCCAAUAAGAAACAGCAAAUAUAUACAAAUUAACAGGGCGCCACAAUCACUAAAUAGGUAAAUAUAUAAAGGGAAGAAUCAAAUAUUUAUCCAAUAGCUGAAUAAAAUAGUAUUUUAUUAAUACAAAAUGAAUAAAAUCAUGGCACAACAAAGUGCUCAAACAUAUAAUAAAUAGGAACCCAUAGGUAUAGCAGCUCACUGGUGUAUAAUGCUAGAUAGGCAAUAAAGUGCAAAUGCUAAAGUGCACAAAAAUGGAAAAAGUGCAAAUAAUGGUGCUAAAAAAGCAUCCAAUUCAUAUCACAUAAGCAUAAUCAUAGCCUUAAACAUGUCCAGAAUGCAAAAAUAGACAGUUAGCACAUAAAAGCAGUAUAGCCACUAAUACCACAAUUCAGGGUCCCAAAGUACUGGUUGCUCAACGCGUUUCGUCGCUAGACUUCCUCAGGAGCUUCUGUCGUCUUCCUCCAUCUUCCUCUUUUUAAAUCUGCCGGUUCGUCCGUCGGCCGUCGUGAUCGCGCAUGCGCGCCUACGUCACCGCGCACGACGUCAUACGUCAUGACGUAUACGCGGCUAGUACGCGCAUGCGCAACCACAGUGGAACGCAAUAAAACUUUAUUGUUCAUCUACACGGUCACAUUUAGAGCGAUUAAAUAGAAAAAAACGCUCGAUUAUUCUGUAGACCGGAUUCACAUACCCUGCCUGCCCCCUACUAACCCCUAACAGAGGAGUACUAUAUAAACAGAGAGGGGAAAUAUAAAUUGGACAGGUAAUCAAAAGAGGGUUAAUACGAAGGAGGUAUAAAAGUAUAUAUACUACACAAAAUAUAAUAUUAUAAACAACAAUAUGUUAGAAAAAUAUGUAAGAAAAAUACAUUAAGGAAAAUAUAGGGGAAAAAAAAUAUAUAUAGGGAAAAAAAUCUCCAUUGUGAAAAGAGAAUGAGUCCAUUUAUAUUUCCAAAAUGACCGUCAUGGCAUACAACACAAAAGGUCUUACAAUGAUAAAUUACCUAAAUAUUGAUAUCAAUAUAAAUGUACAUAAGUAGUAUUGUAAAAGUAAUAUUGCAUGAUAUCAAAGUGUGGACAACAUCAUAAACUAAUAACCAAAUAGACACAAAUAUAGAUAUAAGAGAUAUAUCUCUAUAUAUGAGGCAAAUAGCAAUAUUAAUAAAAGGUGAACACAUAUAAAUCUAAACAGAGGACAUUGUUCAUAUAGCUUGUUAUAAUAUCAGAGUAUGGAGAACAUCAUAUAAAAAUUAAUAAUAAAUAAUAAUAACCAGAUGAACAUAGAAAUAGGUAUAAAAAAUGUAUCUAUAUAUAUAUAAAGUGCAUCACAAUAAUAAAGAAAGACAAACGUAUAAAUCUUGACAAAAAAGCAUUAUUCAUAUAGCUCGUGAUGACACAUGGUGAGUGAAGAAGGCAUAUAAAAAAGGUAUAUAAAAAAGGUAUAUAAAAAAGGUAUAUAAAAUCCUAAAAAAGGGAACACAAGAAGAGGACAAAAUUAAAAUCAUCAUUAAAUUAAUCUAUAAAGGCUAGUAUAUCCAAAUCAGUAUUCAAUCCUGAGGGAACAGAAGAUUUCAUUUUAUAUAUCCAUUCAGUUUCUUUCAUAGCUAGCCUUUUUUCCAUGUCACCACCUCUCCAAUGAGGUAAAAUUAUAUCGAUCCCAAUACAAAUAAAAUUUUUAAAAUCAAAAUCCUUACAAGUAUUACAAUGUCUAGGUACACUAUGUUUCUCAUUUUUAUUCUUGAUCCCAUUAAAAUGUUCAAGUAAUCUAGUAUGUAAUUUUCUAAUCGUCCGUCCAAUAUAUUGGACCCCACAUUUACAUUGCAACAAAUAUACUACAAAUUUACUAUGACAAUUAAUAAAAUGUUUAAUUUUAAAAGUUUCAUUAGUCACCGUACUAGAAAAUUCCAUGGUCUUAUUCUUCUGAAAUUUGCAUGUAUUGCAUCUACCACAUUUAAAAAAGCCAUUAGGUCUUUCUAUUAGAAAAUUCGUCUUCUCGAUCUCAACAGUUUUUUUAGGCAAAAUACUGGGGGCUAAAAUAUUCUUCAAAUUGUUAGAUCUUUUAUAGAUUACUCUGGGGUUCUGAGGUAAAAUCUUUUUUAAGAGGAAAGAUAUUCUAAUGAAUAACAAAAAGAUUAAGAAGGAUGCUGGGAAACAGUCUGAAUUUGCGUUUUUAACAAAAUUUAGCAAUAAAGCCAAUCUAAUAGAGAAGUCUAUUAAGAAGAAUUGGCCCAUUUUACUGCAAGAUAAAUUUUUAAAAAAGAUUUUACCUCAGAACCCCAGAGUAAUCUAUAAAAGAUCUAACAAUUUGAAGAAUAUUUUAGCCCCCAGUAUUUUGCCUAAAAAAACUGUUGAGAUCGAGAAGACGAAUUUUCUAAUAGAAAGACCUAAUGGCUUUUUUAAAUGUGGUAGAUGCAAUACAUGCAAAUUUCAGAAGAAUAAGACCAUGGAAUUUUCUAGUACGGUGACUAAUGAAACUUUUAAAAUUAAACAUUUUAUUAAUUGUCAUAGUAAAUUUGUAGUAUAUUUGUUGCAAUGUAAAUGUGGGGUCCAAUAUAUUGGACGGACGAUUAGAAAAUUACAUACUAGAUUACUUGAACAUUUUAAUGGGAUCAAGAAUAAAAAUGAGAAACAUAGUGUACCUAGACAUUGUAAUACUUGUAAGGAUUUUGAUUUUAAAAAUUUUAUUUGUAUUGGGAUCGAUAUAAUUUUACCUCAUUGGAGAGGUGGUGACAUGGAAAAAAGGCUAGCUAUGAAAGAAACUGAAUGGAUAUAUAAAAUGAAAUCUUCUGUUCCCUCAGGAUUGAAUACUGAUUUGGAUAUACUAGCCUUUAUAGAUUAAUUUAAUGAUGAUUUUAAUUUUGUCCUCUUUUUGUGUUCCCUUUUUUAGGAUUUUAUAUACCUUUUUUAUAUACCUUUUUUAUAUACCUUUUUUAUAUGCCUUCUUCACUCACCAUGUGUCAUCACGAGCUAUAUGAAUAAUGCUUUUUUGUCAAGAUUUAUACGUUUGUCUUUCUUUAUUAUUGUGAUGCACUUUAUAUAUAUAUAGAUACAUUUUUUAUACCUAUUUCUAUGUUCAUCUGGUUAUUAUUAUUUAUUAUUAAUUUUUAUAUGAUGUUCUCCAUACUCUGAUAUUAUAACAAGCUAUAUGAACAAUGUCCUCUGUUUAGAUUUAUAUGUGUUCACCUUUUAUUAAUAUUGCUAUUUGCCUCAUAUAUAGAGAUAUAUCUCUUAUAUCUAUAUUUGUGUCUAUUUGGUUAUUAGUUUAUGAUGUUGUCCACACUUUGAUAUCAUGCAAUAUUACUUUUACAAUACUACUUAUGUACAUUUAUAUUGAUAUCAAUAUUUAGGUAAUUUAUCAUUGUAAGACCUUUUGUGUUGUAUGCCAUGACGGUCAUUUUGGAAAUAUAAAUGGACUCAUUCUCUUUUCACAAUGGAGAUUUUUUUCCCUAUAUAUAUUUUUUUUCCCCUAUAUUUUCCUUAAUGUAUUUUUCUUACAUAUUUUUCUAACAUAUUGUUGUUUAUAAUAUUAUAUUUUGUGUAGUAUAUAUACUUUUAUACCUCCUUCGUAUUAACCCUCUUUUGAUUACCUGUCCAAUUUAUAUUUCCCCUCUCUGUUUAUAUAGUACUCCUCUGUUAGGGGUUAGUAGGGGGCAGGCAGGGUAUGUGAAUCCGGUCUACAGAAUAAUCGAGCGUUUUUUUCUAUUUAAUCGCUCUAAAUGUGACCGUGUAGAUGAACAAUAAAGUUUUAUUGCGUUCCACUGUGGUUGCGCAUGCGCGUACUAGCCGCGUAUGCGUCAUGACGUAUGACGUCGUGCGCGGUGACGUAGGCGUGCAUGCGCGAUCACGACGGCCGACGGACGAACCGGCAGAUUUAAAAAGAGGAAGAUGGAGGAAGACGACAGAAGCUCCUGAGGAAGUCUAGCGACGAAACGCGUUGAGCAACCAGUACUUUGGGACCCUGAAUUGUGGUAUUAGUGGCUAUACUGCUUUUAUGUGCUAACUGUCUAUUUUUGCAUUCUGGACAUGUUUAAGGCUAUGAUUAUGCUUAUGUGAUAUGAAUUGGAUGCUUUUUUAGCACCAUUAUUUGCACUUUUUCCAUUUUUGUGCACUUUAGCAUUUGCACUUUAUUGCCUAUUUAGCAUUAUACACCAGUGAGCUGCUAUACCUAUGGGUUCCUAUUUAUUAUAUGUUUGAGCACUUUGUUGUGCCAUGAUUUUAUUCAUUUUGUAUUAAUAAAAUACUAUUUUAUUCAGCUAUUGGAUAAAUAUUUGAUUCUUCCCUUUAUAUAUUUACCUAUUUAGUGAUUGUGGCGCCCUGUUAAUUUGUAUAUAUUUGCUGUUUCUUAUUGGACUUGGAGUAUCCAAUUUACAGAGGCUUGCCUGCACUUGGUUUACCAAUAGUCUAUAUUGUUUAUUCACCCACCUUUUAUCCUUUUUUUUUGUCUAUAUAUUUUAUACCUUCGGGUAUAAUUGCUUACUCCAUUAGGUGUGGUGUGAUUGAACACUUUUCUGCAAUUACUUCUCCUGAUUUGUAUUUAAGAUCACUUGUGAUAUGGCUUAUUGUAGACUUAUGACUACAACUAUGAGAGAUGCAAGGAAUAGACGUAUUGAAAGUCUAUUCUCUAGAGAAUCUACAACUAAUCACAAGGUAAAUAAUUUUUCAUUUCAAAAAAUGGAGAGGCUAGCAGAAAAGGAGGUUAAGAAAUGGUGGGAGAUUAAAUAUCUCCAACAGUAUUUAAAAUUAGGGAUUAUCCCCAGAGGGUUAAGAAUUGAAAAAGAACCUGCAUUUGGCCAAGAGAACUUAGAUUUUAUGACUAAGUGGAAUGAUACCCUUGACAAUUGUUCAAAUCGGUUAAUGGAAAUCCUGGUAAAAUACCAGGAAGAUUGUCUGAGAAAUAUAGAGGAGGAGAUCCACUCAGUGGAAUCUGAGAUUAAUAUGGCCUUUGAUGAAGAAACAAUAAAAGAAAAUAGUAAGUUAUUAAAUAAAAAUGUAGAAAAAUUAGAGGAAAAGAUUUUAAACAUUAAGGAAAAUAAAUUGAGUAGAGAUAAAGAUGAUUAUAAAAAAGGUAUACAAAGAGAAUGGAGAAAAAAGAGACCUAGAGGUUUCCAAAAUAACAGAGAUUAUCAUGAGAAUAGACCUCAUAAAUAUAAUGACGGCUUUAGAGGAGGGCAAGAUAGAAAUAUCGUCCAUAGAAAUCCUAAUUAUAAGAAAAACAGAGAUGGAUUUUCAUCUCCUAAGAGGAUUAGAAACUAUGAGGAACAAAAUAGGAUAGUGAGACGAAAAGAUAUUUCAAGUAAUAUGGCGAAUAGCAGAAAAAAAGAUGGAUCAUACAAUCAGAGGAAUAGCGUAAGGGAUAGGCCCUUUAUUCAGAGUAAUGUGGGAAACGGCAGAACAAGAGAGAGAUAUGAUCAAUCCGAGAUUUUUUUAGAGAACCAAUCCAGACAGGGACAGAAUGUCUGGACUCACAGAAACCGGUUCUCCCCCCUACAAACCCUCCAAACACCCUCCAAGAAAAGAAGACUUUUGGGGGCAACAGGAGGACUAGGGGAAAUAGAGGAAGGGGAAAUGUCGGAUUAAACAUUAAAACGAGUAUGGAAGGCAUUUUUAAUUUAUCUAAGGUGAUUUUUACUAAAGAACAAUUAGAGGUUUUUAAUAAAGGAUUAAAAUUUGCUCCACAAACAGAUCCCAAUAUGUUUGAACUUUUUAUAGAUAUGCAGAAAUUUUUAAGAAAAUUAACUAUUAAGAGAUUUUUUGAGAAGAAAAAUGAUGGAGGCACCAUUUAUAGUGAUACACAGAAUGAUCAAAGGACAGACGUUAGCUUGAGUGUAUCUAGGGCACCUGGAAUUGUACACUCUGGUCUAAAGAAUAAAUCCAAAUUUUUCCCUACUUGGGAAAAGGGGGACCAUAUACCAGUGUUCUGUGAAAUGGUGAUGAGUGAAUUCGAAAAAUUAUCUAAGAAUAAGGGUAAAGAUAAUUUAACCAAGAAAGAAAAACAAGCUUUAAAAGAAUUAAAAGAUAAUAAGGACAUAGUAAUCAGGCAGGCUGACAAAGGUGGAGGUAUUGUCAUCCUUAAUAGAAUUGAUUAUAUGACGGAGUCAAUGAGGAUAUUGAGUGAUUCAGAUACUUAUAAGGUUUUAAAGAGUAAUCCCACAGGUAAAUUUAAGGGAGAAUUACAUGAUAUUCUAUUAGUAGGUUUGGACAAUGGGAUUAUAAAUAAGGAUGAGUUUAAUUAUCUAUUUGUUAAUUCACCUAAAACAGCUGUUUUCUAUUACUUACCUAAAGUACACAAAUGUUUGGAAUCUCCACCAGGGAGACCUAUUAUCAGUGGGAUUGGGUCUUUAACAAAUAAUAUUUCACAGUAUAUUGAUUUCUUUUUACAGAAAUAUGUGGUUUUAGCUCAAUCUUACACCAAAGACUCCGUCCAGAUUAUCAAGGAAUUGGAGGGGCUUGAAUGGAAAGAUGAGUACCUCUGGGUAACAGUCGAUGUCACCUCCUUAUACACUGUGAUUGACCAUGAGAAGGGUAUUGAAGCAGUACGAAAUGUCUUGAGAUGUGAUCCAGAUAUGAAUCCGGGGCAGGCUAUUUUUGUUCUAGACCUCAUUCGAUUUAUUUUAUUUCAUAAUUAUUUUUGGUUUGAAGGGUUAUAUUACCUCCAAACCUGUGGGACUGCAAUGGGCACCAGGUUCGCACCAAGUUAUGCCAAUAUUUUUGUGGCUGAUUGGGAGUUGAACCAUAUUUGGCAGAAUAAUCCAUUUGGUGCGAACCUGGUGCAAUGGAGAAGGUAUAUUGAUGAUGUUUUAAUUAUUUGGAAGGGAGAUAGGAGUCUCUUAAUUGAAUUUUUAACGUAUAUCAAUUCUAAUUUAUAUGGUUUGAGAUUUACUGAAGAAAUCCAUGAUACACAUAUCAAUUUUCUUGAUCUUACCCUUUUUAUAAAAGAUAAAAGAAUUUUUAGCAAAACAUUUUUUAAACCGACAGAUGGUAAUGGUUUUAUUGAAUUUUCUAGUUGCCACCAUUAUAAAUGGUUGACUAAUAUCCCUAAAGGCCAACAAUUGAGACUAUAUAGGAACUGCACUGAGAAAGAAGAUUUUGAGAAACAAGUGCAAGUUCUGAACAGGAAAUUUUUAGAUAGGAAUUAUCCAGAACAGCUUCUAUUUAAUACACAAAAGCUGGUAGAAGGUUAUCAGAGGAAAGAUAUUCUAAUGAAUAACAAAAAGAUUAAGAAGGAUGCUGGGAAACAGUCUGAAUUUGCGUUUUUAACAAAAUUUAGCAAUAAAGCCAAUCUAAUAGAGAAGUCUAUUAAGAAGAAUUGGCCCAUUUUACUGCAAGAUAAAUUUUUAAAAAAGAUUUUACCUCAGAACCCCAGAGUAAUCUAUAAAAGACCUAACAAUUUGAAGAAUAUUCUAGCCCCCAGUAUUUUGCCUAAAAAAACUGUUGAGAUCGAGAAGACGAAUUUUCUAAUAGAAAGACCUAAUGGCUUUUUUAAAUGUGGUAGAUGCAAUACAUGCAAAUUUCAGAAGAAUAAGACCAUGGAAUUUUCUAGUACGGUGACUAAUGAAACUUUUAAAAUUAAACAUUUUAUUAAUUGUCAUAGUAAAUUUGUAGUAUAUUUGUUGCAAUGUAAAUGUGGGGUCCAAUAUAUUGGACGGACGAUUAGAAAAUUACAUACUAGAUUACUUGAACAUUUUAAUGGGAUCAAGAAUAAAAAUGAGCUUCCUACAACCCCCACCCAACCUACGACACAGACAGGACACAGACCGCGGACAGAUCCCCUGACUGGACUGAGACCCAAGGACGAAACGAUGCGGCCACACUCACACACAGGCACGAAGGCACUGGUGCCGGACUGUCUCUCUGUCCUCUCCAUAAACGCCAGAGGUCUCAAUAAACCGGAGAAGCGCUCAGGAGCGCUGAGAGACUUCCACGCUCAACGAGCCUCGAUAGUACUAAUACAGGAGACACACUUCAAGGGCGGGUCCAGGCCCAAACUGACAAACCAUCACUACCCCACGGGAUAUUACAGCGACUAUCACGCAGGAAGGUCCAGAGGCACGGCCAUUCUAGUUCACAAACAUAUACCUUUUGUAGAAACGGGCCAGCUGACGGACAGGGAAGGCAGAUUCCUCUUCCUAAAGGGCACAAUAGCAGGACAGGCCUAUACAUUCGCGAACGUCUACGCCCCGAACACCCGACAAUACAGAUUCCUGGCACACACACUUAGGAAACUAAGGCCCUUCACGGAGGGAAUCCUCAUAGUGGGGGGUGACCUAAACGUAGCGCUCAAUCCGCGGUGGGACACCUCCGCCGGACGAUCGUGGGUCCCGGCGCAAAACCUAAACUCAAUCAAGACCCUUCUAACUCGCCACCAGCUGAUAGACUGCUGGAGGGCCUAUCACCCGGACGAGAGGGAUUAUACGUUUUUCUCCCACGUGCACAACACUUACACCAGGCUAGACUACCUUUUUACCACGCACUACCAUUUACCAAUAACUAACGCUGCAGAACAUGGGGUGGCGACAUGGUCAGACCACGCGCCGGUAACCCUAACACUCUCGUCCCCCCUGUACAGACCCCGGCACAACAAAUGGAGGCUUAACGAAUACCUCCUUACUAGGCCCGACUUCACGUCCGAGGUCAACGACACACUCAAAGAAUACUUUGAGAUGAACACAACUGAACACACCUCACCGACCAUUAGAUGGGAGGCACACAAGAGCGUGAUACGAGGACACUUCAUCCGUCAGGGGUCCACCCUUAAAAAGCAGACAGAUAGUCGCCUGACGGAACUAGUGACCGAAAUACACAGGGUGGAAACACUCAACAAAACCACCCAACAAACGGCACACCAGGCGACACUACUACGUCUCAGACGGGACCUGACGAGCCUCUUACAAAGGAAACACCACAGAGACAUAACCAGACAUAAGGCCUUCUUCUUACUUCACGGCAAUAAAAGCGGUAAGCUACUGGCCAGAAUGUUAGCCAAACAGAGACAAAGAACGUACAUCGAUAAAAUGAGAGACGGGCAGGGCACCCUGCACCACCUACCCUCUAAAAUCCUCGACAUAACGCGGGAAUACUACGCGAACCUAUACGCCCUCCCCCGGCCCCUCCUAGACACGGCGAAAGACAGACUGCGGGAGAAAAUACAAGCCUACCUGUCAGCCCACCCCCCCCCGUCCAUAGACCAGGUAACCGCAGAAAGCCUAGACGAACCAAUUUCGAUAGAGGAACUAGCCUAUGCCAUUAAAGUGACAAAACAGGGUAAAAGCCCCGGUCCAGACGGGCUCCCGUUAAAGUAUUAUAAAACGUUCGCGGAACAUCUAUACCCCCCUCUCCUAGACACCCUGAACGCACUAAGGGAAGGACAUCACCUGCCAAAACAGUCACUGACCGCACACAUCGCACUCAUCCCGAAGGAAGGUAAGGACAGGGAACACUGCGGGAACUACAGGCCCAUCUCACUUAUCAACUGCGACGUCAAACUGUUAGCAAAGAUACUGGCCACACGCCUCCAGACACACAUCCCCACUCUAAUACAUCCAGACCAGGUUGGCUUCGUCAUGGGCCGCGAAGCAAGAGACAACACGAUCAGGGCACUGACGCUCAUGCACAGACGUAAUUGCGGGGACGAAGGCGUUCUACUGCUGUCCACGGACGCAGAGAAGGCCUUCGACAGAGUCGACUGGCAAUACAUGUUCCACACACUGGCCCACACUGGGCUGGGACCGCACUUCCGGAGAUGGGUCGAGGCACUGUACGACGGCCCCACAGCCCACAUCAUAGUAAACGGAGCCCUGACGGGUGACUUCCCUAUCACCAACGGCACACGGCAGGGGUGCCCCUUGUCACCCCUGCUUUUUGUGCUGACACUCGAACCCUUCCUGACGCACAUACGACAGGACGCAGCAAUCAGGGGCAUUGGACAUGGAGACACACAACACAAAGUCGCGGCAUACGCCGAUGACCUCCUCUUCUUUAUCACUAACCCGGAGGUCUCGCUCCCGAAUAUCCUGAAGGCCUUCAAGACCUUCGGAGAGAUAUCCAACCUCAAGAUCAACUUCACAAAAUCAUACAUCUUGAACGUUAGUAUACCAGAACACAGAGCCUCCCCCUUAAAGCAGAGCCACACAUUCCAAUGGGCACAACAUCAAAUACAAUACCUAGGCACAUGGCUGACGAGGAGGGAACCUGAUCUAUUCAGACACAACUUCAUCCCCCUGCUAAACAGGUUCCGGAAAGACCUGUCGGACUGGGCAUACCCACACAUAUCCUGGCUGGGCAGGGUCCAGGUUAUAAAAAUGAACCUGCUCCCACGCCUACUAUAUCUCAUGCAAGCCCUACCCAUUACCAUCCCCAGAUCAUUCUUUCAGGCCCUGCGACAGGAAACCGGGAAAUACAUUUGGGACCGCAAAAGACCGAGGAUCAAACUAGCCGCACUGACGUUGCCCAAGGACAGGGGGGGACUGGCCAUACCAGACUUCUCCCUGUACUACGAAUCCUGUCAACUCCAACGAAUUAUGGAGUGGACAAAAGAGAAGGUGCAUAAGAGAUGGAAAGAGGUAGAGGAAACGGAUGCGGGGAUACCGCUGUCCAUCGCCCCAUGGCUGGGGAGGGGAGGGAGCGGGAGACAAGGCACACCCUACACAACCGCAACCCUACGGGCAUGGGAGAGAGUAGCACAGAGAUGCAGACUAGCACCAUUCCCAUCCCCCCUUCUCCCUCUCACGCAUAACGACAGCUUCCCACCGGGGCUAGACCCCAACGCAUUCAGGGACUUAAUCCGACAUAAACCACCUAGACUACACCACCUGCUGGCAGGCACGGAAUGCAAAACACUUCCGACCCUAUUAGAGGGAGCAACCCCCACCCUCCUACACCACCUAAAACACAGACAACUACAGAGCUAUGUACACACCCUCCCGGGGGGCACGGCACGGAAACGUGAUCCUACCACAUUUGAAAGAAUGUGUAUGGACCCAGACCCGCAACCACACGGGUUCUCACUCAUUUACUCCAUGCUACAGAGGGAAACACCAACGGAGAAACCCAAAUUCAUGGGGAGAUGGGAACAAACAUUGGGGAAAACCUUCACAGACGGGGACUGGGAAAAGAUAUGCUAUUUAACGCAUCACUGCUCAGUCUUCAGCAAAACACAAGAAACGGUGUUUAAACUGUUAACGAACUGGUACUGCACCCCGAUCGCACUCCAUGCCAUGGACCCGGAACACACGGAUCUCUGCUGGCGGUGUAAUAGAGAGGCCGGCACAGUACUCCACCUGUGGUGGACCUGCGAAGCCAUAAAGCCCUUCUGGCGGAGUAUACACGGCUUCCUCAAAACCUUCUCAGACACGCCACCCCCCUUCCUCCCAGAACAUAUGCUCCUUCACCAUACAAGGUCACCUAGAACGAGAUACAAGCACUCACUAACCAUUAGAAUCCUAAACGUUGCCAAACAAUUGAUCCCUCAAUUCUGGAAGCAACAAACGACACCCCCGUUGACAUCCUGGUUCUCCCAAAUGGAGGAACUCAGAGCCAUAGAGGAACUCAUUAUGACCGCAUCCAACUCCUCGAAUAAGUACACGGACAUAUGGACCCACUGGAUACUGACUACCACCAAGGCAGAAUUCACAAACAGGCUCCAAUAUGACACAUAAGGACAAAGUGACGAAGCCGCAUAGACCGACAAAUACAGAGACGACUUAGACAGACGCGACCCAGACGCGGACGCACCCCGACCCCCCUACCUCCCUAGACGCCACUACCCGGACAUCCCCCAACCCCAAAUACUGCAUGCGAACAGACAAGUACUUGGCACACGCCAAGGACAACAUAAGAGAAGACUUAUAAGGCCUUCGGGAAGACACUCACCCCUCCACGAGGGGACAAUAGAACAGAAGACACCCACAUGCACGCACUACAGAUCAGGCCGCGGGACUUAACGUGAGACUCAAAGGGGCCAGCGGACCCACCCUGACACUUGGAGUUUACUGGAGGUAAUACCUGACCGCCUUACUGCAACGAGACACACGGGCCCGACNNNNNNNNNNNNNNNNNNNNNNNNNNNNNNNNNNNNNNNNNNNNNNNNNNNNNNNNNNNNNNNNNNNNNNNNNNNNNNNNNNNNNNNNNNNNNNNNNNNNUCUGUGUCAUGCAAUGUGUGUCUGUGCCAUUGUGUGUGUGUCUGUCAUGUAAUGUGUGUCUGUCUGUGUCAUGGUGUGUCUGUGUCAUGGUGUGUGUUUGUUUGUCAUGGUGUGUGUGUGUGUGUGUGUCUGUCUGUGUCAUGUAAUGUGUGUCUGUCUGUGUCACGGUGUGUGUGUGUCUGUGUCAUGGUCUCUCUGUGUUGUGGUGUGUGUGUCUGUGUGUCAUGGUGUGUGUGUCUGUCUGUGCCAUGUAAUGUGUGUCUGUGUCACAGUGUUUGUGUGUUUGUGUCACGGUCUGUCUGUGUUAUGGUGUUUGUAUGUGUCAAGGUGUGUGUGUGUGUCUUUUUUAAGGUGUGUGUCUGUCAUGGUAUGUGUGUGUGUCUGUCAUGGUAUGUGUGUCUCUCUGUCAUGGUGUGUCUGUGUUUCUGUCUGUGUCACGGUGUGUGUGUGUCUGUAUCAUGGUCUGUCUGUGUCAUGGUGUAUGUCUGUCAUGGUACGUGCUUUUUUGACAUUUUUUGUAUGGAUACUUUUUAUCAUUGUAUAAUGCUAAAGUAUCCCAUUUUGACAAGUCAGAUUCUAUAAACUUAAUGCCACCUCUUCUGAGAUUAACUCACUAGGGAAAUGCUUUCUCGCUUUCCAGAAUAUCUCCAACUACACAGAUAGACAGAUACCCAGAUACCCAUUGUACAGUGCUAUGGAAUACGAUGGCGCUAUAUAAAUAAUAAAAUAAUAAUAAUACACAUACAGACAGAGAGAGAGAGACACAUACAGACACACAGAUACACAUAUAAACAGAGAAACACACAGAAACACACAUACAUACAGACAGAUACACACAUACAGACACACAGAUACACAUACAGACAGAUACACAUAUAGGCAGAUACACAGACACACAUGCAUAUACACAUACAGCCAGAUACACACAGAGAUACACAGACACACAUGCAAAUACACAUACAGACAGAUACACACAUAUAAACACAUAUACACAUACAGACAGGUAUACACAGACAAACAGACACUCAUGGAAAAUAUAAUUAUUUGGUCACCCUCCUUUUGGCUGCAAAAGGUGACUUCCCUGGGGUCCAGUGGCUGGCUGAGGCUGUUGGGAGUCGGGCUCUCUACCAGUCCACGCUCACCCUACCUUUCUCCCUUCCAUGCAGCACUCUCUGUGUUAGCUGGAAAGGAAGUGACUGCACAUCCUCCAAGUGCUGUCCUCAUCACCGGAGGCCCGCUACGCUGUUAAAGCGCUGCAGCGCUGACCGGGCUCCUGCAGACUCAUUGCCAUCAGGUGAAACUAAGAGCAUGGGCCACCCAAUGGGCCCCCUCUACGUGUGGCCUGCCGUACUAAGGGGCAGUCUAUUCAUAUGAUUUUUAAUAUUAUGUUUACUUAGCCUCUACAUUUAGCAAAUAUGUUUAAUUGAGGUCUGAAAAAUAAAAUUAGAUGUAGAAAUCCACACCUCUGCCUUUAUUGGCAUCCUAGUACUAGAUGCCUCCAUUUUUAUUCCCUGUCAAUUCAAAGUGAAUUUCAAAAUUUAGCACAAAAGAACCAAAUUAGAAAAAAAUUUCCAAGCUAAUUCUGUUUUGAGUUUGAUUAUUUUGCCCUUAAAUUUGAAAUUCACUUUACACAAAUCUGCUUAUUUAAGCCUCUAUACAUAUCGUUACAUAGUUACAUAGUUACGUAAUUACAUAGCCGAAAAGAGACUUGCGUCCAUCAAGUUCAGGCUUCCUCACAUAUGUUUUUGCUGUUGAUCCAAAAGAAGGCAAAAAACCUAGUCUGUAGCUCUUCCAAUUUUGCAACAAACUAGGCAAAAAUUCCUUCUUGACCCCAAAAUAGCAGUCAGAUGUCUCCUUGGAUAAAGCAGCUAUUACCCCACUAAUUAGAAACUAUAUCCCUGUAUGUUAUGUUUUUGCAAGUAUUUAUCCUAAUUCAGUUUAAACAUCUGUAUGGACUCUGAUAAAGCCACCUCUUCAGGCAGAGAAUUACAAAUCCUUAUUACUCUUACUGUAAAAAAACCCUUUUCUUUGCCUUAGAUGAAAUCUCCUAUCUUCCAGCCUAAAUGUGUGACCGUGUGUCCUAUGUAUAGGCCUGUUUAUGAAUAGAUUUUUAGAUAAUGGUUUGUACUGGCCCUGAAUAUAUUUGUAUAAUGUUAUCAUAUCCCCUUUGAGUUGUCGAUUUCCAAACUAAAGAGAUUUCAAUUUUUUAACCUUUUUUAUUUUUUUAAUACACGCUCUCCAUUUUAUUCAAGAGUAAACAUAGUCUGAUCCUGGCUAAGAGAAAAUAGCUAGUAACUAGUCCUUCCUCACAUUUAGCUAAAUUGUGGUCAUAUAAUAUAAAUAUAAUGUCUGUUUCAGUAUGUGUGUCUGUUAGUAUGUAUCUCUGCGUGUGUGUGUGUGUGUGUGUGUGUGUGUGUGUAUCUGUGUUCUUUUGUAUCAGUGUGUGUUUGUGUCUGUGUGUGUUUGUGUCUGUGUGUGUAUUCCUGUGGGUGGAAUUUGGAGGUGGACCCUGUGGGCGGAAUUGGAGGCGGGCCCCAGGGGGCCCAGACCCUAAGCUGAGUUAGGGGCCCCAAAAUUUCUGCCAACAAUUCUCAUUUUGGUAAAAAAAAAAAAAAAAAUUUGAAAAAUGAUGUAUUAUUAGUGUUUAGAACAUAGUAACAUCAUUCCUUGUGUUACAAAUGGGCCAACCACAUUUUAUUUGUUAAGGCCCUUUAAAACCUUGGCGUUUAACACUGACCUUUUUCAACAAAACAUUUUUCUUAUAAAGGAGGAAUUUGUGUUUGUGGGCCACUGACAAAUAUGUGAAAAUCCAGUAUCAAAAUAAUAAAGGUCAGACGUGGACAACACAGUCUCUAAAUUCUCUUAAUAAAAACAAAAAAAUGGAGAUAACUACAGUAAAGAACAAUAAAUGGAAACAAAUGUAUGCAAAAUGAGAGAAUUAGAGGACAGAAUAAAGGUCGGUGUAGUCUACACAGUUCUACACAGUUCUCGCUUAUCUACAUGAUUGUAACUUCUCUGGAUACAUUUUAUUAUAUAUAUGUCCCCUGGAUUCCAUUUCCCUUGACAAAGAAUGUCAAAGAAGUAACAGUUGGUUUGUCAACCACCCCCUAGGACUGAUCACAUAACACUAUUGUUCACACAUAGCAUGCUCACAUAUUACACAUAAUUUUGGUCAGAAAAAGAUACAGUAUAUUGAGGCAGUCAUGGUUCUAAUGUAAUUUAGAACUGAUUAUUUCUCAACCAUACCGUUACAAUAUUUCCAAAUAUCAGUGUCAAGGCUGCUAUUCACCUGGUGUACCUGGUUCCCACCUGUCAUUAGUCCAUGUAUGUGGCAUUGCUAGCACUCAAAACAACCAUUGUUAAGGGAGCCCUACCACUAGUGAUGCUUACCUGUCCUUGAUAUGGGUUUCAACUUCAAAGUUCUGGCAACUAGUAAUGUAUUUCAUCAUACUCUCACCUUCUCAGUAUGCAUUCCAUUAUACAGUGCAGUCUCAACUUGCAUCAGGGCACUCUUGAUACUCUUGAUACCAUAACUACUGCAGCACACUGUAGUGGUUAUGGUGCUUGGAGUGUUCCUUUAACUCUUUGACUAAGACCACAAACAGCUUGAAAUAUUGCAAGAUUAUUUUAUAUUGAUUGUAGAACUAAUAUGGUCACUACAAUUGUUGCUAAAUUCAUAAUUUUAUUUAUCUAUAGAUUUGUGUUUGGCGUUUGGAUUAGUUAUGUUUUGUCAGUGUGGUAGAAAGAGAGUGGAGUGCUUAUAAAAACCACAAUAAAUAAAACAAAGUGAUGAAAAUAUUGUGUAGUGAUAGUGCUAAAAGUGCUGGGGAACAUUGAUAACUUGUAUAGUCUAAAGUGUACCAAGUCUCUGGUUCAAAUUAAUGCAAUGAAAAUAUCAUAUGCAAACAAAACAAUGAACUUUUCAAGUCCAAUUCAAACAGUGAUUUACAAUAUGUGAAACAAAAAGAUGAUAGAGGUUGAUACUUUCCAGUUUUUGAUGACAAUUAAAAGACCUAAAAAAUAAAAAUAUGAAUUUCAUAGUGCAGGCAAUCUGAUAUUCAAAGUUAAAGAUCAAUACCAAAAGAGGUGAUGGUAGAAUUACCAACUCACAAGUGGGGAGGCUUUAAUAAUGUCUCAAUCUUGACAGCAUAUUGAGUCUUUAAGAUCAGGGGACUCCCACCCUACUUUGAGAGGCUUUCUUCCAAUUCCCUUGGAGUUGAUAUAUAAAACAGGAAAAGUCCAGAAAUAGUCAAAUAUGUCUUUAAGACCAGAAAUCAAAUUUGAAAUACACUCACAUGUAAACGGGCCUUUUCCUAUAGGCUGUAUUUGCAAAGUGGACACCUAUUUAUUGGGUGGUGUUACACUCCAAAGAUAUACAGGAAAUCUCCAAAUUAAGGAAUAUUCCAAUUUAUUAGACAAAUAAAGAUACAAAUAUAAAAUCACAAUAAAACAAUAAAUGGGGCUUGUCCAAAAAGUGUUUCACCUAUUCAGGCUUUCUCAAUCAGUAAUAAAGCCACUUGUGUAUUGGUGUUUAUAUAUCCGUAUAAUGAAUUAUUAAUCACGUCUUUCUGUGGCCAAAUGGAUCCGACGUGUGUUCCACCUUUCAGAAACAGAUAGUUCAAGCCUUGUUUUCACUAUGCCAUAAGCCCCAUUAGUCCACUCAGCAGAAUUCUCUCCUCCUUUCAUUCAAAGAUUGCCACCACGAGUCAAACCUCAUUCUGACUCUAGUGGCGUCCAUCUUUGCAUUACAACCAUUGCAUUCCACCACUCGUUCUUACACAAUUUAGUACAAAAUGCAAGAAAUUUUAAAAAAUACAAGAGAUGGUACAAAAAUUGACAAUUUUCAUGUGCACUUACACUGAUCAACCACAACAUUAAAACCACAUUGCCUAAUAUUGUGUAGGUCCCCUCGUGCUGCAAAAACGGUUCUGAAAUUUCAAGACAUGGACUCUACAAGCCCUCUCAAUGUGUCCUGUGGUAUGUUUCACCAAGACAUUUGAAGCAAAUCCUUUAAGUCCUAUAAUGUGCGAGGUGGGGCCUCCAUGGAUUGGAUUUGUUGUUCCAGCACAUCCCACAGAUGCUCAAUCGGAUUUAAAGGCCAAGGGCACUCUGACCAGUCUGUGGCUACAGAGUUUUCCAAGUUUUUCUGCAAUUUGAGCUACGGUAGCUCUUCUGUGUGAUUGGGCCAGACAGGCAAGCCUUCGCUCCCCAUGUGCAUCAAUAAGCCUUGAGCUACCACGGCUCUGACGACUGUUCACCGGUUGUCCUUCCUUGCACCACAUUUGGAAGGUACAAAUCACUACAUAGCAGAAUCACUCCACAAGUCUUGCUGUUUUGGAGAUCUUCUGACACAGUCAUUAUUUGUUCCUUGUCAAAAUCACAAAAAAUGUUUUGCUUGCUCAUUUUUCCUGCUUCAGACACAUCAAAUCCUGACUGUUCACUUGCUGUCUAAUAUAUCGCACCCCCUGACAGGUGCCAUUGUAACAAUAUAAUUUUAUUCACUUCACCUAUUUGUGACUGAUCAGUGUAUGCAGAAUACAAACUUGUGCAAUUUUAAAUUUCUGCAUUUACCAGGCCACAACUGUAUGUGUUAGGAGAGUCCUGCUUCUUCACAAAUUAGCUUGAAAAAAAUAGAAAGGGAAAAUGUCUAAAGAUUAUUCAUACCAUAACCACUACAAUUAGCUGUACGACAAGCAACAAUGUUUCUGUUUCAACUCCUCCAAUGCAAUGUGUACCCAGGUUGUGUCUGGAAUAUAGGGAAGAGCUAACAAGUCCUUCCACGCUAUCUGUUUGUCCCCUGUGGCCCUUGUCAGAUCUCCUAUGCUGGAAUGAACUAAAUCCUAAAGUCAAUUGCUAAAUCUUUAAAAUAAAUUAAAAGAAAGCAGAGUAUGAACUUUUAGAUGUGCGUCAUUUCCAGAGAAGUGUCUUAUUACCUUUAAUCAGGCCCGGACUGGCCCACCGGGAUACCGGGAAAUUUCCCGUUGGGCCGUCGGCACCUGGGGCCGGGCAGGCAGCUGGCUCUUCUGGCGGCUGCAGGGGGAGCUCUUUCGGUGGCCGCAGGGGGAGCUGGCUGUUCUGUCUCUGCUCCCCUGCCCUCGCGCGCUAGAAAGAGACCGAGGCCGGAAUAUAAUGUCAUAUUCCGGCCCUGGUCUCAUUAAGCUGCGCGCUGGGGCGGGGGAGCAGAGACAGAACAGCCAGCUCCCCCUAUGGCCGCCAAAAGAGCUGCCCCUGCGGCCGCCAGAAGAGCCAGCACCCCCAUGCCGCCGCCAUCAGACUGAGCUCCCCCUGCGGCUGCCAGCACACAGGUAGAAAUGAUGUGUGUCAGUGUGAGUGUAUGUGUGUGUCUCUGUGUCAUUGUGUGUGUGUCUCUGUCUGUCAUGGUGUGUGUGUGUGUGUGUCUGUCUGUGUCAUGAUGUGUGUGUCUGACUGUGUCAAGGUGUGUGUGUCUGUCUGUGUCAUGGUGUGUGUGUGUCUGUCUGUGUCGUGAUGUGUGUGUGUGUCUGUCUGUGUCAUGGUGUGUCUGUCUGUGUCAUGGUGUGUGUGUGUCUGUCUGUCAUGGUGUGUCUGUCUGUGUCAUGGUGUGUGUGUCUCUGUUUGUGUCAUGGUGUGUGUGUGUGUGUCUGUCUGUGUCAUGCAAUUUGUGUGUCAUUGUGUGUGUCUGUCUGUGUCAUGGUGUGUGUGUCUCUGUCAUGGCGUGUGUGUCUGUCUGUGUCAUGCAAUGUGUGUCUGUGCCAUUGUGUGUGUGUCUGUCAUGUAAUGUGUGUCUGUCUGUGUUACGGUGUGUCUGUGUCAUGGUGUGUGUUUGUUUGUCAUGGUGUGUGUGUGUCUGUCUGUGUCAUGUAAUGUGUGUCUGUCUGUGUCACGGUGUGUGUGUGUCUGUGUCACGGUCUCUCUGUGUUGUGGUGUGUGUGUCUGUGUGUCAUGGUGUGUGUGUCUGUCUGUGCCAUGUAAUGUGUGUCUGUGUCACAGUGUUUGUGUGUUUGUGUCACGGUCUGUCUGUGUUAUGGUGUUUGUAUGUGUCAAGGUGUGUGUGUGUGUCUUUUUUAAGGUGUGUGUCUGUCAUGGUAUGUGUGUGUGUCUGUCAUGGUAUGUGUGUCUCUCUGUCAUGGUGUGUCUGUGUUUCUGUCUGUGUCACGGUGUGUGUGUGUCUGUAUCAUGGUCUGUCUGUGUCAUGGUGUAUGUCUGUCAUGGUACGUGCUUUUUUGACAUUUUUUGUAUGGAUACUUUUUAUCAUUGUAUAAUGCUAAAGUAUCCCAUUUUGACAAGUCAGAUUCUAUAAACUUAAUGCCACCUCUUCUGAGAUUAACUCACUAGGGAAAUGCUUUCUCGCUUUCCAGAAUAUCUCCAACUACACAGAUAGACAGAUACCCAGAUACCCAUUGUACAGUGCUAUGGAAUACGAUGGCACUAUAUAAAUAAUAAAAUAAUAAUAAUACACAUACAGAGAGAGAGAGACACAUACAGACACACAGAUACACAUAUAAACAGAGAAACACACAGAAACACACAUACAUACAGACAGAUACACACAUACAGACACACAGAUACACAUACAGACAGAUACACAUAUAGGCAGAUACACAGACACACAUGCAUAUACACAUACAGCCAGAUACACACAGAGAUACACAGACACACAUGCAAAUACACAUACAGACAGAUACACACAUAUAAACACACAUACACAUACAGACAGGUAUACACAGACAAACAGACACUCAUGGAAAAUAUAAUUUUUUAGUCACCCUCCUUUUGGCUGCAAAAGGUGACUUCCCUGGGGUCCAGUGGCUGGCUGAGGCUGUUGGGAGUCGGGCUCUCUACCAGUCCACGCUCCCCCUACCUUUCUCCCUUCCAUGCAGCACUCUCUGUGUUAGCUGGAAAGGAAGUGACUGCACAUCCUCCAAGUGCUGUCCUCAUCACCGGAGGCCCGCUACGCUGUUAAAGCGCUGCAGCGCUGACCGGGCUCCUGCAGACUCAUUGCCAUCAGGUGAAACUAAGAGCAUGGGCCACCCAAUGGGCCCCCUCUACGUGUGGCCUGCCAUACUAAGGGGCAGUCUAUUCAUAUGAUUUUUAAUAUUAUGUUUACUUAGCCUCUACAUUUAGCAAAUAUGUUUAAUUGAGGUCUGAAAAAUAAAAUUAGAUGUAGAAAUCCACACCUCUGCCUUUAUUGGCAUCCUAGUACUAGAUGCCUCCAUUUUUAUUCCCUGUCAAUCAUUGAUAUAAAUGCUGCUUUUUUUCUGCCAUUAAACAUGGUUAGUGAAAGAGGAGAAAUUGUACCAAUCCUUCCGUUUUCCCCCUCAUUUCUAUUGUCUACCCUGGCUGUACCCCGACAGAACCGAAUUGUGAUGUCACCUGCCACAUCUUCAAUUUACAUUUGAAAAGAAUACAGAUCCUCACAUGGAAAUGGUUAAACAAUUUAAAAGUUAUAUUCAUUGUUUCAUUCAGUUAUGCCAUUACCAGAAAGGUGACAAUUCCCCUUAAAACCAUUCUGUCCGUUUCAGGGAAAAGUGACUGGGUUAUUCACGAAAGUGAACAUUUUUGGAAUUCAAAGUGAAUUUCAAAAUUUAGCACAAAAGAACCAAAUUAGAAAAAAAUUUCCAAGCUAAUUCUGUUUUGAGUUUGAUUAUUUUGCCCUUAAAUUUGAAAUUCACUUUACACAAAUCUGCUUAUUUAAGCCUCUAUACAUAUCGUUACAUAGUUACAUAGUUACGUAAUUACAUAGCCGAAAAGAGACUUGCGUCCAUCAAGUUCAGGCUUCCUCACAUAUGUUUUUGCUGUUGAUCCAAAAGAAGGCAAAAAACCUAGUCUGUAGCGCUUCCAAUUUUGCAACAAACUAGGCAAAAAUUCCUUCUUGACCCCAAAAUAGCAGUCAGAUGUCUCCUUGGAUAAAGCAGCUAUAACCCCACUAAUUAGAAACUAUAUCCCUGUAUGUUAUGUUUCUGCAAGUAUGUGUCUUAAUUCAGUUUAAACAUCUGUAUGGACUCUGAUAAAGCCACCUCUUCAGGCAGAGAAUUACAAAUCCUUACUACUCUUACUGUAAAAAAACCUUUUCUUUGCCUUAGAUGAAAUCUCCUUUCUUCCAGCCUAAAUGUGUGACCGUGUGUCCUAUGUAUAGGCCUGUUUAUGAAUAGAUUUUUAGAUAAUGGUUUGUACUGGCCCUGAAUAUAUUUGUAUAAUGUUAUCAUAUCCCCUCUGAGUUGUCGAUUUCCAAACUAAAGAGAUUUCAAUUUUUUAACCUUUUUUAUUUUUUUAAUACACGCUCUCCAUUUUAUUCAAGAGUAAACAUAGUCUGAUCCUGGCUAAGAGAAAAUAGCUAGUAACUAGUCCUUCCUCACAUUUAGCUAAAUUGUGGUCAUAUAAUAUAAAUAUAAUGUCUGUUUCAGUAUGUGUGUCUGUUAGUAUGUAUCUCUGUGUGUGUGUGUGUGUGUGUGUGUAUCUGUGUUCUUUUGUAUCAGUGUGUGUUUGUGUCUGUGUGUGUUUGUGUCUGUGUGUGUAUUCCUGUGGGUGGGAUUUGGAGGUGGACCCUGUGGGCGGAAUUGGAGGCGAGCCCCAGGGGGCCCAGACCCUAAGCUGAGUUAGGGGCCCCAAAAUUUCUGGUGGCGGCCCUGCUGGUCAGUAUGCCUUGAGGACUGAUAUGGAAACCACUGCCUUAGAUGCAUGCCCCUUAUGAAGAAGGAUUGUUGAAAAAAGAAAACGUGGCAAACGUGUGAUAACAUCUCUGUAUAGUAUACAGUAGUUUAGAUUACAAUAAAGAAGUCAUGUAAAUAUAUAUAUAAUCGUUUUUGUACAGGGUUAUUGACUAAAAUGCGAAUCUUUGGAAAUUCAAAGCGAAUUUUAAAUUUAAGUAAAAAGGAUCUAAACUGGAAAGAUUCUCCAAAUCAGCUGUGCUUCCAGUUCCGCUACUUUUGGCUUGAAAUUUUAAUUUCACGUUCAAUUCACUUUAAAUUGCCAACAAUUCUCAUUUUGGUAAAAAAAAAAAAAAAAAAAUUGAAAAAUUAUUUAUUAUUAGUGUUUAGAACAUAGUAACAUCAUUCCUUGUGUUACAAAUGGGCCAACCACAUUUUAUUUGUUAAGGCCCUUUAAAACCUUGGCGUUUAACACUGACCUUUUUCAACAAAACAUUUUUCUUAAAAAGGAGGAAUUUGUGUUUGUGGGCCACUGACAAAUAUGUGAAAAUCCAGUAUCAAAAUAAUAAAGGUCAGACGUGGACAACACAGUCUCUAAAUUCUCUUAAUAAAAACAAAAAAAUGGAGAUAACUACAGUAAAGAACAAUAAAUGGAAACAAAUGUAUGCAAAAUGAGAGAAUUAGAGGACAGAAUAAAGGUCGGUGUAGUCUACACAGUUCUACACAGUUCUCGCUUAUCUACAUGAUUGUAACUUCUCUGGAUACAUUUUAUUAUAUAUAUGUCCCCUGGAUUCCAUUUCCCUUGACAAAGAAUGUCAAAGAAGUAACAGUUGGUUUGUUAACCACCCCCUAGGACUGAUCACAUAACACUAUUGUUCACACAUAGCAUGCUCACAUAUUACACAUAAUUUUGGUCAGAAAAAGAUACAGUAUAUCAAGGCAGUCAUGGUUCUAAUGUAAUUUAGAACUGAUUAUUUCUCAACCAUACCAUUACAAUAUUUCCAAAUAUUAUUGUCAAUGCUGCUAUUCACCUGGCGUACCUGGUUCCCACUUGUCAUUAGUCCAUGUAUGUGGCAUUGCUAGUACUCAAAACAACCAUUGUUAAGGGAGCCUUAUCACUAGUGAUGCUUACCUGUCCUUGAUACAGGGAGUGCAGAAUUAUUAGGCAAGUUGUAUUUUUGAGGAUUAAUUUUAUUAUUGAACAACAACCAUGUUCUCAAUGAACCCAAAAAACUCAUUAAUAUCAAAGCUGAAUAUUUUGGAAGUAGUUUUUAGUUUGUUUUUAGUUUUAGCUAUGUUAGGGGGAUAUCUGUGUGUGCAGGUGACUAUUACUGUGCAUAAUUAUUAGGCAACUUAACAAAAAACAAAUAUAUACCCAUUUCAAUUAUUUAUUAUUACCAGUGAAACCAAUAUAACAUCUCAACAUUCACAAAUAUACAUUUCUGACAUUCAAAAACAAAACAAAAACAAAUCAGUGACCAAUAUAGCCACCUUUCUUUGCAAGGACACUCAAAAGCCUGCCAUCCAUGGAUUCUGUCAGUGUUUUGAUCUGUUCACCAUCAACAUUGCGUGCAGCAGCAACCACAGCCUCCCAGACACUGUUCAGAGAGGUGUACUGUUUUCCCUCCUUGUAAAUCUCACAUUUGAUGAUGGACCACAGGUUCUCAAUGGGGUUCAGAUCAGGUGAACAAGGAGGCCAUGUCAUUAGAUUUUCUUCUUUUAUACCCUUUCUUGCCAGCCACGCUGUGGAGUACUUGGACGCGUGUGAUGGAGCAUUGUCCUGCAUGAAAAUCAUGUUUUCUUGAAGGAUGCAGACUUCUUCCUGUACCACUGCUUGAAGAAGGUGUCUUCCAGGAACUGGCAGUAGGACUGGGAGUUGAGCUUGACUCCAUCCUCAACCCUAAAAGGCCCCACAAGCUCAUCUUUGAUGAUACCAGCCCAAACCAGUACUCCACCUCCACCUUGCUGGCGUCUGAGUCGGACUGGAGCUCUCUGCCCUUUACCAAUCCAGCCACGGGCCCAUCCAUCUGGCCCAUCAAGACUCACUCAUUUCAUCAGUCCAUAAAACCUUAGAAAAAUCAGUCUUGAGAUAUUUCUUGGCCCAGUCUUGACGUUUCAGCUUGUGUGUCUUGUUCAGUGGUGGUCGUCUUUCAGCCUUUCUUACCUUGGCCAUGUCUCUGAGUAUUGCACACCUUGUGCUUUUGGGCACUCCAGUGAUGUUGCAGCUCUGAAAUAUGGCCAAACUGGAGGCAAGUGGCAUCGUGGCAGCUGCACGCUUGACUUUUCUCAGUUCAUGGGCAGUUAUUUUGCGCCUUGGUUUUUCCACAUGCUUCUUGCGACCCUGUUGACUAUUUUGAAUGAAACGCUUGAUUGUUCGAUGAUCACGCUUCAGAAGCUUUGCAAUUUUAAGAGUGCUGCAUCCCUCUGCAAGAUAUCUCACUAUUUUUUUACUUUUCUGAGCCUGUCAAUUCCUUCUUUUGACCCAUUUUGCCAAAGGAAAGGAAGUUGCCUAAUAAUUAUGCACACCUGAUAUAGGGUGUUGAUGUCAUUAGACCACACCCCUUCUCAUUACAGAGAUGCACAUCACCUAAUAUGCUUAAUUGGUAGUAGGCUUUCGAGCCUAUACAGCUUGGAGUAAGACAACAUGCAUAAAGAGGAUGAUGUGGUCAAAAUACUCAUUUGCAAAAUAAUUCUGCACUCCCUGUAUGUAUUUCAACUUCAAAGUUCUGGCAACCAGCAAUGUAUUUCAUCAUACUCUCACCUUCUCAGUAUGCAUUCCAUUAUACAGUGCCAUAGUCUCAACUUGCAUCAGGGCACUCUUGAUACUAUAACUACUACAGCAAAUCCUUUAAGUCCUAUAAUGUGCGAGGUGAUGCCUCCAUGGAUUGGAUUUGUUGUUCCUGCACAUCCCACAGAUGCUCAAUCGGAUUUAGAGGCCAAGGGCACUCUGAUCAGUCUGUGGCUACAGAGUUUUCCAAGUUUUUCUGCAAUUUGAGCUACGGUAGCUCUUCUGUGUGAUCGGUCCAGACAGACAAGCCUUGGCUCCCCAUGUGCAUCAAUAAGCCUUGAGCUACCACGGCUCUGACAACUGUUUACCGGUUGUCCUUCCUUGCACCACAUUUGGUAGGUACAAAUCACUACAUAGCAGAAUCACCCCACAAGUCUUGCUGUUUUGGAGAUCUUUUGACACUGUCAUUAUUUGUUCCUUGUCAAAAUCACUAAGAUAUUUUUGCUUGCUCAUUUUUUCUGCUUCAGACACAUCAAAUCCUGACUGUUCACUUGCUGUCUAAUAUAUCGCACCCCCUGACAGGUGCCAUUGUAACAAUAUAAUCAAUUUUAUUCACUUGACCUGUUUGUGGCUGAUCAGUGUAUGCAGAAUACAAACUUGUGCAAUUUUACAUUUCUGCAUUUACCAGGCCACAACUGUAUGUGUUAAGAGAGUCCUGCUUCUUCACAAAUCAGCAUGAAAAAAACAGAAAGGGAAAAUGUCUAAAUAUUAUUCAUACCAUAACCACUACAAUGAGCUGUACGACAAGCAACAAUGUUUCUGUUUCAACUCCUCCAAUGUAAUGUGUACCCAGGUGGUGUCUGGAAUAUAGGGAAGAGCUAACAAGUCCUUCCACGCUUUCUGUUUGUUCCCUGUGGCCCUUGCCAGAUCUCCUAUGCCAGAAUGAACUAAAUCCUAAAGUCAAUUGCUAAAUCUUGAAAAUAAAUUAAAAGAAAGCAGAGUAUGAACUUUUAGAUGUGCGUCAUUUCCAGAGAAGUGUCUUAUUACCUUUAAUGGUGGACAUAUGCUUGUGUAUCGGCUCUAAUUAAUCAUUACAAGGGAAUCAUUAUUUGUUUAUUUUUUAAAAUAAUAAUAAUCUUGACCUAAACUGAUAUAGUAUUAAUUAUAGUACGGCAACCCCUUUCAUUUACAAUUUGUGCAUACAUGGAAAAACUAAUGAGCAAUGAAAUAAGCCUGGAUGUCCUAGGAACUAUUCCUAAGAAUUAUCAGUAUUCAUUGCACAGAUGUUGAUUGUGUUAAAUGGGCAAAAAUCAAGUGUGUGUUUGUAUGAGUGUGUGUGUAAAUAAUGCAGAGUGUGUUCAUUAUAUACACACACACUCUGCAUUAUAUACACACACACUCUGCAUUACAUACACACACACAGUGGCGUACAUAACAGGGUCGCAGGGGUCGCAGCUGCGACCGGGCCUGGCCCACCAGGGGGUCCGGCCGCCCCUGCGACCCAGUAUGCACACACUGGGCCAGCCUCUUCUCCAGGGGGGCCCAGGAGCCGGCCACCUCAGGGCCCCUUGAGGCUGGCCCUGCUGACACCCGGCAGGCAGGCGGGAGAGCGCGCGAGGGAGCACUCUGCUCUGAGUGCUUCCUCUUCAGCUCCUUUGCGCACCGAACAGAUACGGGAGCCGGAAGAUGACGUCAUCUUCCGGCUCCCGGCAUCCCUACACGGUGCGCGAUGGAGCUGAAGAGGAAUCACUCAGAGCAGAGUGCUUCAUCGUGCGCCGGCCACCCAGACAGCCAGCCCGCCAGCCCGCCGGGGUCUGCAGCACCACUGGACCCCAGGGCAUCCCCCCAGCACUCCAAAAGGUAAGGAGGCUGGGGGGAUUAUAUUAAAAAAAAUGUGUUUGUGUGUGUGUGUUAGUGUGUGUGUGUUAGUGUAUCUGUUAGUGUGUCUGUUAUUGGGUGUGUGUCUACUAGUGAGUGUCAGUGAGUGUGUUACUGAGUGUGUUUGAUGUCUGUUAUUGAGUGUGUGUUUGUCAGUGAAAGUGUAUGUUUUGUAAGUGAGUGUGUAUGUAUGUCUGUCACUGAGUGUGUGUCUGUCAGUAAGUGUGUGUGUCUCUUAGCUAGUGUGUAUGCAUCUGUUUCGUGAGAGUGUGUGUGUGUGUCUUAAGCAUUUACCUUUCUCUGGAUUCCCUUGGCGCUGGGGAUCCCUCUGUAUCUCAGCUCGGAAUGCACAUGUGCAGCAAAAGGUGCGCGCGCAUUUAAACCGCCCAUAGAAAAGCAUUACUCAAUGCUUUCCUAUGGACGUUCUGUGUCUUCUCACUGUGAUUUUCACAGUGAGAAUCAUGGAAGCUCCUCUAGCGGCUGUCAAUGAGACAGCCACCAGAGGCUGGAUUAACCCUCAGUGAAACAUAGCCGUUUCUCUGAAAUGGCUAUGUUUUCAGCUGCAGGGUUAAAACAAGAGGGACCUGGCACCUUUAAAGGACCACUAUAGGCACCCAGACCACGUCAGCUUAAUGAAGUGGUCUGGGUGCCUGGUCCAGCUAGGAUUAACCCUUUUUUUUAUAAACAUAGCAGUUUCAGAGAAACUGCUAUGUUUACACUGAGGGUUAAUCCAGCCUUUAAAGCCUCUAGUGGCUGUCUCAUUGACAGCCACUAGAGGCGUUUGCGUGCUUCUCACUGUGAAAAUCACAGUGAGAAGACGCCAGCGUCCAUAGGAAAGCGUUGUAAAUGCUUUCCUAUGAGACUGGCUGAAUGCGCGCGUGGCUCCUAGUAGGAAGGAGAGGAGGAGGAAAGCUCCCUGCCCGGCGCUGGAGAAAGGUAAGAUUUUAACCCCUUCCUCUCCCCAGAGCCCGGCGGGAGGGGGUCCCUGAGGGUGGGGGCACCCUCAGGGCACUAUAGUGCCAGGAAAACGAGUAUGGUCCUUUAAGUGUGUGUGCAUACCGCGGUCGCAGGGUCGCAGCCCUGCAACCCCUGCAACCCCUGCGACCAGGUGCCCGCCGCCAUGUGUUGGGAGGGGGUGGGGCCCACGGAUCAAUUUUCGCACCGGGGCCUCAUGGGUCAUGUGUACGCCACUUCACACACACUCAUACAAACACGCACUUUGCAUUAUAUACACACACACUCUGCAUUAUAUGCACACACACACACUCUGCAUUAUAUACACACACACUCAUACAAACAAACACUCUGCAUUAUAUACACACACUCUCUGUGUGUAUAUAAUGCAGAGUGUGUAUGUGNNNNNNNNNNNNNNNNNNNNNNNNNNNNNNNNNNNNNNNNNNNNNNNNNNNNNNNNNNNNNNNNNNNNNNNNNNNNNNNNNNNNNNNNNNNNNNNNNNNNUAUAUAAUGCAGUCUGUGUUUGUGUGAAUGUAGUGUGUGUGUGUGUGUAAACUGGUUGGGGGAGGGCAUGUUUAUUAUUUAAAUUUUUAAAUUUUAUUUUAAUAUUGUUAUUUUCAUAUUUUUUAUUUUAUUUUAAUAUUUUUAUUAUUUCAAUAAUUUAUUAUUAUUAUUUUUUUGUCCCUCCUCCCUGCCUGUUGCCUGGCCAGGGAGGGGGGGCUAUAUUAUUCCCUGGUGGUCCAGUGGCAUGGGCUGUGCAGUGGUUUACCUUUGUAGGCUGGUUACGAGCUCUUACUUACCUUUGUAGCAGCUCCAGUCAGCUCCCUGUCAGCUCCGUGCAGCUCCCCCAUUCAGCUCACAGUGUAAGUCUCGCGGUAUGACGGCCGUGGGUGUCGCAAGACUUACACUGUGAGUUGAACGGGGAGCUGCACAGAGCUGACAGGGAGCUGACCGGAGCUGCUACAAAGGUAAGUAAGAGCUCGUAACCAGCCCCCAACAGGGCCGCCGGGCUUGUAAUGAGCUUGACUCGAGUAUAAGCUGAGUGGGGCUUUUUCAGCAAAAAAAUGUGCCGAAAAACUCGGCUCAUACUCGAGUAUAUACGGUAGUUUAUAUAUAAUGGCAUUUGAUGUUUUUCAGUUAUGUUGUUAUUUAUCUACAAUAAAGUAUCAAUCCCUAAAACAAAUCAUCAAACUGAUUAUUUUAACCCCUUAAAGGCAGAGGCAAUUGUACACGUUUUGAGCAACACAGUAUGUAAACAAAACCUGGAAUUUGACUAUAUGUCUGUUCAACCAUAAUUUACCUCUUUCAUAUUAAGUGCACCCACACUUAUUAUAUAUCAUUUUGUGUAGGAGAAAAAAGGCUUUCAUUUUACAGCAAAUAUUUAUGUAUGAAACAUAAAUUUAUAUUAAUAAAAUCUAAAAAAAGAGUGAGAAAUUAUAACAACGUGUUAUUCUUUUAGUUUUGCUUGGCAUUUUAACUGUGAAUGUCAUAAUACUGUUUGUUUUUGAGGAGGUGAGUACCUGCUGGCUCCCAGGGCUGAAAGCUGCUAUGGCAUCCUAUGCCAACGCUGCUUUAAAGCCUAAUAAAUGCAGGUCGGCAUAGAACACCAUAACGGCGUUGUCGGGUUAAAAUAACCAUUUGGAGUUUUCUUGUAAACCUAUCAUAUAUUUGCCAAUUUCUGAAUUUUUAUGCAAGUACAAAUUGCCCUAUAAUAGCGACUAAAAAUCAUGUGUCUAGAAAGGAAAAAAGACAGCAAAGAGGUUAGCUGGCAUCUUCUCUCCAACUGCUCUGAAAUAUCAAAGAGAAAAAAUUGCAGGGGCAAUUUCCGAUAAAGUUUCAAAUACUUGCCACGAUCUACAAGUUGAUUCUGAAUAUUGGGCUUCCCCAAUCUAGUUUAAAGGACCACUCCAUACCACAAAAGCAAUUCAGCUUGCUGAAGUGCUUUAUGGGUGAGGAGUAUCCUCAUUUAACCCCAGUUUAUAAAAGCGCUGAUUUCUAUGAGAUUUGGGAAAUAGUGAUCACAAUAUGGUAAAUAAACUCAAAAAAGCAAAAGCAAGUGGGGUAUACUAAAACAUAUAAUUUAAAAAAAGCCAAUUUCAAUAAGAUUAGGGCAGCUCUACAACAUAUCGACUGGCAUAAACUCCUUAGUGAUAAAAACACUGAGGAUAAAUGGAAACUAUUCAAACAAAUAUUAGAAAGGUACAUUUCUCAGUAUGUACCAUAGGGUAAUAAAUGUAAAAGAAACAAAUUAAAACCAAUAUGGCUUAGUAGAGAAGUAAAACGAGAUUAAAAAUAAGAAAAGGGCAUUUAAAGCAUUUAAAUCAGACAAAUCAGAGGCAUCCUAUUUAAGAUGUAAGGAAGCCAAUAACACUUGCAAAAAGGCAAUUAAAAUGGCUAAACUAGAAAACGAGAAAUUGAUAGCUAAAGAAUGCAAAAUCAACCCCAAAUUUUUUUUCAAGUACAUCAAUUCUAAAAAAACAAAAAAUUAAAGUGUAGGUACACUGGAAACAGAGUUGGGUUUAUUAGCUAAUGAAGACCAGGAAAAAGCAGAAAUUUUAAAUAACAAUUUUUCUUCAGUAUAUAUAAAUGAGGAUCCUAUGGCAAGAGAUAUGCAAAUGAUUAAUGCAAAAAACUUGCAGAUAACUUGUGAUUGGAUAACUCGAGACAAGAUGCUACAGCUAUUGAAGAAAAUUAAUGUAAAUAAAGCUCCGGGGCCUGACGGUAUUCACCCACGAGUNNNNNNNNNNNNNNNNNNNNNNNNNNNNNNNNNNNNNNNNNNNNNNNNNNNNNNNNNNNNNNNNNNNNNNNNNNNNNNNNNNNNNNNNNNNNNNNNNNNNGAUUUCUGGUCUUAAAGACAUAUUACACUAUUUCUGCACUUUUCCUGUUUUAUAUAUCAACUCCAAGGGAAUUGGAAGAAAGCCUCUCAAAGUAGGAUGGGAGUGCCCUGAUCUUAAAGACUCAAUAUGCUGUCACGAUUGAGACAUUAUUAAAGCCUCCCCACUUGUGAGUUGGUAAUUCUACCAUCACCUCUAUUGGUAUUGAUCUUUAACUUUGAAUAUCAGAUUGCCUGCACUAUGAAAUUCAUAUUUGUAUUUUUUAGGUCUUUUAAUUGUCAUCAAAAACUGGAAAGUAUCAACCUCUAUCAUCUUUUUGUUUCACAUAUUGUAAAUCACUGUUUGAAUUGGACUUGAAAAGUUCAUUGUUUUGUUUGCAUAUGAUAUUUUCAUUGCAUUAAUUUGAAUCAGAGACUUGGUACACUUUAGACUAUACAAGUUAUCAAUGUUCCCCAGCACUUUUAGCACUAUCACUACACAAUAUUUGCAUCACUUUGUUUUAGUCUUUUAAUACAUUUAUUGUGGUUUUUAUAAGCGCUCCACUCUCUUUCUACCACACUGACAAAACAUAAUUAAUCCAAAGAUGAUAACAGACAGAAACCUGCAGAUGAGGCUCCUUUUCUAACUUUUUUCUAUCUUUUUCAGCACUGCACCAAACACAAAUCUAGAAGAUAAAUAAAAUUAUGAAUUUAGCAACAAUUGUAGUGACCAUAUUAGUUCUACAAUCAAUAAAAAAGAAUCUUGCAACAUUUCAAGCUGUUUGUGAUCUUAGUCAAAGAGUUAAAGGAACACUCCAAGCACCAUAACCACUACAGUAUGCAGUAGUAGUUAUGGUAUCAAGAGUGCCCUGAUGCACCCCGAUGUAAAUAGUCAAAUGGUUUGACAACUACAGAGCACUGUUUUGGUCAUGAUACUUGGAGUAGCCCUUUUAAUUCUCAGAAACACUUACAGCAUAAUAAUGCAAUACAGUAGAAACAGUGGGUUUUUCUUUAUAUUCACGCUGGGGCUCCCCCUUCUCAUCUCCUACUUUGUCAGUCAUAAAAUGUAUGUUUUGUUAUUCUUCCCACAAAAAACAGAACUCUGAACAAUGCCUGUAGUCCCUUAGAGUUAAAAUAAUCAAGAAAUAAUUCACUAGUAAAGAAAUCAUUUUAGUUUUUACUUACAGACUUGUUACUGAAUCAGAAUAAAGUAAAACUGAGAGAGUUGUUUACUGCUGGUCUAACCUACAGCAACAGCAAGUAAAUCUCAUUCAAUUUGGUUUCUUAAUUAAGAAAUUCACUGUAAACAACUAACUAAAAACACAGGUAGAAGUCAGCACUCGGAAAAGCACGUACGCAUGUAGAGUCGUGUGCUCAUGCCUUAGGCCCAUCCAAAAAUAGAAGCAAAUUUAACUUUUAGACAACAAAUAUUUCUACUUUAUAUCACAACUUUUCAAGCAGCCAGGUAUAUUUGGUGUUAGGAAUAGUUUUAUUUAAUUUAGAUAUUUAAUAGCAAGUUGUUUGAAGGUAAAUAAAACUAAAAUGCACUUAUCCAAACUAAAUUUGCCAAGAAUCUUGAUAAGUCAACAAAACAGCAAUGUUUGAAAUUCAUUGAUUAAAGGUACACUCUGAACACUAAUACAACUCUAGUGCAUUUGAUAUUUUUCUUUGCCUCAUUAAUGUGCAGUAUUUUUUGCAUGUACAAAUCUUUAUAUUUUUUGCACAAAAAAAAUGUUUUGCAAAAUACUGCCCCAUAAGUCUUUAGAUAGUUUUUAGAGAGUUGAAGGAAUAUGCUGCAGAGGAAUGAUUAUUGAAAUCGGCUACAAAAGGGGUGGCAUCCAAAAAUGUUGAAACACAUAUCAAGGGCAGGUAAGCAUCACUAGUGAUAGGGCUCCCUUAACAAUGGUUGUUUUGAGUGCUAGCAAUGCCACAUACAUGGAUUAAUGACAGGUGGGAAUCAGAUACGCCAGGUGAAUGGCAGCCUUGACAAUAAUAUUUGGAAAUAUUGUAACGGUAUGGUUGAGAAAUAAUCAGUUCUAAAUUACAUUAGAACCAUGACUGCCUCGAUAUUCUGACCAAAAUUAUGUGUUAAAUGUGAGCAUGCUAUGUGUGAACAAUAGUGUUAUGUGAUCAGUCCUAGGGGGUGGUUAGCAAACCAACUGUUACUUCUUCGACAUUCUUUGUCAAGGGAAAUGGAAUCCAGGGGACGUAUAUAUAAUAAAAUGUAUCCAGAGAAGUUACAAUCAUAUAGAUAAGCGAGAACUGUGUAGAACUGUGUAGACUACACCGACCUUUAUUCUGUCCUCNNNNNNNNNNNNNNNNNNNNNNNNNNNNNNNNNNNNNNNNNNNNNNNNNNNNNNNNNNNNNNNNNNNNNNNNNNNNNNNNNNNNNNNNNNNNNNNNNNNNUAAUUCUCUCAUUUUGCAUACAUUUGUUUCCAUUUAUUUUUCUUUACUGUAGUUAUCUCCAUUUUUUUGUAUUUUAUUAAGAGAAUUUAGAGACUGUGUUGUCCACGUCUGACCUUUAUUAUUUUGAUACUGAAUUUUCACAUAUUUGUCAGUGGCCCACAAACACAAAUUCCUCCUUUUCAAGAAAAAUGUUUGUUGAAAAAGGUCAGUUUAAACGCCAAGGUUUUAACCCCUUAAGGACACAUGACAUGUGUGACAUGUCAUAAUUCCCUUUUAUUCCAGAAGUUUGGUCCUUAAGGGGUUAAAGAGCCUUAACAAAUAAAAUGUGGUUGGCCCUUUUGUAACACAAGGAAUGAUGUUACUAUGUUCUAAACACUAAUAAUAAAUCAUGUAUAUUUUACAUGUACAGGUUUUUUUUUUUGUUUUUUUUUUUACCAAAAUGAGAAUUGUUGCCAAUUUAUAGUGAAUUGAAAGUGAAAUUCAAAUUUCAAGCUAAAUUAGCAGAACUGGAAGCACAGCUGAUUUGGAGAAUCUUUCCAGUUCAGAUACUUUUUCCUUAAAUUUAAAAUUCACUUUGAAUUUCCAAAGAUUCGCAUUUUAGUCAAUAACCCAGUACAAAAAACUAUGUUAUAUAUAUAUAUAUUUACAUGACUUCUUUAUUGUAAUCUAAACUACUGUAUACUAUACAGAAAUGUUAUCACAAGUUUGCCACGUUUUCUUUUUUCAACAAUCUUCUUCAUAAGGGGCAUGCAUCUAAGGCAGUGUUUCCCAACCCAGUCCUCAAAGCACACCUACCAGUCCAGGAUUUAGGGAUUACCCAGUUGUGUCUAAGGUGUUUUUUUUCUUCUUUGUAAAAACACCUUAGACACAACUGGGUAAUCCCUAAAUCCUGGACUGGUAGAGGUGCCUUGAGGACUGGGUUGGGAAACACUGAUCUAAGGCAGUGGUUUCCAUAUCAGUGCUCAAGGCACACUGAUGAGCAGUGCAGCCACCAGCUCAGUUCAGGGUCUGGGCCCCCUGGGGCCUGCCUCCAAUCCCGCCCACAGGGUCCGCCUCCAAAUCCCACCCACAGGAAUACACACACAGACACAAACACACACACUGAUACAAAAGGACACAGAUACACACACACAGAUACAUACUAACAGACACACAUACUGAAACAGACAUUAUAUUUAUAUGAUAUGACCACAAUUUAGCUAAAUGUGAGGAGGGACCAGUUACUAGCUAUUUUCUCUUAGCCAGGAUCAGACUCUGUUUACUCUUGAAUAAAAUGGAGACCAUGUAUUAAAAAAAAAAGGAUAAAAAAUUGAAAUCUCUUUAGUUUGGAAAUCGACAACUCAGACGGGAUAUGAUACCAUUAAACAAAUAUAUUCAGGGCCAGUACAAACCAUUAUCUAGAAAUCUAUUCAUAAACAGGCCUAUACAUAGGACACAAGGUCACACAUUUAGGCUGGAAGAAAGGAGAUUUCAUCUAAGGCAAAGAAAAGGUUUUUACAGUAAGAGUAAUAAGGAUAUGGAAUUUUCUGCCUGAAGAGGUGGCUUUAUCAGAAUCCAUACAGAUGUUUAAACUGCAAUUGGAUAAAUACUUGCAAAAACAUAACAUACAGGGAUAUAAUUUCUAAUUAGUGGGGUAAUAGCUGCUUUAUCCAAGGAGACAUCUGACUGCUAUUUUGUGGUCAAGAAGGAAUUUUUUCCUUGUUUGUUGCAAAAUUGGAAGCGCUACAGACUAGGAUUUUUGCCUUCUUUUGGAUCAACAGCAAAAACAUAUGUGAGGGAGGCUGAACUUGAUGGACGCAAGUCUCUUUUCAGCUAUGUAAUUACGUAACUAUGUAACGAUAUGUAUAGAGGCUUAAAUAAGCAGAUUUGUGUAAAUUGAAUUUCAAAUUUAAGGGCAAAAUAAUCAAACUCAAAACAGAAUUAGCUUGGAAAAUUUUUCUAAUUUGGUUAUUUUGUCCUAAAUAUUGAAAUUCACUUUGAAUUCCAAAAAUUUUCACUUUGGUGAAUAACCCUGUCACUUUUCCCUGAAACGGACAGAAUGGUUUUAAGGGGAAUUGUCACCUUUCUGGUAAUGGCAUAACUGAAUGAAACAUUGAAUAUCACUUUUAAAUUGUUUAACCAUUUCCAUGUGAGGAUCUGUAUUCUUUUCAAAUGUAAAUUGAAGAUGUUGCAGGUGACAUCACAAUUCGGUUCUGUCGGGGUACAGCCAGGGUAGACAAUGGAAAUGAGGAGGAAAACGUAAGGAUUGGUACAAUUUCUCCUCUUUCACUAACCAUGUUUAAUGGCAGAAAAAAGCAGCAUUUAUAUCAAUGAUUGACAGGGAAUAAAAAUGGAGGCACCUAGUACUAGGAUGCAAAUAAAGGCAGAGGUGUUUUUUUUCUACAACUAAUAUUAUUUUUCAGACCUCAGUUAAACAUAUUUGCUAAAUGUAGAGGCUAAGUAAACAUAAUUUUAAAAAUCAUAUGAAUAGACUGCCCCUUACUAACGCAGACCACACGUAGAGGGGGCUCAUAGGGUGGCCCAUGCUCUUAGGACCACCUGAUGGCAAUGAGUCUGCAGGAGCCCAGUCAGCGCUGCAGCGCUUUAACAGCGUAGCGGGCCUCCGGUGAUGAGGACAGCACUUGGAGGACGUGCAGUCACUUCCUUUCUAGCUAAGACAGAGAGUGCCGCAUGGAAGGGAGAAAGUUAGGGGGAGCCUGGACUGGUAGAGAUCCGACUUCCAACAGCCUCAGCCAGCCACUGGACCCCAGGGAAAUCACCUUUCUGCAGCCAAAAGGUAGGAAACAGGAGGGUGACUAAAAAUUUAUAUUUUCCAUGUGUGUCUGUUUGUUUGUGUAUAUCUGUCUGUGUAUAUGUGUUUAUAUGUGUGCAUCUGUCUGUAUGUGUAUAUGCAUGUGUGUCUGUGUAUCUGUGUGUGUAUCUGGCUGUAUAUGUAUAUGCAUGUGUGUCUGUGUAUCUGUGUGUGUAUCUGCCUAUAUGUGUAUCUCUCUGUAUGUGUAUCUGUGUGUCUGUAUGUGUGUAUCUGUCUGUAUGUAUGUGUAUUUCUCUGUUUAUAUGUGUAUCUGUGUGUCUGUAUGUGUCUCUCUCUCUGUCUGUAUGCGUAUUAUUAUUUUAUUAUUUAUAUAGCGCCAUCAUAUUCCAUAGCACUGUACAAUGGUUAUCUGUGUAUUUUUGUGUAUUCUUUAUGUGUGUCUUUAAGUGGAAGGCGUGUUUGCAUGCCACAAGGUAGGAGGAAGGGGACCAGGGGGCCCAAGCAAAUGCUUGCCCAGGGUCCAAUCAGCAUUGAAGAUGGCCCUGACCAAUUUUAUCAUAAUAUACUUAUUGUACUAUCUGCUACAGGAGGGACAUAAUGAGGCAUGUUACAAGAAGCAAGGUCAGUAAGGUAUUUUGUUUUAUUGACACAUCUUGGGUUGGCCUUCCCUCGCCCAACUUCUACUAAAGUCAGAAAGAUCCAAAUCUCAAAUUUUAAGGAUGACUCUGCAGCACACGCUAAAAUUUGAAUCUUGGCCUGUCUGCAGUAGCUGUGAACGAAACUAGACUGUUGCAUUUCACACUUGGUUCCUGGUUUGUUUAAUGAUUGAAUUGAAUCAAAAUUCUACAGCUGGAGAGAUCUGGCACUUGAUUGAGUAAGUAAACAGAUUCCAUAAGGUUUGAUAAACGUCUUCCAGCAAGGGCUGGCUGCUGCUGCUACAUUAUAAAGUUGCCACACUCCCAAGGGACGUGCUAAUCUAUGCUGAUCAAGUGUGCUGGGAAUCUGGUCUGUGCCUCCGCCUCAGUGUGUGGUAUUUGUUAUGGCUGUAUUGACUGUGUGAUAAAUGUAUGUAAUGGGUGUGAUAUUUGUAGUGGGCAUUUAAUUCGAUUUAAAAAAAUGCAUGUAGGCCCAUGUGUGAAUUCAGGUGUGCAUUUUUGUAGGUGUGUAUUUUUUCAGGUGUACCACAGUGAGACACACUGUGAUGGAUAGAAAUGAAUGUGUGUAAAAUGUCUAUUUACUUUGUAUACCUGUGUUCAUUUAUUACUCAAAAUGGCUGCUAGAGCACCCCCUCCCAUCGACCAAGACCCUCGUGUAGUAAGAUGACGUCUCCUUCCGGAAUUACACCUAAGAUGAUGAUGACAUCAACACCCUCUGGAGGAGGUCAAUAAAGAUUAGACACUUAACACCUAACCAAUUAAAUGUUUACUUUACUAAAACACUUAACCAAUUGCAAAGUUUACUUUCUGUAUUUGCAUACGUUGCAUUCUUUGCCUUUUUAAGGGGCUACACCACCCCCUGACAAUACACUUGGAAGUUUUCAUUCAACUGAACUAUUCUGUGUCAGUGGGAUUUCUUCGGCGUGCAUGCUUUAUUACAUUUAAGACAUUUGGACAGGGGCAGAUAUUCAAGCAAACACUUGGUUUGGUCUAAAACAACACAAUCAGGUGCACAUAGAUAUACACAUAUACUGUCACAUACAGCCACAUGCACACCCCUUAGGAUGGCUCUGUAAACACACAUGCACUUUGUCAUCCUGCUCACAGCCACAAUCAUCAGCAGCGAUGUGGAUUGUGUUACUGACAAUGCACACAAAGGCAUUGUUUCCAGUCUCCUCCUCCUCCCCUUUUUUAGUCCUGAGUUUAUACUUGUUUUAUGUGUAAUUAUUGUAACCAUGCAUAGUGCUACUGUGAUAGGUGCAGAUAAAGGAUGAUACACUUUGAAGGUCGCAGGAUGUCAGGAGCACACCCACCCCACUGUAAAACAUAAAUACGUAACAAUAUUAACACGAAAAAACAAGUCCUGCGCUCAAACUCCCAUCACUCCUGGGCGGUAGCAACGACCACAGUACACAUCAGCCCCAAUAGUACGGUAAAAACCAAAGAAAAAAGUUACCUGAGCUCUUCCCAAAUCCCUAUGCAUAUUUUAACAAAUGGAGGUUUUUUAGUUUCUCCAAUGGCCAUGAUAGUGUUUAGCCCACCUGCCACGUCAAGGCAAACCUCUCAGUUAUGUCCUACAGCAGUGAUGGCGAACCUAUGGCACGCGUGCCACAGGUGGCACGCCGGGCCCUUUCUGUGGGCACGCGGCCAAAGGUCCGCCAUCAAUGCAGAGUAGGCGCCUGUCUGCCCGGCAGGCGCCUACUCUGCUUCCGGGUCGGGAGGCAGGGGGAGGGCUCUAGGAAGCAGCUCCCCUGUCCUCCCGCGCGAUGCUGUGGAGCGUUGCCGCGCGUUACCAUGGCAACGCUCCACACAGCAUUGCGCGAGAGGACAGGGGAGCUGCUUCCUGGAGCCCUCCCCCUGCAGUGCUUACCACCACCGGACCACCAGGGAUGGCUGUGUGUCCCCCUCCCCCCCCCACUUCAUUAAAGGUAAGAAGGAGGGGGGGGUUAUACUGACACACAGCACCCUUAUCCCCCCCAGCAGUAACCCCUACCCUCCCCAGCAGUAACCCCUACCCCCCCCAGCAGUAACCCUUACCCCCCCAGCAGUAACCCCUACCCCCCAGCAGUAACUCCUACCCCCAAGCAGUAACCCCUGCCCAGCAGUAACCCCUACCCCCAGCAGUAACCCCCACCCCCAGCAGUAACCCCCACCCCCCAGCAGUAACCCCCACCCCCCAGCAGUAACCCCUACCCCCCAAGCAGUAACCCCUGGGCCCAGCAGUAACCCCUCACCCCUCCUCCAGCAGUAACCCCCACCCCCCCACAGCAGCAACCCCUACCCCCCAGCAGUAACCCCUACCCUCCCCACUAGCAGUAACCCCCUACCCUGCCCAGCAGUAACCCCUCUCACCUCCAUACAGCAGUAACCCCUACCCUGCCCAGUUACAGUAACCCCUACCCCUCCCAGCAGUAACCUCUACCCCCCAGCAGUAACCCCUACCCUCCCAGCAGUAACCCCCUGCCCAGCAGUAACCCCCUACCCCUCCCCAGCAGCAACCUCACCCCCCAGCAGUAACCCCUACCCCCAGCACCCCUACCCUGCCCAAAGGUAACCCCACCCCCCAGCAGUAACCCCACCCUGCCCAGCUGUAACCCCCUACCCCCAGCAGUAACCCCUACCCCCAUACACAGUACCCCUACCCCCCCAACAACAGUAACCCCUAUCCCCCAUACACAGUACCCCUACCCCCCCCAGCAGUAUCUCCCCUAACCCCCAUAUGCAGUACCCCUAACCCCCCAUAGCAGUACCCCCUAACCCCCAGCAGUACCCCUACCCCCCCAGCAGUACCCCUUACACAUAUAGCACACACACACAGCACCCCCCACACACACACACAGCACCCUAACCCCCAGCAGUACCCCUACCCCCCCAGCAGUACCCCUUACACAUAUAGCACACACACACAGCACCCCCCACACACACACACAGCACCCCUCACAUACAACACUCACACACACACGCACCCCCCACCUCAAUGCAGUAUGUGUGUAUUCAGCAGUCUGUGUGUGUGUGCGUGUAUUCAGCAGUCUGUCUGUGUUUGCGUGUAUUCAGCUGUCUGUGUUUGCGUGUAUUCAGCUGUCUGUGUUUGCGUGUACUCAGCAGUCUGUGUUUGCGUGUACUCAGCAGUCUGUUUGCGUGUACUCAGCAGUCUGUGUGUGUGUGUACUCAGCAGUCUGUGUGUGUGUGUACUCAGCAGUCUGUGUGUGUGUGUGUACUCAGCAGUCUGUGUGUGUGUGUGUGUGUGUACUCAGCAGUCUGUCUGUGUGUGUACUCAGCAGUCUGUCUGUGUGUAUUCAUCAGUCUCUGUAUUCAGCAGUCUUGUGUGUGUGUAUUCAGCAGACUGUGUGUAUGUAUUCAGCAGUCUGUCUGUGUAUGUAUUGCAUUUGUUGGAGAUACUAAUAAAUAUAAGCUUAAUUUUAUCUAUUUAUAUCAUUAUUUAAAAUUUGUAUAAUUGAACUCUGUGUUCUUUUAAAACAAAAGUUAUUAGUUCGGACAACAGUACGAGUUGUUUUUAUCUAAACUUAAACCUCAGUAUUUGGGUUUAAUUGCCGUGUUGGCACUUUAAGGAGAAAAAAUGUUGGCAUGUAUUGCGGUUUGGGCACUCGGGCUCAAAAAGGUUCGCCAUCACUGUCCUACAGUAACCUUUCACCUUGCUUCCUUGAGCUUCUGACAAAUAUAUAUCUAAUGAGACUGGAGCCCACAGAACAGCUCAGUGGAGGAGUGGGCCUUGACAGGGCCAGAGAGUGGGCAGGGAAAAGGGGUGGGUUUAGGCUAAUGCAGCGUGGGGGUGGUCUAAGGACAGAUAAAUAGCGGCCAUCUCAGAGAGUGGCCAUUUUAAUCUGAGCUUCACUCACCUGUUAAUUGUGACAGGUCUGUGAAGUUCUUCUUUUUGUCUUAUCUGCAGGUCAUGGUGUCGCUGGUGGAGAUUCUGGACGGAAUUCGGGCGGCAGUGAGAGACAGGGGCCUGGCAUGGCUUCACGGACAGCUGGGAACGGCCGUCACACCCCAAGAUGCACCAAACCGGAGGCCGGCGCGGAGGACAAGGCCACCCCAGCGGCUGAGCCCGGGUGUAGCGCCUGCUGCCCGGGUGGAGGAGGAGCCCCUCAGCGGGAGAAAGGGAGGUGGCAGGUUCGGGAGGCAAAAUGGCGGAGGUACCCGGAGUGCGGCCGGUGCCAUCAAGCAAGGCGGCCGUUCAGGCGAGGACGGCCGAAAAACAGGGGCCGCAAAUGAGGAAAGCGCCCCGCACAGGGGCGGCUGGCAGGAAGGCGGGAGCGUUGGCGGCUUGCGGCACGGCCGGGAAGGCGGCCAGGACAGAGGGCGGCCACGUGGCCGGGAGGCACAGCACCACCGGUCCGGGUGAGUCGAACUGCAGGGGGGCCACUGUCAGUCAGAGGGGUGAUAGUGCUGCUGGCUCCUCGGCACAGGCGGUCCCCCAGAUGGCUGGGGGUGAAAGGGACAGCGGGAGGUCACAAGGGGCGGCCAUUAGUGGGGCCAGGGACAGCUGCAGCGAUGGAAUGAGGGUGGAGGAGCGCCGCAGGGUCAGCCAGGGCCGACAAGGAGCGACUGGAGGCGUGGAGUGACCAGGCAGCAGAGGUCAGCGCGGGGCCAAGCAGGGCGGCUACUGGAAAGCCAGGCAUAGAGGUCAGCGGGGAGUUACAGGGGCCACCGGGGGUUUCAGAGAUGCGCGGGAGGGCCCGUCGGGCAGCUCCCAGGGUCAGCAAGCCAGCAGUAUCGGUCCAUGGAGAGAACGGAGGGAAGAGCGGCACAGGGCUAGCGCCAGGCGCAGCAGCGACAUGAUCAUGGCAGGGAGACUGGGGAGCCGUUCACACUACAGGCGCAGCGAGUCUAGAUCCAGUUGCAGAGAGGAGAGGAGGAGGUCCAGGUCCGAAGAAAGUGGGAGGUAUAGUCGGCGCAGCGCAUCAGGUUCCUCUGAACAGAGUUGCCAGUAGCGGCGGAGCAGAGCAGACAGCAGGGGCAGUCGGAUGGCAGAGAGGAGAGGAGCGCGGGGAGAAAGUAAAGAGCGUAGGGAGGAAGGGUGGGCAGGGGGCUUAUCCGGCAGACUGCCCAGGUUAUCUUCUCCUUACAGGUCGCGGAGUAAUACACGCGGCGGGAUCGGGCAGGCAGGAGUCGGCGGCGUCUGGAUGCUCCGGGGCCUAGCAAGGUGGACGGAAGGACAGCAAACCCGCGGCCUGAAGCGGCCGGGGGCAACAGCGGUGAGUCCACAACUGCACUAAAUUCAGGAACCUUCAUAGGCUGUUGGAAAUCGUUUUUGGAAUCUUGGUCAGGGGAGGGGGACCCACUUCAGUUCGGUAGGGUAUGGGCAUCAGGGGGUGACAAGGGGGCAGAAGCCGGGAGAGUGGAGCCGUUCGCAUGGAGAACUAGUGGCUGGGAGUCGGGAAGCGCUUCUACAUCGGUGGAGACGCCGGAGAGGGUAGGGGAGAAAACCGUGGGGCACGGUGACAUCUCAGAGGCAGCGCGACAAAAUGUGCACGUAUCUUUCGCGGGCCCCUUGGGUUGUCACUUGAAGGUUCAGGUAAAGGAGAAACUCUGGAAAGGGGAAUUUGUGGAAAUAUUUUCACUUCUUCCCUUGGAGGAAUUUCUGGAUUUGAAGGAAGAGGAUAAGAAAGAUGCUAAGAAAGAGGAGGAGGAGAAGAGGCGGAGGUAUCUUAAGUGUGACGAGAGCAAUCUCGCCACAUUGCAUUGGAGAAGCCUGGUUGCUCGCCUGUUGCCUUUAGACUAUGGCCCCAUGUUAAAAGACAUAUUUUUUAACUGCAGAAAAGAUUUAUUCGUUCUUUUCUGCCUGGUGUUCGGUAGAUUCAAUCUACCGAACAACCGCACGAAUGACUGGACUACCUGGGAGCUGGAGUGUGCCGGCAAUUAGCCUCCCUGAAGCUGCGGUUAACCGCAGCUUAAUUGACGAAUGCUGGGUGGCUGCCAUUCGUAUCACGAACACGAGGUUGCGGCCAUUUUAAACAUGCGAAUGCACAGCGGUGUUCGACGCUUAAUUCAUGGAACUGAAAUCGGACACAGUUUUGCGCGAACACCGCUGAAGCCGCCGACCUCCCUUCUUGGUCGGUGAAAGUGCACGAACGGCCCGGCAUUCGGUAGUUUUGUUUGAAUGUAUUAUACCCCAGAUAGGAAUCCCAUGGAGCCCAUUCGCAUGAGAACUGACUGUGUAAAGACUUUAGCUCCACGGCGAUUAAACUGUAUUUGUGUGGUCUGAGCGCCAUUCGCUUAAUAAUGUGCGCUCAGACCUGAGCUAUCUGGGGAUAUGUUAAAUGUAUGCUUUUAAUGUUAGGUGUCUCACAUAGUGUAUUUUAAUAGUAAUUUGUGUUGUAGUAUCCCCACGUGCAUAAUAGCGAUUUGCCUUUGUCUGGGAGAUAAUUGAAUUACUUCUCAAUUAUCUCCAAGGCAGAGGGGAGGAAGCCAGGAUGCAUUGUGGGAAUAUAAUGUGACUGUGUGUCCUAUUUGUCUACUUGUCUGUCUUUUGUCACAGUCUCCCAUUUGGUCCCCUAGGGAGUGUCCACCAGGUGGGAGACCUGCAUAAAUACUGGGCAGGUAGCCCUCAUUAAACCAGACCACUGCUUGACCCUCAACACAGAGCCUUGUCUCAUCUUUGGGGGGAUUUACUGAAUGCUGAUAGAGACUGAUUGCUAGGAGUGUAAGCCGCUUGGAUGCUUUUCCUAUUCGUCUGCUAGCAGCGAUUCGUAUGGUUCCAGUUCGUGUGUUUGUAGUGCUCUAUUGUAGGCCGUUCGGUAGUUUGGAGCAUUCCCUUAUUGGCAGUUCAUGAGUUUGGUGUUUUACAAUAGCUGUGCCUGCAUCUCUGGAAAGGGGGACGAUCGCCUAAACGGUUUUUACCCCUUGUGUGCAAAACGGUCCGUUACAAUUGAUGGCAAGCGGCGGGAUCGUUCCCACAGCCAGAAGGACAGCUACAGGAGACACCAUUCCAAGGAAUUUACAAUUUGAGGGCAACACAUGUCUGAGUACAGCGACCCUGACAGCACCAGGAUGGAACCAGCAGUGGCGUACAGCUACUCUAGAAGAGAGUUUGAUAAUAUGAUGGAAUUGCGGCUGAAGUUCUUUGGACCCAAACCACCGGAGAAAUGCGUGCAGUCCAUGAGGAACCUAGUGUUCAAGAAUCUGCAACACCGGGCAGAAAGAGAAGGUCAGCUGACAUGUUGGGAAGAACUCCAGCAGCAGGUACUGCAGGGAAUUGGGAGCCCAGUCUCCAUUCCCCAGCGGCAGUGUGAUAUGCCGGGAAUUGGGAGCCCAGUCUCCAUUCCCCAGCGGCAGUGUGAUAUGCCGGGAAUUGGGAGCCCAGUAUCCAUUCCCCAGCGGCCGUGUGAUCUGCAGGGAAUUGGGAGCCCAGUCUCCAUUCCCCAGCGGCAGUGUGAUAUGCCGGGAAUUGGGAGCCCAGUCUCCAUUCCCCAGCGGCAGUGUGAUCUGCAGGGAAUUGGGAGCCCAGUCUCCAUUCCCCAGCGGCAGUGUGAUAUGCAGGGAAUUGGGAGCCCAGUCUCCAUUCCCCAGCGGCAGUAUGAGUUAUUGGGAAUUGGGAGCCCAGUCUCCAUUCUCCAGCGGGAGAUAUUGCAGGGAAUUGGGAGCCCAAGCUCCAUUCCCCAGCGGCAGAAUGAUUUAUUGGGAAUUGGGAGCCCAGUCUCCAUUCCUCAGCGGCAGAGUGUCCUACCGGUAAUAGAGAGCCCAGUCUCCUUUCCCCAGCAGCAGGACUCUGUAUUGGGAGCAGAGACAGUCGGUCUCCCUCCUCCGCGGCGGGGGAGACAGUAAGCCCCACAACUGUGCAGAUGGGACCGUGGUCUCUGCACGUCCAGCACAGGGGGUAGGGACGGUCGGUUCUGCCCCCCAGCAACAGGGCUGUUUAGCCAAAGGGGAGACAGUCGGUCUCCAGCAGCAGAGCUGUGUAUCUAAAGGGGAGACAGUCAGUCUCCAGCAGCAGAGCUGUGUGUCCAAAGGGGAGACAGUCGGUCUCCAGCAGCAGAGCUGUGUAUCUAAAGGGGAGACAGUCUGUCUCCCCCUCCAACAACCAGGCUUCAACCAGGCUACCCUCCCAGUAGCGCUGGCAACAGGGCAGAGUACCGCUGAUCUCUGCCCACGCAGCAACCCACCAAGUCAGCAUACCCGUACCCAGCACAGCCGUGGUGAGGCACCUGGACAUGGACAAGCUUCUCCUCUACCCAGGUGUAGUAACCAUUUAUUGUGGGUGGGCUGUGCUGUUGAUUGUGUUUUGUGGGUGGGAUGCUGGACUAACAAGGGCACUGACCGGCAGGAGGUCAGAUACCCUGUUAGUCUGUUUAGAAAAGGGGAGAGAUGUGACGAGAGCAAUCUCGCCACAUUGCAUUGGAGAAGCCUGGUUGCUCGCCUGUUGUCUUUAGACUAUGGCCCCAUGUUAAAAGACAUCUUUUUUAACUGCAGAAAAGAUUUAUUCGUUCUUUUCUGCCUGGUGUUUGGUAGAUUCAAUCUACCGAACAACCGCACGAAUGACUGGACCACCUGGGAGCUGGAGUGUGCCGGCAAUUAGCCUCCCUGAAGCUGCGGUUAACCGCAGCUUAAUUGACGAAUGCUGGGUGGCCGCCAUUCGUAUCACGAACACGAGGUCGCGGCCAUUUUAAACAUGCGAACGCACAGCGGUGUUCGACGCUUAAUUCAUGGAACUGAAAUCGGACACAGUUUUGCGCGAACACCGCUGAAGCCGCCGACCUCCCUUCUUGUUCGGUGAAAGUGCACGAACGGCCCGGUGUUCGGUAGUUUUGCUUGAAUGUGUUAUACCCCAGAUAGGAAUCCCAUGCCCAUUCGCAUGAGAAACUGACUGUGUAGAGACUUUGGCUCCAUGGCGAUUACACUGUAUUGGUGUGGUCUGAGCGCCAUUCGUUUAAUAAUGUGCGCUCAGACCUGAGCUAUCUGGGGAUAUGUUAAAUGUAUAGUUGUAUUGUAAUGUGUCUCACAUAGUGUAUUUUAAUAGUAAUUCGUGUUGUAGUAUCCCCACGUGCAUAAUGGCGAUUUUCCUUUGUCUUGGGAGAUAAUUGAAUUACUUCUCAAUUAUCGCCAAGGCAGAAGGGAGGAAGCCAGGAUGCAUUGUGGGAAUAUAAUGUGACUGUGUGUCCUAUUUGUCUACUUGUCUGUCUUUUGUCACAGUCUCCCAUUUGGUCCCCUAGGGGAGUGUCCACCAGGUGGGAGACCUGCAUAAAUACUGGGCAGGUAGCCCUCAUUAAACCAGACCACUGCUUGACCCUCAACACGGAGCCUUGUCUCAUCUUUUGGGGGAUUUACUGAACGCUGAUAGAGACUGAUUGCUAGGAGUGUAAGCCGCUUGGAUGCUUUUCCUAUUCGUCUGCUAGCAGCGAUUCGUAUGGUUCCAGUUCGUGUGUUUGGAGUGCUCUAUUGUAUGCCGUUCGGGAGUUUGGAGCAUUCCCUUAUUGGCGGUUCGUGAGUUUGGUGUUUUACAAUAGCUGUGCCUGCAUCUCUGGAAAGGGGGACGAUCGCCUAAACGGUUUUUACCCCUUGUGCGCAAAACGGUCUGUUACAGUAAGAUACCAAAGUCCUUCGGGAACUGGCGUAGGGCGUUUUGCAUACUGGCGAGCGUUAUUGGUGAAAAGCGCCCAGACUGCUGUUCGCAGCUUUUCUGCUACCUCGACGGUAUAGGGGAUGCGUACCGGACGUACGGGGACUAGCCUGGUGGAAGUAUGACGAACAGUUUCGUCAGCGACUGGCGGCGAAUUCAUCCAUGGACCAAAUGGACCUGCCGCUAUGGAUGCGGAUAAUGAUGGCGCAGAAAAACACGCCCUUUCCAGGGGCAGCCGGCGCGGCCUCCGGGGGCGCAGUGUCGGCUGGACAGAAGAAAGGUUUUUGCUGGGCGUAUAACGAGGGACAAUGCAAGUGGGGAGCUGCGUGUAGAUUCAGGCACGAGUGUUCAGGUUGCGGGGGGAAUCAUGGUGCCAAUAGAUGCUUCAAGAAGGGUAAGCCUAACGUGGGAGGGGGAGCAGCUUCCACUGGGGUUGUCGCCGAUGAGGGUUGGUGCGAUGUUGCCAUGGCUAAUGCAAUACGCUGAUCAAGACGCUGCCGAGUUUUUAUGGAGGAGUUUCAGGGAAGGCUUUAGGAUCCCAUUUAAAGCGAAGGGGCCAGGGGGGAUAAGUUUGAACCUCAAGUCGGUUAAGGAGCAUCCAGGGGUGGUGAGGGAGAAGUUGACUAAGGAAGUCCAAUUGGGUAGCAUGGCAGAGCCGUUUUUGGCCCCGCCUGUGUCGGAUUUGCGGGUGUCUCCACUUGGGGUGGUCCCCAAGAAGGAGGCGGGCAAAUUCCGUUUGAUUCAUCACUUGUCACACCCGAGAGGGGCUUCGGUGAAUGAUGACAUCGACGCGGACCUGUGCUCAGUCUCCUAUACAUCAUUCGACAAGGCAGUCGAGUUGGUUCAGAGGGCAGGGCACGGGGCGCUGAUGGCAAAGGUUGAUGUGGAGGCAGCUUUUAGGCUGCUUCCCAUACAUCCAGACUUAGAAACAUAGAAACAUAGAAUGUGACGGCAGAUAAGAACCAUUCGGCCCAUCAAGUCUGCCUAAUUUUUUAAAUACUUUCAUUAAUCCCUAGCCUUAUCUUAUAGUUAGGAUAGCCUUAUGCCUAUCCCAGGCAUGCCUAAAUUCCUUUACUGUGUUAACCUAUUCCACUUCAGCUGGAAGGCUAUUCCAUGCAUCCACUACCCUCUCAGUAAAGUAAUACUUCCUGAUAUUAUUUUUAAACCUUUGUCCCUCUAAUUUAAGACUAUGUCCUCUUGUUGUGGUAGUUUUUCUUCUUUUAAAUAUAGUCUCCUCCUUUACUGUGUUGAUUCCCUUUAUAUAUUUAAAUGUUUCUAUCAUAUCCCCCCUGUCUCGUCUUUCCUCCAAGCUAUACAUGUUAAGAUCCUUUAACCUUUCCUGGUAAGUUUUAUCCCGCAAUCCAUGAACCAGUUUAGUAGCCCUUCUCUGAACCCUCUCUAAGGUAUCAAUAUCCUUCUGAAGAUACGGUCUCCAGUACUGUGUACAAUACUCCAAGUGAGGUCUCACCAGUGUUCUGUACAAUGGCAUGAGCACUUCCCUCUUUCUACUGCUAAUACCUCUCCCUAUACAACCAAGCAUUCUGCUAGCAUUUCCUGCUGCUCUAUUACAUUGUCUGCCUACCUUUAAGUCAUCAGAAAUAAUCACCCCUAAAUCCCUUUCCUCAAUUGUUGAGGUUAGGACUCUAUCAAAUAUUCUGUACUCUGCCCUUGGGUUUUUACGUCCAAGAUGCAUUAUCUUGCACUUAUCCACAUUAAAUGUAAGUUGCCACAAUUCUGACCAUUUUUCUAGUUUACCUAAAUCAUUUGCCAUUUGGCUUAUCCCUCCUGGAACAUCAACCCUGUUACAUAUCUUAGUAUCGUCAGCAAAAAGACAUAACUUACCAUCAAGAUCUUCUGCAAUAUCACUAAUAAGACUGUCAUCACUUGCUGGGAUGUUAUUUCGAGGGUGGGUUUUUCGUGGAUUUAUGCCUGCCCAUGGGCUGUUCCGUAUCAUGCGCCUACUUCGAAAGGUUUAGUACGUUUCUGGAAUGGGUGGUGCGCAGGGAAUCAGUGGGUGGCGCAGUGGUGCACUAUUUGGACGAUUUUUUAUUCGUCGGUCCGCGGGACUCUCAGCGGUGUGUGCAAGUGCUGAGGGUUUUCCAAUGGGUAGCGCUGGCAGAGGAAAAGACGGUGGGCCCCACCCCGUGCAUUAGCAUUUUGGGGCUGGAGAUUGAUUCGGUACAAGGGGAGUGCAGGCUGCCCAAUGACAAACUGCAGAGUUUGCGGCUCCUAGUACACACGGUCAAGGGAGCUAGGAAGGUAACCCUGAAGGGGCUACAUUCGCUGGUAGGGAGUCUUAACUUCGCAUGCAGAGUCAUCCCCAUCGGGAGGGUUUUCUGUAGACGGUUAGCCCAAGCGACGAGCGGGGUGCGGGCCCCGUCCCAUUAUAUUAAAGUGUCGGCAGAAAUUAAGGAUGAUCUGGGGGUAUGGGACAGGUUUUUACGCGACUUUAACGGAAAAGUAUUUUUCCGGUGGCCGGUGUCCUCGUCGGAUGCUAUGGGGCUUUUUACUGAUGCGUCGGGCUGCAUUGGUUUUGGCGCCUUCCUGGCAGGAAAAUGGUGUGCUGAGAGGUGGCCCGAGUCGUGGAAGGCGAGCCCGCUUAUCAGGAACCUAGCAUUCUUGGAAUUUUUCCCUCUUGUAGUGGCGGUGGCGCUAUGGGGUUCAGAGCUAGCCAAUAAGAAAGUCAUAUUUUACUCCGACAACAUGGCAGUGGUGCAAGCGAUCAAUAGCCUGUCCGCAUCCUCACCACCGGUGGUGCGCCUGUUGCGGCAGUUAGUACUUCUUUGUAUGUCCUUUAACGUGGUAUUCAAAGCUAGGCACAUCCCUGGGUUUAAGAAUGUAGUGGCUGACGCGCUGUCUCAUUUUCAGUGGGAACGUUUUCGGGAAGUGGCACCGGGCGCGAAGAGACACGAGCAAGCAUGCCCGGUCAAAAAGUGGCAACUCGGGACCGCCUGCUUGGGGAGUGCAUAAGGAAAUCGAUGGCGCCUGCCACAUGGUUCACGUACGUUAAGGUCUGGAAAGCGUGGGACGAGACGGUGGUGCAGGUAAGGGGUGAGCAACAUAGGGACUGGCAGCUGGACACGCUGCUAUGGUUGCUUUGCAGGUUGUUUACGAGACAGGCAUCGCCUGCCAUGGUUGACAGACACAUGUCUGCUUUGGCUUUCUUCUUUAAGUUCAAUGGGUGGGAAGAUGUCACAAAGCAUUUCCUGGUCAGGCAGGCGAUUAAAGGUUUCCGGAGAGGGAAGAAGACGCUAGAUACGAGGAGGCCAUUGUCUCACAGGUUGGGGGAGGCGCUGCAUGAAAUUUGCCUCUCGCCAUUCGAAGUGGCGUUGUUCGCAGGGGCGUUUGUUUGGGCCUUUUUCUGAGCUUUUCAGAUAAGUGAGCUGGUAAGUGUGAAUAAAGCAGGAGUAGGGGGCUGCAGCUCCAGGAUGUGGCAAUAGGCACUGACAGCGUACGAAUAUGGCUGGGCAGAUCCAAAACUGACGUUCUUGGCAAAGGUUGCUCAGUGGUGUUGCUCGGGUUACCGGGAUCCAAAGUAUGCCNNNNNNNNNNNNNNNNNNNNNNNNNNNNNNNNNNNNNNNNNNNNNNNNNNNNNNNNNNNNNNNNNNNNNNNNNNNNNNNNNNNNNNNNNNNNNNNNNNNNCAGUGGCAAGGGGCGCGGAGUACUUAGUUCUACGCCCGCAGGUAACAGUUGUUUUUUCUUGCACGAGGAUGGUACGGCGCUGUCACGUUUUCAGUUCACAAGGGUUUUCCAGCUGGGAUUACAGAGGCUGGGCUUGGAGCCUAUGCAGUUUGGUACUCAUUCGUUCCGUAUUGGGGCAGCAACAGAGGCAGCGAGGUUGGGUUUGGGAGACGAGAGGAUCAAACGGAUAGGGAGAUGGGAAUCUUUACGCUUCAGAUCGUACGUGAGACCGGACAGGUUGGUUUGAAAUGAGGAAGUUGUGAUUGGGGAGGUGAGAGUAAAUUCGGCAUCAUGGCACUAACAUUUGUUUCGUUACAGGUUGGAGAGUAUGGUUAAUCGGCCACUCGUUUGUAUAUUGGGCACGGAAGAGAGCCGCAGUUAGAAGAAACGGAACACAGCUGGGCUUUCCGCAAGACCGGGUGGCGAUAUCAUGGUUUGGUUUUCGGGGGUUUAGUUGGUAGUGUUUAAGUAACAUGUUGUUUAGAAAAGUGACAGGGGGGUCCGUGCCGGAUGUAGUAGUGGUUCACGGCGGCGGGAAUGAUUUAGGGCUUAUCCCACAAAGAGAAUUGGUAAGGAGGAUGAAAAGGGCCAUGGAUCGGCUCAUGGGGCUGGUUCCUGGCGUGGUGGUGGUAUGGUCCGAAAUGGUGCCCCGUUUCACGUGGCGGCAUGCCAGGGAUCCAGUUGCAGUGGCCCGAUGCAGGAGUAAAGUGAAUAGGGCCAUGGCGGUCUUUAUUAGGCGUUUGGGCGGUGUCGUAGUGCGACACCGGGAGUUAGAGGGCAUGUUGCCCGGUUACUUUAGGAGGGAUGGUGUACACCUGUCGGAUGUAGGGAGCGAUUUACUUAAUUUGGGUUUUCAGGAAGGCAUUAGUCAGGCCCUGUUUCUGUGUGGUGGGGGUCGUACAUGUCCUUAAGGCAUCAAGUCAUGUGCUAGGGCGGAGCAGGGCGUGGUUAAGUUGGAAGUUGGAUGGAAUUGGAAAUGGACAGGCCAAGGCCUAGGCUGGAGUAGGCCAGAUGGAAGUGAGUGUUGGUAGGUUCAAGCUCUUCGGUGGCUACGAACCUAGGUGGGUAGGGGUGUCUGGGUACACCCCUACAGUUAACAGUUUGGUUAUGGGGCCUCUUUGGUGGGCCGGGUGUUAUAAGUAAAUGUUAUUGGAAGGUUAACUAUUAUUCAAAGUGGUAGGGUCAUUGUCAUGGGUAUUGUGCGGGGGGAUAGUAACAGAGUGUCAGUGAUGACAAUGACCCUAAUAUGUUAAUUUGCAUAUAUUUAAUAAAAAUUUAUAAAGCUGUGGACUAAGGAUAAAACGGUGUCCGAGUCUUAUUUAAUUCAUAUUUAAAAUAGCACCUGCCGAAUAACGACGGUGCCUAUGUCAUGGAGCCCACAGAACAGCGUUGUGGAGGAGUGGGCCUUGACAGGGCCAGAGAGUGGGCAGGGAAAAGGGGUGGGUUUAGGGUAAUGCAGCGUGGGGGUGGUCUAAGGACAGUUAAAUAGCGGCCAUCUCAGAGAGUGGCCAUUUUAAUCUGAGCUUCACUCACCUGUUAAUUGUCCCUUCCACCCUCCCUUUAUGUUGAGAGGUGUUCCCGUUUGGUCAAAGCGGCGGGAACAGGGCGUGGCAAAGUUGGAAGUUGGAUGGAAUUGGAAAUGGACAGGCCAAGGCCUAGGCUGGAGUAGGCCAGAUGGAAGUGAGUGUUGGUAGGCUCAAGCUCUUCGGUGGCUACGAACCUAGGUGGGUAGGGGUGUCUGGGUACACCCCUACAGUUAACAGUUUGGUUAUGGGGCCUCUUUGGUGGGCCGGGUGUUAUAAGUAAAUGUUAUUGGAAGGUUAACUAUUGUUCAAAGUGGUAGGGUCAUUGUCAUGGGUAUUGUGCAGGGGGAUAGUAACAGAAUGUCAGUGAUGACACUAAUAUGUUAAUUUAUAUAUAUUUAAUAAGAAUUAAUAAAGCUGUGGACUUUAUACUCCAACAGGAUAAAACGGUGUCCGAGUCUUAUUUAAUUCAUAUAAAAAUAGCACCUGCCGAAUAACGACGGUGCCUAUGUCAAGAAAGGAGUAUUUUUUUAAAUUAUUUUUUUAUAUACACCCCUACAUGCUUAUUAACCCCUAAUAAGUAACACAUGGGAUGGGUAGCAGCAUUGUAACAUAGCUGUGUGAUACAAGGGUGAAUACAAAUACAAAAAAACAAGUUCUGUGCUCAAACUCCCCUCACUCCUGGGCGGCAGCAACGACCAUAGUACACAUCAGCCCCAAUAGUACAGUAAAAACCAAAGAAAAAAGUUACCUGCGCUCUUCCCAAAUCCCUAUGCAUAUUUAAACAAAUGGAGAUUAUUUAGUUUCUCCAAUGGCCAUGAGAGAGUUUAGCCCACCUGCCACGUCAAGACAGACCUCUCAGGUGGGUCCUACACUAACCUUUCACCUUGCUUCCUUGAGCUUCUGGCAAAGAUAUCUCUAGUUACCUUCUUGCCACUCACUAGGGGGGUGCCCGGGGCAGACUGCAAUGCCCCUCCUACGCCCAUCGUCGAGACCGGCGGUCUGCAGCUCCGCAGUGUGCAGAGCUGCAGACCAUGUGUCUUGCGAGCACUGCCCAAUCAGAGCGUUGCCACGGGUUACCAGCGGAGCUGCAGACCGGAAUUGAUGGCCACCGGACCACCAAGGAGCCCACCGGACCACCAGGCAGCCCCCACUGGACCACCAGGGUUUUAAGGUAAUUUUUUAGUCCUCCCUGCAUUACCCCCCUUCUGCUCAUCACCCCCCUCCUCUCACCCCCACCUCCCAUCCCUCCCCCUCUCACUCAUCAUCACCCCCUCUCCCUCCUCAUCACCCCCCUCCCUCUCCUCAUCACCCCUCCCUCCUCCUCAUCACCCCUCCCUCUCAGUCACCCUCCAUCUCCUCAUCACCCCCUCCCUCUCCCAAUCACCCCUCCCUCCCUCAUCACCCCUCCCUUUCCUCAUCACCCCUCCCUCUCCUCAUCACCCCCUCCCUCUCACAGUCACCCCCUCCCUCUCCUCAUUGGUGCUAAAUACAUAAAAAUAAAAAUAAAAACACUGCUCAGUGCUAAAGACAAAAAAUAUAUAUUUUUUACAUUUUAAGUGGAGGGGGGUGGGAGGGUGGUGUGCCAAAUAUAGGAUCCACCCCGGGUGCCAAAUGCUCCAGGUACGCCCCUGCUUGUAUCAAGGAUAAUUGUCUGCCACUUUGAUCUGUAAGUUGUANNNNNNNNNNNNNNNNNNNNNNNNNNNNNNNNNNNNNNNNNNNNNNNNNNNNNNNNNNNNNNNNNNNNNNNNNNNNNNNNNNNNNNNNNNNNNNNNNNNNCAACUCUAUGUAUGGAAAUAGAGCAAUUGAAAUCCAAACCAGGAUAAUGCUUACUCAUUCUGGUGUUAGGCUAACAUACUCAAAAUGAAACUGGUACCCAAAAGCUCAUGUCAAGCAUUUUUUGUGAAAAAUGUCUGUCGAUAUAUUUGCAAGCAUACAUGAUCACAGAUGAGACAAAGGGCCAUGUGUGCUUGAUUUUCAGAAUUUAUAUGUAUGCUCAAUUGUAGCCCACACUAACUACAGGUUCCAUUCACUAGACACUUAUACAUGCAUACAUUACAAGGAUACUGCUGGAGCCAAUCAAUAACGAACACAUGCAGAAUCCAGAGCACUUGCCCACUCAUUCAUUAAACAACCAAAUUCAAAGCUCAUAAAACAUAACUCCCCUGGUUUUCACCCCUCGCUGUUACAGGUGCCUGAUGCGGCAGCCCUAUUUAGUCUUGCACUGCUAAGAGCCCCAGGAGAAAGUGUUGCCCUAGUGAGUUAAUCUCAGAAGAGGUGGCAUUAAGUUUAUAGAAUAUGACUUGUCAAAAAUGGGAUACUUUAGUGUUAUACAAUGAUAAAAAGUAUCCAUAAAAAAAAUGUCAAAAAAGCACGUACCAUGAUAGACACACACCAUGACACAGACAGACCGUGACACAGACACAUGCACACCGUGACACAGACAGAAACACAGAUACACCAUGACACAGACACACACAUACCAUGAGAGACACACACACAUACCAUGACAGACACACACCUUGACACACACACACACACCAUAACAUAGACAGACUGUGACACAAAGACACAAACACUGUGACACAGACACACAUUACAUGACACAGACAGACACACACACCAUGACACACAGAAACACACACACCACGACACAGAGAGACCGUGACACAGACACACACACCGUGACACAGACAGACACACAUUACAUGACACAGACAGGCACACACACUCCAUGACAGACACACACACACACCAUGACACAGACAGACCGUGACACAGACAGACACACACCAUGACAGAGACACACACACACCAUGACACAGACAGACACACACAAUGACACAGACACACAUUGCAUGACACAGACAGACACACGCCAUGACACAGACAGAGACACACACACCAUGACACAGACACACACACCAUGACAGACAGACACACACACACCAUGACACAGACAGACACACCAUGACACAGACAGUCACACACACAUCACUACACAGACAGACACACACACACCAUGACAAAGACAGACACACACACACACACACCAUGACAGACAGAGACACAUACACAAUGACAGAGAGACACACACAAUGACACAGACAGACACACAUAUACCAUGACACAGACACACACACAUACACUCACACUGACACACAUAAUUUCUACCUGUGUGCUGGUGGCCGCAGGGGGAGCUCAGUCUGAUGGCAGCAGCAUGGGGGAGCUGGCGCUUCUGGAGGCCGCAGGGGGAGCUCUUUUGGCGGCUGCAGGGGGAGGGCUUUCGGCUGCCUUAGGGGGAGCUGGCUGUUCUGUCUCUGCUCCCUCGCCCCUGCGCGCAGCUUAAUGAGAACGGGGCUGGAAUAUGAUGUCAUAUUCCGGCCCCGGACUCAUUCUAGCGCGCGAGGGCGGGGGAGCAGAGACAGAACAGCCAGCUUCGUCUGUGGCCGCCGAAAGAGCUCCCCCUGCGGCCGCCAGAAGACCCAGCUGCCUGCCCGUCCCCAGGUGCCGACGCUCCACCGGGAAAUUUCCCGGUAUCCCAGUGGGCCAGUCCGGCCCUGAUUAAAGGUAAUAAGACACUUCUCUGGAAAUGACGCACAUCUAAAAGUUCAUUCUCUGCUUUCUUUUAAUUUAUUUUAAAGAUUUAGCAAUUGACUUUAGGAUUUAGUUCAUUCCAGCAUAGGAGAUCUGGCAAGGGCCACAGGGGACAAACAGAUAGCGUAGAAGCUCUUCCCUAUAUUCCAGACCCAACCUGGGUACACAUUGCAUUGGAGGAGUUGAAACAGAAACAUUGUUACUUGUCGUACAGCUCAUGGUAGUGGUUAUGGUAUGAAUAAUCUUUAGACAUUUUCCCUUUCUGUUUUUUCAAGCUAAUUUGUGUAGAAGCAGGAGUCUCUUAACACAUACAGUUGUGGCCUGGUAAAUGCAGUAAUGUAAAAUUGCACAAGUUUGUAUUCUGCGUACACUGAUCAGCCACAAACAGGUGAAGUGAAUAAAAUUGAUUAUAUUGUUACAAUGGCACCUGUCAGGGGGUGCGAUAUAUUAGACAGCAAGUGAACAGUCAGGAUUUGAUGUGUCUGAAGCAGGAAAAAUGAGCAAGCAAAAAGAUCUUAGUGAUUUUGACAAGGAACAAAUAAUGACAGCUUAAUGACUGUGUCAGAAGAUCUCCAAAACAGCAAGUCUUGUGCGGUGAUUCUGCUAUGUAGUGAUUUGUACUUACCAAAUGUGGUGCAAGGAAGGACAACCGGUGAAUAGUCGUCAGAGCCGUGGUAGCUCAAGGCUUAUAGAUGCACAUGGGGAGCAAAGGCUUGCCUGUCUGGCCCGAUCACACAGAUUAGCUACCGUAGCUCAAAUUGCAGAGAAACUUGGAAACCUCUGUAGCCACAGACUGGUCAGAGUGCCCUUGGCCUCUAUAUCCGAUUGAGUAUCUGUGGGAUGUGCUGGAACAACAAAUCCAAUCCAUGGAGGCCCCACCUCGCACAUUAUAGGACUUAAAGGAUUUGCUGCAAAUGUCUUGGUGAAACAUACCACAGGACACAUUGAGAGCGCUUGUAGAGUCCAUGUCUAGAAAUUUCAGAACUGUUUUGGCAGCACGAGGGGACCUACACAAUAUUAGGCAGGUGGUUUUAAUGUUGUGGUUGAUCAGUGUAAGUGCACAUGAAAAUUGUCCAUUUUUGUACCAUCUCUUGUAUUUUGUACCAUUUCUUGCAUUUUGUACUAAAUUGUGUUACUUUUUUAGAAUGAUUACUUUGCUGUUUGUUGUUAUCAGGAAUAUAUCUGUUUUAGUUUCUAAUUGUUUUUUAUCUUCAAUUUUCUCUUUUUCCUAUAUAAUAAUCUUUGUAUUAUACCUCCAUAGAAUAUAUGCACUGAUUGCCUUUCGCUUAAUAUGAUAGAACACACCAGUUACUACUGCACAGAAGGUGGAUUUGACUAAGAACGAGUGGUGGAAUGCAAUGGUUGUAAUGCAAAGAUGGACGCCACUAGAGUCAGAAUGAGGUUUGACUCGUGGUGGCAAUCUUUGAAUGAAAGGAGGGGAGAAUUCUUCUGAGUGGACUAAUGGGGCUUAUGGCAUAGUGAAAACAAGGCUUGAACUAUCUGUUUCUGAAAGGUGGAACACACGUUGGACCCAUUUGGCCACAGAAAGACGUGAUUAAUAAUUCAUUAUACGGAUAUAUAAACACCAAUACACAAGUGGCUUUAUUACUGAUUGAGAAAGCUUGAAUAGGUGAAACACUUUUUGGACAAGCCCCAUUUAUUGUUUUAUUGUGAUUUUAUAUUUGUAUCUUUAUUUGUCUAAUAAAUUGGAAUAUUUCUUAAUUUGGAGAUUUCCUGUAUAUCUUUGGAGUGUAACACCACCCCAAUAAAUAGGUGUCCACUUUGCAAAUACAGCCUAUAGGAAAAGGCCCUUUUACAUGUGAGUGUAUUUCAAAUUUGAUUUCUGGUCUUAAAGACAUAUUACACUAUUUCUGCACUUUUCCUGUUUUAUAUAUCAACUCCAAGGGAAUUGGAAGAAAGCCUCUCAAAGUAGGGUGGGAGUCCCCUGAUCUUAACGACUCCAUACGCUGUCAAGUUUGAGACAUUAUUAAAGCCUCCCCACUUGUGAGUUGGUAAUUCUACCAUCACCUCUAUUGGUAUUGAUCUUUAACUUUGAAUAUCAGAUUGUCUGCACUAUGAAAUUCAUAUUUUUAUUUUUUAGGUCUUUUAAUUGUCAUCAAAAACUGGAAAGUAUCAACCUCUAUCAUCUUUUUGUUUCACAUAUUGUAAAUCACUGUUUGAAUUGGACUUAAAAGUUCACUGUUUUGUUUGCAUAUGAUAUUUUCAUUGCAUUAAUUUGAAUCAGAGACUUGGUACACUUUAGACUAUACAAGUUAUCAAUGUUCCCCAGCACUUUUAGCACUAUCACUGCACAAUAUUUGCAUCACUUUGUUUUAGUCUUUUAAUACAUUUAUUGUGGUUUUUAUAAGCGCUCCACUCUCUUUCUACCACACUGACAAAACAUAAUUAAUCCAAAGAUGAUAACAGACAGAAACCUGCAGAUGAGGCUCCUUUUCUAACUUUUUUCUAUCUUUUUCAGCACUGCGCCAAACACAAAUCUAGAAGAUAAAUACAAUUAUGAAUUUAGCAACAAUUGUAGUGACCAUAUUAGUUCUACAAUCAAUAAAAAAGAAUCUUGCAAUAUUUCAAGCUGUUUGUGGUCUAAGUAAAAGAGUUAAAGGAACACUCCAAGCACCAUAACCACUACAGUAUGCAGUAGUAGUUAUGGUAUCAAGAGUGCCCUGAUGCACCCCGAUGUAAAUAGUCAAAUUGUUUGACAACUACAGAGCACUGUUUUGGUCAUGAUACUUGGAGUAGCCCUUUUAAUUCUUAGAAACACUUACAGCAUAAUAAUGCAAUACAGUAGAAACAGUGGGUUUUUCUUUAUAUUCACGCUGGGGCUCCCCCUUCUCAUCUCCUACUUUGUCAGUCAUAAAAUGAAUGUUUUGUUAUUCUUCCCACAAAAAAACAGAACUCUGAACAAUGCCUGUAUUCCCUUAGAGUUAAAAUAAUCAAGAAAUAAUUCACUAGUAAAGAAAUCCUUUUAGUUUUUACCUACAGACUUGUUACUGAAUCAGAAUAAAGUAAAACUGAGAGAGUUGUUUACUGCUGGUCUAACCUACAGCAACAGCAAGUAAAUCGCAUUCAAUUUGGUUUCUUAAUUAAGAAAUUCACUGUAAACAACUAACUAAAAACACAGGUAGAAGUCAGCACUCGGAAAGCACGUACGGAUGUAGAGUCGUGUGCUCAUGCCUUAGGCCCAUCCAAAAAUAGAAGCAAAUUUAACUUUUAGACAACAAAUAUUUCUACUUUAUAUCACAACUUUUCAAGCAGCCAGGUAUAUUUGGUGUUAGGAAUAGUUUUAUUUAGUUUAGAUAUUUAAUAGCAAGUAGUUUGAAGGUAAAUAAAAUUAAAUUGCACUUAUCCAAACUAAAUUUUCCAAGAAUCGUGACAAGUCAACAAAACAGCAAUGUUUGAAAUUCAUUGAUUAAAGGUACACUCCGAACACUAAUACAACUCUAGUGCAUUUGAUAUUUUUCUUUGCCUCAUUAAUGUGCAGUAUUUUUUGCAUGUACAAAUCUUGAUAUUAUUUGCACACAAAAAAGUUUUGCAAAAUACUACCCCAUAAGUUUUUAGAGAGUUGAAGGAAUAUGCUGCAGAGGAAUGAUUAUUGAAAUCGGCUACAAAAGGGGUGGCAUCCAAAAAUGUUGAAACACAUAUCAAGGGCAGGUAAGCAUCACUCGUGAUAGGGCUCCCUUAACAAUGGUUGUUUUGAGUGCUAGCAAUGCCACAUACAUGGAUUAAUGACAGGUGGGAACCAGGUACGCCAGGUGAAUAGCAGCCUUGACACUAAUAUUUGGAAACAUUGUAACGGUAUGGUUGAGAAAUAAUCAGUUCUAAAUUACAUUAGAACCAUAACUGCCUCGAUAUUCUGACCAAAAUUUGCAUGUACAAAUCUUUAUAUUUUUUGCACAAAAAAAAGUUUUGCAAAAUACAACCCCAUAAGUCUUUAGAUGUUAAUAUUUGGAAAUAUUGUAACCGUAUGGUUGAGAAAUAAUCAGUUCUAAAUUACAUUAGAACCAUGACUACCUCGAUAUUCUGACCAAAAUUAUGUGUAAUAUGUGAGUAUGCUAUGUGUGAACAAUAGUGUUAUGUGAUCAGUCCUAGGGGGUGGUUAGCAAACCAACUGUUACUUCUUCGACAUUCUUUGUCAAGGGAAAUGGAAUCCAGGGGACGUAUAUAUAAUAAAAUGUAGCCAGAGAAGUUACAAUCAUGUAGAUAAGCGAGAACUGUGUAGAACUGUGUAGAUUACACAGACCUUUAUUCUGUACUCGAAUUCUCUCAUUUUGCAUACAUUUGUUUCCAUGUAUUGAUCUUUACUGUAGUUAUCUCCAUUUUUUUGUUUUUUAUUAAGAGAAUUUAGAGACUGUGUUGUCCACUUCUGACCUUUAUUAUUUUGAAACUGAAUUUUCACAUAUUUGUCAGUGGCCCACAAACACAAAUUCCUCCUUUUCAAGAAAAAUGUUUGUUGAAAAAGGUCAGUUUAAACGCUAAGGUUUUAAAGGGCCUUAACAAAUAAAAUGUGGUUGGCCCAUUUGUAACACAAGGAAUGAUGUUACUAUGUUCUAAACACUAAUAAUAAAUCAUGUAUAUUUUACAUGUACAGGUUUUUUUUUUUACCAAAAUGAGAAUUGUUGGCAAUUUAUAGUGAAUUGAAAGUGAAAUUCAAAUUUCAAGCUAAAGUAGCGGAACUGGAAGCACAGCUGAUUUGGAGAAUCUUUCCAGUUCAGAUACUUUUUCCUUAAAUUUAAAAUUCACGUUGAAUUUCCAAAGAUUCGCAUUUUAGUCAAUAACCCUGUACAAAAAAACAUGUUAUAUAUAUAUAUAUAUAUAUAUAUAUACAUGACUUCUUUAUUGUAAUCUAAACUACUGUAUACUAUACAGAAAUGUUAUCACAAGUUUGCCACGUUUUCUUUUUUCAACAAUCUUCUUCAUAAGGGGCAUGCAUCUAAGGCAGUGGUUUCCAUAUCAGUCCUCAAGGCACACUGACCAGCAGGGCCGCCACCAGCUCAGCUCAGGGUCUGGGCCCCCUGGGGCCCGCCUCCAAUCCCGCCCACAGGGUCCGCCUCCAAAUCCCACCCACGGGAAUACACACACAGACACAAACACACACACUGAUACAAAAGGACACAGAUACACACACACAGAUACAUACUAACAGACACACAUACUGAAACAGACAUUAAAUUUAUAUUAUAUGACCACAAUUUAGCUAAAUGUGAGGAGGGACUAGUUACUAGCUAUUUUCUCUUAGCCAGGAUCAGACUAUGUUUACUCUUGAAUAAAAUGGAGAGCGUGUAAAAAAAAAAGGUUAAAAAAUUGAAAUCUCUUUAGUUUGGAAAUCGGCAAUUCAGAGGGGAUAUGAUAACAUUAUACAAACAUAUUCAGGGCCAGUACAAACCAUUAUCUAAAAAUCUAUUCAUAAACAGGCCUAUACAUAGGACACAAGGUCACACAUUUAGGCUGGAAGAAAGGAGAUUUCAUCUAUGGCAAAGAAAAGUUUUUUUUUUUACAGUAAGAGUAAUAAGGAUUUGUAAUUCUCUGCCUGAAGAGGUGGCUUUAUCAGAGUCCAUACAGAUGUUUAAACUGAAUUAGGAUAAAUACUUGCAAAAACAUAACAUAAGAGGAAUAUAGUUUCUAAUUAGUGGGGUAAUAGCUGCUUGAUCCAGGGAAACCAUCUGACUGCUAUUUUGGGGUCAAGAAGGAAUUUUUUCCUAGUUUGUUGCAAAAUUGGAAGUGCUACAGACUAGGUUUUUUGCCUUCUUUUGGAUCAACAGCAAAAACAUAUGUGAGGAAGGCUGAACUUGAUGGACGCAAGUCUCUUUUCAGCUAUGUAAUUACGUAACUAUGUAACUAUGUAACGAUAUGUAUAGAGGCUUAAAUAAGCAGAUUUGUGUAAAGUGAAUUUCAAAUUUAAGGGCAAAAUAAUCAAACUCAAAACAGAAUUAGCUUGGAAAAAUUUUCUAAUUUGGCUCGUUUAUCCUAAAUUUUGAAAUUCACUUUGAAUUCCAAAAAUUUUCACUUUGGUGAAUAACCCAGUCACUUUUUCCUGAAAUGGACAGAAUGGUUUUAAGGGAAAUUAUCACCUUUCUGGUAAUGGCAUAAUUGAAUGAAACAUUGAAUAUAACGUUUAAAUUGUUUAACCAUUUCCAUGUGAUGAUCUGUAUUCUUUUCAAAUGUGAAUUGAAGAUGUUGCAGGUGACAUCACAAUUCGGUUCUGUCGGGGUACAGCCAGGGUAGACAAUGGAAAUGAGAAGGAAAACGGAAGGAUUGGUACAAUUUCUCCUCUUUCACUAACCAUGUUUAAUGGCAUAAAAAAGCAGCAUUUAUAUCAAUGAUUGACAGGGAAUAAAAAUGGAGGCACCUAGUACUAGGAUGCAAAUAAAGGCAGAGGUGUGGAUUUUUACAUCUAAUUUUAUUAUUCAGACCUCAGUUAAACAUAUUUGCUAAAUGUAGAGGCUAAGUAAACAUAAUAUUAAAAAUCAUAUGAACAGAAUGCCCCUUACUACCGCAGGCCACACGUAGAGGGGGCCCAUUGGGUGGCCCAUGCUCUUAGUUCCACCUGAUGGCAAUGAGUCUGCAGGAGCCCGGACAGCGCUGCAGCGCUUUAACAGCGUAGCGGGCCUCCGGUGAUGAGGACAACACAUGGAGGACGUGCAGUCACUUCCUUUCUAGCUAAGACAGAGAGUGCCACAUGGAAGGGAGAAAGGUAGGGGGAGCGUGGACUGGUAGAGAGCCCGACUCCCAACAGCCUCAGCCAGCCACUGGACCCCAGGGAAGUCACCUUUCUGCAGCCAAAAGGAGGGUGACUAAAAAUGUAUAUUUUCCAUGAGUGUCUGUUUGUGUGUAUAUCUGUCUGUAUGUGUAUGUGUGUUUAUAUGUGUGUAUCUGUCUGUAUGUGUAUGUGUGUUUAUAUGUGUGUAUCUGUCUGUAUGUGUAUAUGCAUGUGUGUCUGUGUAUCUCUGUGUGUAUCUGGCUGUAUGUGUAUAUGCAUGUGUGUCUGUGUAUCUGUGUGUGUAUCUGGCUGUAUGUGUAUUUGCAUGUGUGUCUGUGUAUCUGUGUGUGUAUCUGCCUAUAUGUGUAUCUGUCUGUAUGUGUAUCUGUGUGUCUGUAUGUGUGUAUCUGUCUGUAUGUAUGUGUGUUUCUGUGUGUUUCUCUGUUUAUAUGUGUAUCUGUGUGUCUGUAUGUGUCUCUCUGUCUGUAUGUGUAUUAUUAUUAUUUUAUUAUUUAUAUAGUGCCAUCAUAUUCCGUAGCACUGUACAAUGGGUAUCUGUGUAUCUGUCUAUCUGUCUAUAUGUGUUUCUGUGUGUGUAUCUGUCUAUAUGUGUAAAUGUAUGUGCAUUUGCCUGUGUAUNNNNNNNNNNNNNNNNNNNNNNNNNNNNNNNNNNNNNNNNNNNNNNNNNNNNNNNNNNNNNNNNNNNNNNNNNNNNNNNNNNNNNNNNNNNNNNNNNNNNCUGCAUGUGGGUCAGUGUGUGCCCCUGUGUAUCUGUGUGUGUCUGUGUAUCUGUAUGUGUGUCAGUGUGUGUGUCUGUGCAUCUGUAUGUGUUAGUGACCCCCGGGUGACCCAUGCACUAAACAGCGCGACCAGGCCCCUUCCUGUUCGGCAGCCGGCUGGGAGGAAGUGAGUGCCGCGCGUCACUUCCUCCCACCGGAGAUCACAACCGCGCGGCAGGAGAAAGGCAGGGAGGAGGGGAGUUCCAGAGGAGAACUCCCAUCUGCCUCAGCCUGCCACUGGACCAGGGAAACCACCCUCCAGAAAAAGGUAAGAAACUGGAGGGUGGCUAAAGGUAUGUCUUUGUGUGUGUGUGUGUCUAUGUCUGUCUGUGUGCAUGUCAGUAUGUCUGUGUGUGUGUGUCAGUAUGUGUGUAUGUAUGUCUGUGAGUGUCAGUAUGUCUCUGUGUAUGUCUGUCUGUGAGUGUGUGUGUGUCAGUAUGUCUGUGUGUCACUAAGUCUGUGUGUGUGUCUAUGUCUGUCUGUGUGUGUGUAUGUCACUAUGUGUGUGUGUAUGUCAGAAUGUCUGUGUAUAUAUGUGUAUGUCUGUGUGUGUGUGUCAGUAUGUCUGUGUGUAUGUCUGUGUGUGUCUGUAUAUGUCAGUAUGCUUGUGUGUGUGUUUGUCAGUAUGUCUGUGUGUGUGUCAGUAUGUCCGUAUGUCUGUGUGUGUGUCUGUGUGUGUGUCUGUGUGUGUGUCAGUAUGUCUGUGUGUGUCAGUAUGUCUGCCUGUGUGUGUCAGUAUGUCUGUCUGUCUGUGUGUCAGUAUGUCUGUGUGUUUGUCAGUAUGUCUGCCUGUUUCUCUGUGUCAGGAUGCCUGUGUGUGUGUGUCAAUAGGUCUGUUAGUGUAUGCGUCUGUGUGUGUCAGUAUAUUUGUCAGUUUAUGUGUCUGUGUAUUCAUGAAUGUGUGUCUGUGUGUGUCAGUAUGUCUGAAUGUGUGUCAAUAUGUUUGCCAGUAUAUAUUUGUGUGUCAGUGUAUGUGUAUGUCAGUAUGUAUCUGAGAAUGUUUUAAUAUGUCUGUCUGUGUGUGUAUGUGUCAGUAUGUCUGUCAGUGUGAUUGCGGGUUGGGUGUAAUUAGGGGGUUGGGAGCCCAAGAAAAUGCAUUGCCCAGGGUCCUAAUCAUAUUAUAGACGGCCCUGUGUGUGUCUGUGUUACUGCAUUUGUCUCUGUGUAUGUAGCUGUAUGUGUGUUAUUGUGUGUAUCUGCAUAUAUGUCAGGGUGUGUGUGUGUCUGUUUAUUUGUAUGUGUGCUAGCGUGUGUCUGCAUGUUUGUCAGUGAGUGUUUCUUUGUGUCUGUAUGUGUGCCAGUGUGUAUCUGUAUAUGCACCUGUGUGUCUGUGUAUCUGUCUUUGUAUGUCUGUGUAUCUGUUUGUCUGUACCUGUGCAUAUCUGAGUUUGUGUAUGUGUGUAUCUGUAUUUGUGUCAGUGUUUGCAUUUGUAUGUGUGUCAGUGUGUAUAUUUAGUGUGGCUAAGUCUAUGUUCUAUGUGUGUGUGUUUUUUUUGUGUAUUCUUUAUGUGUGUCUUUGAGUGGAAGGCGUGUUUGCAUGCCACAAGGUGGGAGGGAGGGGACCAGGGGUCCCAAGCAAAUGCUUUCCCAGGGUUCAAUCAGCAUUAAAGACGGCCCUGACCAAUUUUAUCAUAAUAUACUUAUUGUACUAUCUGCUACAGGAGGGACAUAAUGAGGCAUGUUACAAGAAGCAAGGUCAGUAAGGUAUUUUGUUUUAUUGACACAUCUUGGGUUGGCCUUCCUUCGCCCAACUUCAACUAAAGUCAGAAAGAUCCAUAUCUCAAAUUUUAAAGAUGACUGUGCAGCACACGCUAGAAUUUUAAUCUUGGCCUGUCUGCAGUAGCUAAACUACACUGUUGCAUUUCACACUUGGUUCCUGGUUUGUUUAAUGAUUGAAUUGAAUCAAAAUUCUACAGCUGGAGAGAUCUGGCACUUGAUUGAGUAAGUAAACAGAUUCCAUAAGGUUUGAUUAACGUCUUCCAGCAAGGGCUGGCUGCUGCUGUUACAUUAUAAAGUUGCCACACUCCCAAGGGACGUGCUAAUCUAUGCUGAUCAAGUGUGCUGGGAAUCUGGUCUGUGCCUCCGCCUCAGUGUGUGGUAUUUGUUAUGGCUGUAUUGACUGUGUGUGAUAUAUGUAUGUAAUGGAUGUGAUAUUUGUUUAAUUCGAUUUAAAAACAUGCAUGUAGGCCCAUGUGUGAAUUUAGGUGUGCAUUUUUGUAGGUGUGAGAGACACUGUGAUGGAUAGAAAUGAAUGUAUGUAAAAUGUCUAUUUACUUUGUAUACCUGUGUUCAUUUAUUACUCAAAAUGGCUGCUAGAGCACCCCCUCCCAUCGACCAAGACCCUAGUGUAGUAAGAUGGCGUCUCCUUCCGGAGUUACACCUAAGAUGACGAUGAUAUCAACACCCUCUGGAGGAGGUCCAUAAAGAUUAGACACUUAACACCUAACCAAUUAAAUGUUUACUUUACUAAAACACUUCACCAAUUGAAAAGUUUACUUUCUGUAUUUGCAUAUGUUGCAUUCUUUGCCCUUUUAAGGGGCUACACCGCCCCCUGACAAUACACUUGGAAGUUUUCAUUCAACUGAACUUUUUUGUGUCGGUGGGAUUUCUUCAGCGUGCACACUUUAUUACAUUUAAGACAUUUGGACAGGGGCAGAUAUUCAAGCAAAUACUUGGUUUGGUCUAAAACAACACAAUCAGGUGCACAUAGUUAUACACAUAUACUGUCACAUACAGCCACAUGCACACCCCUUAGGACAGCUCUGUAAACACACAUGCACUUUGUCAUCCUGCUCACAGCCACAAUCAUCAGCAGUGAUGUGGAUUGUGUUACUGACAAUGCACAUAAAGGCAUUGUCUCCAGUAUCCUCCACCUCCUUUUUUUUAGUCCUGAGUUUAUACUUGUUUUAUGUGUAAUUAUUGUAACCAUGCAUAGUGCUACUGUGAUAGGUGCAGAUAGAGGUGAUGAUACACUUUGAAGGUCGGAGCAUGUCAUCAGCACACCCACGUCACUGUAAAACCUAAAUAUGUAACAAUAUUAAUAUGAACAAACAAGUCCUGCACUCUACCUCCCAUCACUCCUGGGCGGUAGCAACGACCACAGUACUCAUCAGCCCCAAUACGUACAGUAAAAACCAAAGAAAAAAGUUACCUGAGCUCUUCCCAAAUCCCUAUGCAUAUUUUAACAAAUGGAGGUUUUUUAGUUUCUCCAAUGGCCAUGAGAGAGUUUAGCCCAUCUGCCACGUCAAGGCAAACCUCUCAGUUAGGUCCUACAGUAACCUUUCACCUUGCUUCCUUGAGCUUCUGGCAAAUAUAUCUCUAAUGAGACAGAAAGGGGUAUUUUUUUUUUAUAUAUAUAUAUACACCCCUACAUGCUUAUUAACCCCUAAUAAAGAACACAUGGGAUGGGUGGCAGAAUUGUAACAUAGCUGUGUGAUACAAGGGUGAAUACAAAAAAACAAGUCCUGUGCUCAAACUCCAAUCUCUCCUGCCAGCAGCAACGACCAUAGUACACAUCAGCCCCAAUAGUACAGUAAAAACCAAAGAAAAAAGUUACCUGAGCUCUUCCCAAAUCCCUAUGCAUAUUUAAACAAAUGGAGGUAAUUUAGUUUCUCCAAUGGCCAUGAGAGAGUUUUCUCCAAUGGCCACGUCAAGGCAGACCUCUCAGGUGGGUCCUACACUAACCUUUCACCUUGCUUCCUUGAGCUUCUGGCAAAGAUAUCUCUAGUUACCUUCUUGCUGUAAUAAACAGAUUUAUAAGUAAAUAUUUGGGCAAAUUGGUUAAAUUUACACCUAUGGAGUAACUGUAUAUAGCAGGACUCAAAAUGUCAAGUACUUAUGCUACUACCCAAGCCUUAAAAAUACUUGUCACUGCACGCUUGGAGGGCCCAAGGCACACUCACCUGGGGUUAAUGUCUACUCACCAGGGCUGAAUUUUCACAUGCCAACAGCUAGUGGACUAAUGGAACAUUUUAACCCUUGUAUCAAGGAUAAUUGUCUGCCACUUUGAUCUGUAAGUUGUACAACUCUAUGUAUGGAAAUAGAGCAUUUGAAAUCCAAACCAGGAUAAUGCUUACUCAUUCUGGUGUUAGGCUAACAUACUCAAACUGAAACUGGUACCCAAAAGCUCAUGUCAAGAAUUUUGUGAAAAAUAUCUGUUGAUAUAUUUGCAAGCAUACAUGAUUGCAGAUGAGACAAAGGGCCACGGGUGCGUGAUUUUCAGUAUUUAAUAUAUGUAUGCUCAGUUGUAGCCCACACUAACUACAUGUUCCAUUCACUAGACACUUAUACAUGCAUACAUUACAAGGAUACUGCUGGAGCCAAUCAAUAACGAACACAUGCAGAAUCCAGAGCGCUUGCCCACUCAUUCAUUAAACAACCUAAUUCAAAGCUCAUAAAACAUAACUCCCCUGGUUUUCACCCCUCGCAGUUACAGGUGCCUGAUGCGGCAGCCCUAUUUAGUCUUGCACUGCUAAGAGCCCCAGGAGAAAGCAUUGCCCUAUUGAGUUAAUCUCAGAAGAGGUGGCAUUAAGUUUAUAGAAUAUGACUUGUCAAAAUGGGAUACUUUAGCGCAGGGCCGGACUGGGAAUUAAAAGCAGCCCUGGAAAAAAAAUAUUUACCAGCUCCAUAAUGCGUCGCACCAGCAUAGUGUGCAGAUACAGAGUUAGAAAAGAGAACUUAAAAUUAAAAAUUAUUACUCCAACGUAAAAAAAAAAGCACUCAUAGGCUUCAAAAUAAACAAAAGUGCAGAUUUAUUUUAAGCAGACGUGCCUUUGCAUGUAAUCAAUGUUUCAGUCCAACUACCAUAACAUAUUAACCCCUUAAGACCGGAGGGCGUACUAUUAUGCCCUAUUUUAGGCGGCUCUAAACGCCGCCGGGCGUAAUAGUACACCCUCCGGUCUUUCUUUACUUACCCGCGGCACGUCCGACCCCCUGGCAGCCCCCCUGACCAUGUGAGAGUGAGGUCCUUGCGAGGACCUCACAAUCACAUGGCCGGGUUAGCUGGCUGCUGCAUUGCCAGCAGGGGGACUGCCUGUAAUGACAGUUAGUCCCCUGCUGGCUGGAAAUAAAAUAAAAUUUAAUUAAAAUCAGUGUAAAAAAAAAAUAUAUACUUAGAUCAUAUAUAUAUAUAUAUAUAUAUAUAUAUAUAUAUAUAUAUAUAUAUAUAUAUACAUAUACAUACACACACACAUACACUGUCUAGGUGUAUUUACUAAUAUAUAUAUAUUAUUUACUACUAUAUAUAUAUAUAUUAAUAUCAAAUUACGUAGACGAUACUGAUGUAAAUAUAUUUAUAAUUAUUGUUAUAUAUUUAUAUAUAAUAUAAAAAAUUAAAAUGUAAAUAUGUUAAAAAAUAAAAUUACAAAAAAUAAUUUAAAAAAUAAUUAAAAAAAAUAUAUAAGAUGUGUGUUAUUUAAGUUUCCUACUGUAUUGUGAUAUUAUGUAUAUGUUUUAUUUCAAAAUACAUGUAGAACGAAAUAAUAUAUAUAUCUAUAUACAUAAAUAUAUACGUAUAUAUCACUAUAUAUAUAUACCUAUAUAUAAAUAAAAAUAUUUUAAAAAAAUUAUGUAUAUAUACAUAUAUAUUCACAUACGUAUAUAUAUAUAUAUAUAUAUAUAUAUAUAUAUACAUAUAUUAAUUCUACAUAUAUAUUUAUGUAAUAUUUUUAAAUAAUUAGGUAUCUUAAUUAAUUACAAUUAGCGGGACCUGCCUGACAACCCAUGCCGAAAGUAAAGGGAAUUUAAUUUGCUAGCACUAUAUUUAACCCUAUAACUUUCCGAGACACCAUAAAUCCUGUACAUGGGGGGUACUGUUCUACUCGGGAGACUUCGCUGAACACAAAUAUUAGUGUUUCAAAACAGUAAAAUGUAUUACAGCGAUGAUAUCGCCAGUAAAAGUGACGUUUUUUGCAUUUUUCACGCACAAACAGCAUUACACGGACAAUAUUAUUGCUGUGAUACUUUUUACUGUUUUGAAACACAAAUAUUUGUGUUCAGCGAAGUCUCCCGAGUACAACAGUACCCCUCAUGUACAGGUUUUAUGGUGUUUUCAAAACUUACAGCGUAACAUUAAAAUUCGCCAGAUUGGUUACAUUGCCUUUGAGACCCUAUGGUAGCCCAAGAAUGAAAAUUACCCCUAUGAUGGCAUACCAUUUGCAAUAGUAGACAACCCAAGGUAUUGCAAACGGGGUAUGUCCAGUCUUUUUUAGUAGCCACUUAGUCACAAACACUGGCCAAAAUUGGCGUUUUUUUGCAUUUUUCACAUACAAACAAAUACUGGACAUACCCUAUUUGCAAUACCUUGGGUUGUCUACUAUUGCAAAUGAUAUGCCAUUAUGGGUGUAAAUUUCAUUCGUGGGCUACUAUAAAGUCCCAAAGGCAACGUAACCAAUCUGGCAAAUUUCAAUUUCAAAUGUAACAUGCUAUAUAUGAUAUUUGACCCUGUAACUUUCCAAAACCUGUACAUAGGGGGUACUGUUUUACACGUGAGACUUUGCUGAAUACAAAUAUGUGUAUUUUAUUGCAGUAAAAGCAAACAGUAUUAUGACAUUGACCGUUAAAAUGUCAUGUAGAACUAAAAAAAUCAAAAGAAAUCUUAUUUUCUCCCAUUUGUUUCAUAUUAAAUUAUGUUUCAUAGCUAAAUAUUUGAUAUUAGAUGAAAGCCCUGUUUCCCCUGAAUAAAAUGAUAUAUAAUAAGGGUGGGUGCAUUUAAUAUGAAAGAGGUGAAUUACGGUUGGACAGACAUGUAGCGCAAAUGCCAGGGUUUGUUUUCAUUUUGUUUCGUUCACAACUUGUACAUUUGGCUCCGUCCUUAAGGGGUUAAGGAAAGCUUGGUAAUGGGACUGAAAUGGUGAAUGUAUGUAGGGCACAACUGUAAAAAAAAAUGACGUUAUCUUGUUUAUUUUGAAGUCCUGUGGGUGCGCUCUUCACUUUAAAUAUGUUAUUGUGAUGGAGUCUGCAUCUAGUAACAAGACUGGGCCAAUAUCUGCUCAUUACAUAUAGUAAAAUAAUGACAUUUAUCUGUGUAUUAUGCAUAUAUAAAUGUACAUUAAUAUAUGUGUAACUAUAAUAGAUAUAUAUAUAUAUACAUAUAUAUGUAAAACUAAUACACAUUAAUAUACAUGUCAUAUACCAGUGGUGGAUCCAGAGCCUGGUCCCAGCAGGGACACUUGUAGAUUAUUUAAAGAAAUAAUCCAUGCACAAUAACCACUACUGCUUAGUGUAGUGGUUAUGGUGCAAGGAGUGCUGGAAUCCCCUCCCAGAGUAAGUAGUCAAACCGUUUAAGAACAGUUUGACAACUUACCUGGGGUCUGCUGGGAUAUGGGGCUGUAGUAGGGUAUAGGAGCAGUGGUGCAAUGUGUGAGGGGUGCAGUGUGUGUGAAAGGUUCAGUGUAUGUGUGUGAGGGGGUGUAGUGUGUGAAUGUGUAGGGUGUGUGGGGCAAUAUGUGUAUGGGGGGGCUGUGUAUGUAUGUGUGCAGCAAUGUGUGUGUGGGGGCAGUGUGUGUGUGUGUAUGGGGCAAUGUGUGUAUGGGGGGCAGUGUGUGAAUAUGUAUGGUGUGUGUGGGGGCAGUGUGUGUAUGGGGGGCAGUGUGUGCUGCACGGUGCCUGUGGAAUGGGGAGGGAGAUUGGCUGGCAGGGGAGAGCCUCGUGGGGGGGGAAUUGCCCCGUUGCCCCCCCCCUCCGAUCCACCAGUGAUAUAUACAGCCCCUAUGUGUGUCUCUUUAUCUCCAGCCCCUCUGUGUGCCUUUUUGUCUCCACCAGUCACUCUGUAUGUUUCUUUCUCCCCCUCACUGCUCCUCUGUGUCCAUGUCUCCCCUCUCCUUUCCAGUCUCUCUAUUCCCCCUCUGCCUCUUUCUCCCCCUCCCCUUGUGCGUCUCUCUCCUUUCCCCCUCUGCCUCUUUUUCCCCCUCUGCCUCUUUCUCCCCCUACCCCUGUGCGUCUCUCUCCUUUCCCCCUCUGCCUCUUUCUCUCCCUCCCCUUGUGUGUCUCUCUCCUUUCCCCCUCUGCCUCUUUCUCCCUCUGCUUGUGUGUCUCUCUCUCCUUUCCCCUCUGCAUCUUUCUCCCCUCCCUUAUGUGUCUCUCUCCUUUCCCCUCUGCCUCUUUCUCCCCUCAUGUGUGUCUCUCUCAGCGCCUCUGUCUCUUUUUCUCCCCUCCUUGAUAGUCUCUCUCCUUUCCCCUCUGCCUCUUUCUCCCCUACCUUGAGGUAUGUCUCUCUCCUUUUCCCCUCUGUCUCUCUUUCUCCCCCUCCUUGUGUGUCUCUCUGCCCCUCUGCCUCUUUCUCCCCCUCCCUUUGUGCGUCUCUCUCCUUUCCCCCUCUGCCUCUUUCUCCCCCUCCCCUUAUGCGUCUCUCUCCUUUCCCCCUCUGCCUCUUUCUCCCCCGCCCCUUGUGUGUCUCUCUCCUUUCCCCCUCUGCCUCUUUCUCCCCCUCCCCUUGUGCAUCUCUUUCCUUUCCCCCUCUGCCUCUUUCUCCCCCUCCCCUUGUGCAUCUCUCUCCUUUCCCCUUGUGUGUGUCUCUCUCCUUUCCCCUUGUGCGUCUCUCUCCUUUCCCCUCUAUCUAUUUUUCCCCCCUCCUUGGCAAUUGCCUCUCUCCUUUCCCCUCUGUCUCUUUCUCCCCUCCUUGUUGUGUCUCAUAUAUUUUCCCUCUCUGUCUCUUUCUCCCCCUCCUUGUGUGUCUCACUCUUCCCCCUCUGUCUCUUUCUCUCUCUUUUCCCUGUGUCUAUUCCCCCUCUGUUUUACUUUCCCCCUCCCCUUGUGUCUCUGUAUUCCUGUCUUCCCCCUCCCAUUUACCUGAGAGGAGUCAGGGGAACCGGCCGCAUUCCACGCUGGAGCCGCCGGGCCGGGAGGCAGUCUCGCCAGUCCGGCGGCACUCCUGUCACUGAUGGCUGAGGAGUGAAGAUGAAGGAGGAGGGAGGAGCAUGUGUCUGUACCAUGCUCCCUCGCGGUUCCUGUGCUGGGGAUUGUGGGAACCGCGACAAAGUGAAUAAAAUUGAUUAUAUUGUUACAAUGGCACCUGUCAGGGGGUGCGAUAUAUUAGACAGCAAGUGAACAGUCAGGAUUUGAUGUGUCUGAAGCAGCAAAAAUGAGCAAACAAAAAGAUCUUAGUAAUUUUGACAAGGAACAAAUAAUGACAGCUUAAUGACUGUGUCAGAAGAUCUCCAAAACAGCAAGACUUGUGGGGUGAUUCUGCUAUUUAGUGAUUUGUACCUACCAAAUGUGGUGCAAGGAAGGACAACCGGUGAACAGUCGUCAGAGUCGUGGUAGCUCAAGGCUUAUUGAUGCACAUGGGGAGCGAAGGCUUGCCUGUCUGGCCCGAUCACACAGAAGAGCUACCGUAGCUCAAAUUGCAGAAAAACUUGGAAAACUCUGUAGCCACAGACUGGUCAGAGUGUCCUUGGCCUUUAAAUCCGAUUGAGCAUCUGUGGGAUGUGCUGGAACAACAAAUCCAAUCCAUGGAGGCCCCACCUCGCACAUUAUAGGACUUAAAGGAUUUGCUGCAAAUGUCUUGGUGAAACAUACCACAGGACACAUUCAGAGGGCUUGUAGAGUCCAUGUCUUGAAAUUUCAGAACUGUUUUGGCAGCACGAAGGGACCUACACAAUAUUAGGCAAUGUGGUUUUAAUGUUGUGGUUGAUCAGUGUAAGUGCACAUGAAAAUUGUCAAUUUUUUACCAUCUCUAUUUUUUUCCAUUUCUUGCAUUUUGUACUAAAUUGUGUUACUUUUUUAGAAUGAUUACUUUGUUGUUUGUUGUUAUAAGGAAUAUAUCUGUUUUAGUUUCUAAUUUUUUUUAUCUUCAAUUUUCUCUUUUUCCGAUAUAAUAAUCUUUGUAUUAUACCUCCAUAGAAUAUAUGCACUGAUUGCCCUUCUCUUAAUAUGAUAGAACACACCAGUUACUACUGCACAGAAGGUGGAUUUGACUAAGAACGAGUGGUGGAAUGCAAUGGUUGUAAUGCAAAGAUGGACGCCACUAGAGUCAGAAUGAGGUUUGACUCGUGGAGGCAAUCUUUGAAUGAAAGGAGGAGAGAAUUCUGCUGAGUGGACUAAUGGGGCUUAUGGCAUAGUGAAAACAAGGCUUGAACUAUCUGUUUCUGAAAGGUGGAACACACGUCGGACCCAUUUGGCCACAGAAAGACGUGAUUAAUAAUUCAUUAUACGGAUAUAUAAACACCAAUACACAAGUGGCUUUAUUACUGAUUGAGAAAGCCUGAAUAGGUGAAACACUUUUUGGACAAGCCCCAUUUAUUGUUUUAUUGUGAUUUUAUAUUUUUAUCUUUAUUUGUCUAAUAAAUUGGAAUAUUCCUUAAUUUGGAGAUUUCCUGUAUAUCUUUGGAGGGUAACACCACCCCAAUAAAUAGGUGUCCACUUUGCAAUUACAGCCUAUAGGAAAAGGCCUUUUUACAUGUGAGUGUAUUUCAAAUUUGAUUUCUGGUCUUAAAGACAUAUUACACUAUGUCUGCACUUUUCCUGUUUUAUAUAUCAACUCCAAAGGAAUUGGAAGAAAGCCUCUCAAAGUAGGAUGGGAGUGCCCUGAUCUUAAAGACUCAAUAUGCUGUCACGAUUGAGACAUUAUUAAAGCCUCCCCACUUGUGAGUUGGUAAUUCUGCCAUCACCUCUAUUGGUAUUGAUCUUUAACUUUGAAUAUCAGAUUGUCUGCACUAUGAAAUUCAUAUUUGUAUUUUUUAGGUCUUUUAAUUGUCAUCAAAAACUGGAAAGUAUCAACCUCUAUCAUCUUUUUGUUUCACAUAUUGUAAAGCACUGUUUGAAUUGGACUUGAAAAGUUCAUUGUUUUGUUUGCAUAUGAUAUUUUCAUUGCAUUAAUUUGAAUCAGAGGCCUGGUACACUUUAGACUAUACAAGUUAUCAAUGUUCCCCAGCACUUUUAGCACUAUCACUGCACAAUAUUUGUAUCACUUCGUUUUAGACUUUUGAAACAUUUAUUGUGUUUUUUUUUUAAAUAUCUUUUUAUUGAGAUUUUUUCACAUUUUUGAAAGAAAGGAUGAAAUGCGGAGAAACGCGCAGGUUUCAGGUAAACAGUAUAACAAUUUGUCAAUCGAGAUUCGCAGAUCUCCUGAGUAACAAUUGAGGGAGAGACAUGCAGGUCUCAAGCCAAACUAAGUGUUCAUCGUAUAUCAUGAAUAUGUAUUGCAUUGAUUCAUAUUAACAAGUGAAUUGCCCUCCUAUCUUGGCCUGUCUAUGUGCUGCUAAUGUGUAUUUCCCUGUCGUUGUCUACUCCCGUGAGUUGAUGUUCCCGUGUUGCGGUCUGCCUAGUGUGGGCAUGCUGAUAUUCUUGCUGCUGUUGCUGAAGUUCGAUCGUUUCAAGGUAGCUGUGAGGGGUACUCGUGUUUCUUUGCCUGACUUGACGCAGGUUUCGUUUGGUAUAGAUUUAGGCCGUGGUGUAGGCAGUUUUUGUGUGGUGGUCAUGAGUGUGUAUCUUGUAAAUAUAGUUUUAUGAUAUUUUGCAGGAAUCAUAACAACGGUUAAUAGCAUUAAACAUUCGUAAAGAUGAGACUCGUUGGUCCCUCAAAGGGUGUUCUAAACUUAGGCACGCAGGCCCCUUCUCCUUUCUGAGAAAUAUAUGUAGCAGACUCGCAGGUCUCUUGUUCUUGUGUCUCAUUGUAUCUCUGCGGGACGCGCAUGUCCCUGCUAGUCGCUAAAACAUACAUUUUGUAAAUAGAUAUCAAAUAGCCAGGUAAUAUCACUCCAUUAGGUCUCUUAGUAACCAUAAAUAAAAUAGAUGAACAGUAUUGAACAUUUCGGAGCGUGUGUUUGGGCAAGACUCGCAGGUCCUUCAGUAGGUUUAGUGUGUGGAGGCGCGCAGGCCUCUAUCAGUCCUAGUUGAGCAUUUUGCUAGACUCGCAGGUCUCAAGUGAUUAGAGUGCAUUGUGUCAUCAUGGGACAUUUAAGUCCCGGUUUUUCGGUCUUAGGGUCAUUGUAUAUGCCUGUGUCGAUUAGUAAGUUGGGAGUCGUUAUGCCCGCAUUCGGUGUGAGUGGUCGAGGUUGUGCUGAGGUUCGUGUGAGGCAUCGCUUUUAUUCUGUCGAGUGUCUGUCAUGGGUGAUUGGGGUGGGAUGUAUUCCUAAGGGGUCUGUCUGUUUGGGUGCUUAGUCGGGUGUUGCCUUCUGGCGUAUUUCACGUAGGGGUUCUUUGUGGUCUCCCUUUGCCUCUAGGAGUCAGGGGUCUCUAGGGUUGACCUGUCUCCCCGAGUGCGUCUGUGAAUUUGUCCCCUGUCGUUGUCACUAUCCAGUGUGUCCAGAUGUCCAGGUAUUGUUGUGCCCUAUCCGGGGUUUUCAUGUUUAUGUCUUGCGUUGCCCUAAGGUCUUCCAUUUGUGCAAACCAUUCCUGUGCCUCUGUGUUCCUCCAGUGUUGGGGAAUGAGUUGUUUUGCUAUAUUUAGUAUCCAUUUAGUUAGUGAUCUUUUGUAUUUGUUGCUAGGUACGGUAGUGUGGUGUAGGAGCAUUGCUGAUGGGUCAAAAGGUGGUGGUUGGUCUGAGAAUGUCUGUAGCAUUAUAUAUCCCUUGCCAGAAGGUUUCUACCACCAGAUGUGUAUGUGUGUCCAUGUCCCAUUCCCGCAUCUCCAGCAUUGUGUGGAUUGAUCUGGGUGCAUGUUGUGUAAGAUGUCCGGAGUGCGGUACCAUUAUGUGAGUAGUUUAUAUGCGGUCUCCUGGUGUCUGCUAAAGGCAGCGCAGUGGUGUGUUAAUGUGCAUACUUUGUCCUAUUCCCUGUCGCUAAGUUUUUGGUGCAAGGCCGUUUCCCAUUUCCCCUUAAACCUAGGUGUCUCUACUGGGAUCUGUUUUUGUAGUGAGCCAUAUAAUAUGGAUAUCCCGUGUGGGAGUGGUUCCGGGUCGAGACAUAGUUGCUCAGACUCCAUGGGGGUACGUCGUAGAGCCCUUCCCUGAGGUAGAGUCUGAAGAUAGCUCGUCAGUUGUGUGUAUGUGAACUUCUGUAGAUCUGUGAGGGUCUUCCGACCCGUCGGUGUGUGGAUGUGGUGGAGCCUAGGUAACAGGUUUGGGACAAUGCUUCUGAGUGCUAGUGGGUCGAGUCCAGGUGGGAAAUCCGUGUUAUGCGUCAGGGGGAGUAGAGGUGACGGAUAUGGGGUAAGGCCGGCUCUGUCUGCUAUACCGUGCCAUACUUGUAGGGUGUUCUCCACGUAUAUGGGUGCCUUUUUCCAUCUCCCUCUUGGUAACCACGAGGCAAGCGCUGUAGGGAUCCCCAGCUCUGCCUCCUCCACUGUUUUCCAUUGUUUGUGGACAUUGAGUUUCGACCAUUCCAGUAUUCUAAGGAGGUGGCAUGCUACAUAGUAGAGGUGGAAAUUUGGCAGUGCCAUGCCUCCCUGCUCUCUGGGUUGUGUGAGUUGUGAAAAUUUAAGCCUGGGCCGCUUCCCUUUCCAGACCUAUUCUCUCAAGAUCUGAUGUAGGGUUCCGAAAUAUGUCCUAGGGAUUCGUAUGGGUAUUGUCUGCAUCAAAUAUAACAGCCGUGGUAAAAAGUUCAUUUUUAUGACCUGGACACGGCCGAACCAGGAGAUGUGGGGGUAUGACCAUUCCCCCGCAUCCCUUCUGAAGGUGGACAGCAUCUGGGCAAAGUUGUCUUUAAAGAGGUCUGAGCUAUUUCUGGUAAGCCAAAUGCCCAGGUACCUGAUUUUAGAAUCUGCCCAUUGGAACGAGAAUCUCUGAUGGAGCGGUGGUUCCCGGUGUUGGGGUAUUGAUAUGUUAGGUAUAUACGACUUAACAAAGUUUAUUUUUAUAUUUGAUAUCUCUCCAUAUUCCCUAAAGACCUUAAUUAUGUUCGGGAGUGAGAUUUCGGGCUUCGAGACAAAAAAGAGAAGGUCGUCGGGGUAUGCCCCCACCUUGUGUUGUAUGUUGCCUUUUUCUAUCCGUGUGAUGUCCUGGUUAUUUCUAAUUGCUUGUAAAAAUGGCUCUAAAGCGAAAACAAAAAGAAUUGGCGACAAGGGACAUCCCUGGCGGGUGCCGUUUUGAAUUAUGAAGUCUUCUGUAAGUGCUCCAUUUACAAUUAUUUGGGCUCUGGGUUGUCUAUAUAUUGCCUCUAUCCAGCCUCGCAUGUGUGUCCCCAUGCCAAGGUGUGUGAGGGCCUGGAACAUGUAUGUCCACCCGAUCCUGUCGAAGGCCUUCUCCGCGUCCGUGGAUAGCAGGAGAAGGCCCCCGACCCCCGCCGGCUCCCCAUGGGCUAUCGACAGUGCUCUGAUUUUAUUGUCCCUAGCCUCCCGCCCCAUCACGAACCCCACCUGGUCUGGGUGCACCAGGGUUGGAAUGUGCGGCUGUAGGCCGGCCGCCAGUAUUUUCGUUAGCAACUUCCAGGCCCUGUUUAUAAGGGAUAUGGGUCUGUAGUUGUUACAGUAGUCUCCGUACUUCCCUUCUUUUAGGAUGAGCGUGAUAUGUGCCAUAAGGGACUGCGUGGGCAGGUGGUGCCCUUCCCUAAGCGUGUUGAAGGAGGCUAGCAUUGGCGCGUAUAGGGUCUCUGCAAAGCUCUUGUAGUAGCGUAAUGGGAAACCAUCUGGGCCUGGGCUUUAACUGCCAUCGCUAUUUCUUCAACAGCGAUGGGCUCCUCCAGCACUUCUGCUACAUCUCGUUCUAUGUGUUUGUGCAUGUUGGUUUGGAGGAAAUUAUUUAUCCGGGUCCUGAGGUUGGCUUGCGAUUGUGCAUCUCGCGGGCUUGGUAGAGAGUAGAGGUCUCUGUAGUAAGAGCGUAUGACUUCUUGUAUUUUGGUGGGGAGGCGAUGUACUAUCCCAUUUCUAUCUCGGAUUCUUUCUAUAUAUGUCUGCUGUCUACACUUGGCCAACAUUCUCGCUAGGAGUUUUCCCACUUUUGUUGCUGUGUGCCUCAAAGAAUGCUUUAUGUCGUGCUGCUUCUCUAUGGUGUCUGGCAUGCAGGAGUGUAGUCAGUUCCCUUCUCAACUGGAGUAGCUUAGCCUGAUGUAUGGGGAGUCCAUCCCUUUUGUUAGAUUCAUCUAUUGUCUGUAUUGCUUGUAUAAGCGCCGUAAUGCACGCUUCUCUUUGUCGCUUUAGCCAGGUCCCUUUUGUAUAAGGUGGCCCCUUAUCACGCACUUAUGUGCCUCACAUAUGUAUGUGAGUGAGGUCUGGUCUGGUGUGUUAGUUGUGAAGUAAUCUUUCAGUGUCUUAUCUGUCUCCGUCAGGAUGUCCGGUAGGGACAGCAUGUAUUCUUUCAAUCUCCACUUGGAGACCCUGGGUCUAUAUAGCGGUGAGGAGAGAGUAAGUGUUACCGGCGCGUGGUCUGACCACGUCACUGUUCCCUGCUCUGCUGUUUUUACCAUGGUUAGGUGAUGGUGCAUCGUGAAGAAAUAGUCUAGUCGUGAGUAUGUGUUGUAUGGUUGGGACAGGAACGUGUAGUUCCUUUCAUCUGGGUGGUGUGCCCUCCAGCAAUCUAUCAAUUGUGAGCCUUUUAAUAAGGCUUUUAUCAGGGUUAGGUGCUGUGUCGGGACCUUGGAUGGACGAGUCCCAUUUGGGGUCCAUGGUUAUGUUAAAGUCCCCCCUAAGAGCAGGAUGUGUUUCCUGGAUGUGUAUCACGUCUAACCUAGAUUUGUGGAACUCUCUCAGGGCGCUCAAACGUUUCUCAGGUUUGUUUAGACCCCUUGCGUUUAAAGUGGUGAUGAGUAGAUCUGCUUGGCGUAGUGACAUGGUGUCAGUUCUCUUGGGAGACCUCAGGGUGUCAGGCUAGGAGUAGGAAAUUUAAGGGAAAGGGAGGUAUAGGUAGUCCGUCGGUAGUGAACCAGCGUCUGUCUGAUCACUGUAUAGGUGUGGAUGUCCAGGGAGGGGCUAGUCACCCUCCCACCAGGAGUUUAAGGUGACUCCCUGCCCGGGAUUGUAUGCCCCGUCCUCUCCGGGGUCGAAGGAGGUCGCGAGCCUCUAAACUGCGCUCGCGAGUUUGAGGUCUGUUGUGGCACCAGUCCUCUAGAUACUAGGUAACUCUUCCUGUGUCGUCCUCUAGUGGCUCGUUAUGUGUGUCAGUAGUCUAGAUGUACCUCGCCGUAUAAAACUUAGCCAUAGGGCCAUUUAGUCUCGUUGCAUGUCAAAUCUUUAGUAGUUCAGGACGUAUGAACAUGUGAGGGUAUACAUUUUAAACAGUUUAACAUUUAAACCUUCGUGUGGGUAAACAAGCCUUACAUUUAAGCCUUCUCUCGGUCAAGCAUGAUGGACCCUUUAUCCCUGCGGGACCCGUUCCCCCCCUCCGCCUCAGCUGUUCCAUGUCAUAUGCGUUUUCAAUUAUGGCCCAAGUCCCCUCCCAGUCCCUCCCCCCCUCAAGGGACUGGGUCCCCCCACCCGAGCCGGGGGGACCCCCCCGCGCGCUCUCCUACACGGGUCAUCACGCCCCGGGGGGAAGGACGCCCCCGACCCGGCCUAGCCAGGGCAUAGACCCCCACUCUCACCCCAGCAUCCCCCCUUCCUCCCACAGCCCCGGCCCCCCCUGUCUCGGCCAUGCGGUGAGUACAGUCCCGGCUGCCGGGGGAGGCAGCCCCGCCAUGACAAGGCCUUCUCAUCCUCCCAGUGGAGCAGCACGUCCCAGCCCCCAGGGUGCAAGUAUGGAUCCUUGUAAGUGGGUGCAUGGCCCUGCGGUAAGCCAGCGUCGCUGGGGAGAGGUCCGGGAAUAGCAGAAUCAGUGCCCCGUUCAAGAUUAUCCGAUCCAUCUCUCUGGCCCUUUGUAAGAUCUCUUCCUUGAAUUGGUAACUGGCCAGGCAACACAUAAUGUCCCUUGGGGGUCUUCUGGAGUCCCCUUAGGGCGCAGAGCUCGGUGUGCCCUGAUGAAGUCUAUGGUGGAAGCCUCCGGUCUGCCUAGUAUUUUGUUGAAGAGGCCGGUCAGGAUCUCUUUCACGGAUUCGGAGUUAGUUGUGCUCUCGGGGAUUCCCCUUACUCUGACAUUUUGUCUUCUGCUUCUGUUUGUCGAGGUCUUCUAUAUGGUAGGCCAUCUGUCGGAGUUGGUCUGACUGUUAUGACUGUUAUGGCAUCCGAGUUUGCCGUCUGCACUGACUGCACGUGGUCGUGUCCGCCUCCAACUGUGACACUUUGUGGUUGAGGCCUUGCAGGUCCUCUCUCAUUGCGUGCAGUUCCUCUGUGAUGGAUUUUUGCAGGGCUCUAUUGGCCUCUCUUAGGUCCGAUCUCGUCGGUAGGUUGUUGAGCAUUUUCAGCCAUUCCGGAGGUGUCUCUGUUGCACCAUGCAGUUCAGGCUCCCCUCUCCAGGUAGGUGUUGGUGUAAAUUCGGCAGCCUCUGAAUCGUUGGAGGCUUUGGAUGUGAGGUCGGUCGGCGUGGUUAGGUAUUGCCUAAUUGACGGGGCUGGGGACCCCCUCGGGGUAUCCACAGACUUGGCGGCUUGUGUUGUCCUGUGUGAUUUCCCCGUUUCUGGAUCUGACACGCAGCUCAGCGAGGAAUAGAACAGAGCCAGCGAGGAGCUCCCUGUCUAUGCUGCCAUUUUGCUUGGCGUCCAGGCCACACACCCUUAUUGUGGUUUUUAUAAGCGCUCCACUCUCUUUCUACCACACUGACAAAACAUAACUAAUCCAAAGAUGAUAACAGAAAGAAACCUGCAGAUGAGGCUCCAUUUCUAAAAUUUUUUCUAUCUUUUUCAGCACUGCGCUAAACACAAAUCUAGAAGAUAGAUACAAUUAUGAAUUUAGCAGCAAUUGUAGUGACCAUAUUAGUUCUACAAUCAAUAGAAGCGAAUCUUGCAAUAUUUCAAGCUGUUUGUGGUCUUAGUCAACACACUACAGUGUGCUGUAGUAGUUAUGGUAUCAAGAGUGCCCUGAUGCACCCCGAUGUAAAUAGUCAAAUGGUUUGACAACUACAGAGUACUGUUUUGGUCAUGAUACUUGGAGUAGCCCUUUUAAUUCUUAGAAACACUUACAGCAUAAUAUUGCAAUACAGUAGGAACAGUGGGUUUUUCUUUAUAUACACACUGGGGCUCCCCCUUCUCAUCUCCUACUUUGUCAGACAUAAAAUGUAUGUUUUGUUAUUCUAAAUAAACCAGAGUUCACUUUAAUUGUUUAGGAUAUUCAAAUCUGUUCUGUUUACAUUUCAUAUAGUUUUACUUUAUUUUUAUCCAUGUCUCACUCCAAAUGUUUAAAUAUAAUCUAAAUGUCAUGACAUCAGCAUCUGUUCCCACAAAAAACAGAACUCUGAACAAUGCCUGUAUUCCCUUAGGGUUAAAAUAAUCAAGAAAUAAUUCACUAGUAAAGAAAUCCUUUUAGUUUUUACCUACAGACUUGUUACUGAAUCAGAAUAAAGUAAAACUGAGAGAGUUGUUUACUGCUGGUCUAACCUACAGAAACAGUAAGUAAAUCUCAUUCAAUUUGGUUUCUCAAUUAAGAAAUUCACUGUAAACAACUAACUAAAACACAGGUAGAAGUCAGCACUCGGAAAAGCACGUCCGGAUGUAGAGUCGUGUGCUCAUGCCUUAGGCCCAUCCAAAAAUAGAAGCAAAUUUAACUUUUAGACAACAAAUAUGUCUACUUUAUAUCACAACUUUUCAAGCAGCCAGGUAUAUUUGGUGUUAGGAAUAGUUUUAUUUUGUUUAGAUAUUUAAUAGCAAGUAGUUUGAAGAUAAAUAAAACCAAAUUGCACUUAUCCAAACUAAAUUUUCCAAGAAUCUUGACAAGUCAACAAAACAGCAAUGUUUGAAAUUCAUUGAUUAAAGGUACACUCCGAACACUAAUACAACUCUAGUGAAUUUGAUAUUUUUCUUUGCCUCGUUAAUGUGCAGUAUUUUUUGCAUGUACAAAUUUUUAUAUUUUUUGCACAAAAAAAAUGUUUUGCAAAAUACUACCCCAUAAGUCUUUAGAUAAUUUUUAGAGAGUUGAAGGAAUUUGCUGCAGAGGAAUGAUUAUUGAAAUCGACUACAAAAGGGGUGGCAUCCAAAAAUGUUACAUUUGUCUUGCAGCCCUGACCCAUAGAGGUGACACAAGGUGAGAGUUGAGACUAUGGGCACUGUAUAAUGGAAUGCAUACUGAGAAGCUGAGAGUAUGAUGAAAUACAUUACUGGUUGCCAGAACUUUGAAGUUGAAACACACAUCAAGGACAGGUAAGCAUCACUAGUGGUUGUUUUGAGUGCUAGCAAUGCCACAUACAUGGACUAAUGACAGGUGGGAACCAGGUACGCCAGGUGAAUAGCAGCCUUGACACUAAUAUUUGGAAAUAUUGUAACGGUAUGGUUGAGAAAUAAUCAGGUCUGUAUUACAUUAGAACCAUGACUGCCUCGAUAAUGUAUCUUUUUCUGACCAAAAUUAUGUGUAAUAUGUGAGCAUGCUAUGUGUGAACAAUAGUGUUAUGUGAUCAGUCCUAGGGGGGUGGUUAACAAACCAACUGUUACUUCUUCAACAUUCUUUGUCAAGGGAAAUGGAAUCCAGAGGACAUAUAUAUAAUAAAAUGUAUCCAGAGAAGUUACAAUCAUGUAGAUAAGCGAGAACUGUGUAGAACUGUGUAGACUGCACCGACCUUUAUUCUCUCCUCUAAUUCUCUCAUUUUGCAUACAUUUGUUUCCAUUUAUUGUUCUUUACUGUAGUUAUCUAUAAUUUUUUUAAAUAAUUUUUUUUUGUUUUUAUUAAGAGAAUUUAGAGACUGUGCUGUCCACGUCUGACCUUUAUUAUUUUGAUACUGGAUUUUCACAUAUUUGUCAGUGGCCCACAAACACAAAUUCCUCCUUUUCAAGAAAAAUGUUUGUUGAAAAAGGUCAGUUUAAACGCCAAGGUUUUAAAGGGCCUUAACAAAUAAAAUGUGGUUGGCCCAUUUGUAACACAAGGAAUGAUGUUACUAUGUUCUAAACACUAAUAAUAAAUCAUGUAUAUUUUACAGGUUUUUUUUUUUUUUUACAAAAAUAAGCAUUGUUGGCAAUUUAAAGUGAAUUGAAAGUGAAAUUCAAAUUUAAAGCUAAAGUAGCGGAACUGGAAGCACAGCUGAUUUGGAGAAUCUUUCCAGUUCAGAUACUUUGUCCUUAAAUUUAAAAUUCACUUAGAAUUUCCAAAGAUUCACAUUUUAGUCAAUAACCCUGUACAAAAACCAUUAUAUAUAUAUAUAUAUAUAUAUAUUUACAUGACUUCUUUAUUGUAAUCUAAACUACUGUAUACUAUACAGAAAUGUUAUCACAAUUUUGCCACGUUUUCUUUUUUCAACAAUCCUUCUUCAUAAGGGGGAAGGAAUCUAAGGCAGUGGUUUCCAUAUCAGUCCUCAAGGCACACUGACCAGCAGGGCCGCCACCAGAAAUUUUGGGGCCCCUAACUCAGCUCAGGGUCUGGGCCCCUUGGGGCCCACCUCCAAUCCCGCCCACAGGGUCCGCCUCCAAAUCCCACCCACAGGAAUACACACAGAGACACAAACACACACACUGUUACAAAAGGACACAGAUACACACACACACAGAUACAUACUAACAGACACACAUACUGAAACAGACAUACACACAUAUAGGCAUACAUACUGACACACACAUACUGAGACAUACACACUGUGAUGGACCGCUUGCACUCCGACUGAGUUCCUAUGCCAAUCGAUGCUCCUAGCGCUUGCCGAGGACUCCGAGCACUCCAACCGACACCAUCAGCACUGCGGACCCCACUUCCAGCGAUGCAGCUGCGCCGGGGUCUCGCCGUCUCUCACCCACCCUGGAUCCACGACCGGGAUCCAGCUUCCAGUGGGUGAACCUCUCCUAAAUCCAGAGAGCAGGAACCAGGAACAAAACAAGCUCUUGCAAAAGCUGACUCUGGGGAGUAUGUGAUUAUAGCAAUCCCCCGAGUGUAGUUAUCCCUUCCCCCAAGCAUUAGCCAAGGCUUCAAGAAAAGUGCAAGUAGGUCUGGUUAAUUGAGGGCUACCUGCCAGGUAUUUAUGCACGUGUCCACCAGGUGGACACUCCCCUAGGGGACCUGAUGGAACAAUGGGACACAUAUUGGAUAUUAGCCAAUCACAGACAAUACAAACAAAACACUCCCACAGUGACAUCACAAUCCCUCCUCUCUAUCCUGGAGAUAAUUGGGAAGUAAUCAAAUUAUCUCCCAGGACAGAGGCAAGAAUCCAUUAACCACAUGGUUACAAAAAGACAUUUGUAAAAGAUGUGUAAUCUAACAAAGAACAUACACCUUGACCAUUCUACAUAAAACAUAUACAUGCAACAUAUCCCCAGAUAGCUUAGAUCUGAGUGCACAUUAUUACCGAAUGGCGCUCAGAUAACAUACAUACAGUUCAAUCACCAUGGAGCCAAUGUCUUUUCCAUAGUAUUUUGUUACACGAAUAGGCUCCAUGGCAUAGCUAUCUGGGUUAGCACUACUCACAUACUGAAGGUCCCGAACGCCCCGGCAGAAAUACACAAAUAAACAUUUCUGCAGGGUAAAAUACAGCUAUCAGCACUGGGGCCAUAGUCAGAAUGCAGGAGGCUAGCCAGUAGUCCCCUUCAGGCACAAGUGGCGAAGGGCACUUCGUCACAAACACAUAUACAGACACACAGGCAUACACAGUGACAGACAGACACAUACAUACAGACACACAUGCAUGGGGACAUACAGACACAUACCUACAUACACACUGACAUACAAAUAGACACGACAUACAUACACACAGACAUGCAUUAUUUGUGCUGAAAAACCCCCACUCGACUUAUACUCGAGUCAGUGUCUGUAUUAUGGCAACUUACAUUGCCAUAAUACAGAGCAGGACUGCCGGUGGUCCUGUUGGGGGCUGGCAGAUAGCUUUUACUUACCUUCCUGCAGCUCCUGUCAGCUCCCUUCUCCUCCACUGUAAGUCUUGCGGUGUGACUGCCGCGCGGAGCGUUGCCACGGUAACCAAUUCUCUGACCCCGCGGCUCUCGCGAGACUUACAGUCGAGCUGACCAGACCAGAGGAAAAGGGAGCUGACAGGAGCUGCAGGAAAGGUAAGUAACAGCUCUCUGCCAGCCCCCCUCCUACACAGCCCAUCCACCGGACCACCAGGGAAUGAGAGCCCCCCUCCCUGGCCAGCUAACAAGCAGGGAGGGCGGGACGAAAAUAAAAAUUAAAUAAUAAAAAAAUAAUAUUACAAUAAAAAAAUGUAAAUAUUAAAAUUAAAAAAGUAAAUAAUAAAAUAAAAAAAUAAUACUAAAAUAAAAAAAUAAUACUAAAAUAAAAAAAUUAAAAUAUUAAAAUUAAAAAAUUAAAAAUAAUAAAAAUGCCCUCCCCCACCCAGUUCACACACAAACACACACUCAUACAAACACACCCUCUGCAUUGUAUACACACACACACUGCAUUAUAUACACACACACACUGCAUUAUAUACACACUCAUACAAACACACGCUCUGCAUUAUACACACACUCAUACAAACACACUCUGCAUUAUAUACACACACUCUGCAUUCACACAAACACACACACUCUGCAUUAUAUAAUGCAGAGUGUGUGUUUGUAUGAGUGUGUGUGUAUAAUGCAGAUUGUUCGUAUGAGUGUGUAUGUAUAAUGCAGAGUGUGUGUUUGUAUGAGUGUGUGUGUGUAUAUAAUGCAGUGUGUUUUUGUAUGAGUGUGUGUGUAUAAUGCAGAUUGUUUGUAUGUGUGUGUGUAUAAUGCAGAGUGUGUGUUUGCAUGAGUGUGUGUGUGUGUGUGUAUAUAAUGCAGUGUGUUUUUGAAUGAGUGUGUGUGUAUAAUGCAGAUUGUUUGUAUGAGUGUGUGUGUGUGUGUAUAAUGCAGAGUGUGUGUAUGAGUGUGUGUGUAUAAUGCAGAGUGUGUGUAUGAGUGUGUGUGUGUGUGUGUAUAAUGCAGAGUGUGUGUAUGUAUAAUACAGAGUGUGUGUAAGUGUGUGUAUAAUGCAGAGUGUGUGUGAGUGUGUGUGUAUAAAGCAAAGUGUGUAUGAGUGUGUGUAUAAUGCAGAGUGUAUGAGUGUGUGUGUGUAUAGUAUGUGUGUGUGUGUGUGUGUGUAAUGCAGAAUGUAUGAGUGUGUGUGUAUAAUGCAGAGUGUGUGUUUGUAUAAGUGUGUGUAUAUAUAAUGCAGUUUGUACAAGUGUGUGUGUAUAUAAUUAUAAAAAUCACAGAAUUUCAUAGCCCCAAGUUUUACCCUCGACUUAUCCACAAGGCAUAGCAUAGUUCACAAUUGUUGGUCACAAAACUGCCCUCGACUUUUACAUGAGAUCGACUUAUACACGAGUAUAUACGGUAGCUCAAAACAGAACUCAAAUUCACUUUGAAUUCCAAAAAUGUUCACUUUGGUGAAUAACCCAGUCACUUUUCCCUGAAACGGCCAGAAUGGUUUUAAGGGGAAUUAUCACCUUUCUGGUAAUGGCAUAAUUGAAUGAAACAUUGAAUAUAACGUUUAAAUUGUUUAACCAUUUCCAUGUGAGGAUCUGUAUUCUUUUCAAAUGUAAAUUGAAGAUGUUGCAGGUGACAUCACAAUUCGGUUCUGUCGGGGCACAGCCAGGGUAGACAAUGGAAAUGAGGAGGAAAACAAAAGGAUUGGUACAAUUUCUCCUCUUUCACUAACCAUGUUUAAUGGCAGAAAAAAGCAGCAUUUAUAUCAAUGAUUGACAGGGAAUAAAAAUGGAGGCACCUAGUACUAGGAUGCAAAUAAAGGCAGAGGUGUGGAUUUCUACAUCUAAUUUUAUUUUUCAGACCUCAAUUAAACAUAUUUGCUAAAUGUAGAGGUUAAGUAAACAUAAUAUUAAAAAUCAUAUGAAUAGACUGCCCCUUACUACUGCAGGCCACACGUAGAGGGCGCCCAUUGGGUGGCCCAUGCUCUUAGGACCAUCUGAUGGCAAUGAGUCUGCAGGAGGCCGGUCAGCGCUGCAGCGCUUUAACAGCGUAGCGGGCCUCCGGUGAUAAGGACAGCAACAGGAGGACAUGCAGUCACUUCCUUUCUUGCCAUCACAGAGAGUGCCGCAUGGAAGGGAGAAAGGUAGGGGGAGCGUGGAAUGCUAGAGAGCCCGACUCCCAACAGCCUCAGCCAGCCACUGGACCCCAGGGAAGUCACCUUUCUGCAGCCAAAAGGUAGGAAACAGGAGGGUGACUAAAAAUGUAUGUAUGUGUCUGUUUGUGUGUGUAUAUCUGUCUUUAUGUGUAUGUGUGUUUAUAUCUGUCUGUAUGUGUAUGUGUGUAUCUGUCUGUAUGUGUAUAUGCAUGUGUGUCUAUGUAUCUGUGUGUGUAUCUGGCUGUAUGUGUAUAUGCAUGUGUGUCUGUGUAUCUGUGUGUGUAUCUGCCUAUAUGUGUAUCUGUCUGUAUGUGUAUCUGUGUGUAUCUGUCUAUAUGUAUGUGUGUUUCUCUGUUUAUAUGUGUAUCUGUGUGUCUGUAUGUGUCUCUCUCUCUGUCUGUAUGCGUAUUAUUAUUUUAUUAUUUAUAUAGCGCCAUCAUAUUCUGUAGCACUGUACAAUGGGUAGCUGUGUAUCUGUCUGUAUGUGUUUCUGUGUGUGUAUCUGUCCAUAUGUGUAAAUGUAUGUGUAUUUGUCUGUGUAUCUGCAUGUGGGUUAGUGUGUGUCCCUGUGCAUCUGUGUGUGUCUGUGUAUCUGUAUGUGUGUCAGUGUGUGUGUCUGUGCAUCUGUAUGUGUUAGUGUGUUUCUGUGUUACUGCAUGUGUGUCUGUGUAUGUAGCUGUAUGUGUGUUAUUGUGUGUAUCUGCAUAUAUGUCAGGGUGUGUGUCUGUUUAUUUGUAUGUGUGCUAACAUGUGUCUGCAUGUUUGUCAGUGAGUUUCUUUGUGUCUGUAUGUGUGCCAGUGUGUAUCUGUGUAUGCACCUGUGUGUCUGUGUAUCCGUCUUUGUAUGUCUGUGUAUUUGUUGGUCUGUACCUGUGCAUAUUUGAGUUUGUGUAUGUAUGUAUCUGUAUUUGUGUCAGUGUUUGCAUUUGUAUGUGUGUCAGUGUGUAUAUUUUCUCUAGGUGAAAAACGUGUGGCUCAGUCUAUGUUCAAUGUUUGUGUGUUUUUUUGUGUGUAUACUUUAUGUGUGUCUUUGAGUGGAAGGCGUGUUUGCAUGCCACAAGGUGGGAGGGAGGGGACCAGGGGGCCCAAGCAAAUGCUUGCCCAGGGUCCAAUCAGCAUUAAAGACGGCCCUGACCAAUUUAAUCAUAAUAUACUUAUUGUACUAUCUGCUACAGGAGGGACAUAAUGAGGCAUGUUACAAGAAGCAAUGUCAGUAAGGUAUUUUGUUUUAUUAACACAUUUUGGGUUGGCCUUCACUCGCCCAACUUCUACUAAAGUCAGAAAGAUCCAAAUCUCAAAUUUUAAGGAUGACUGUGCAGCACACGCUAGAAUUUGAAUCUUGGCCUGUCUGCAGUAGCUAAACUAGACUGUUGCAUUUCACACUUGGUUCCUGGUUUGUUUAAUGAUUGAAUUGAAUCAAAAUUUUACAGCUGGAGAGAUCUGGCACUUGAUUGAGUAAGUAAACAGAUUCCAUAAGGUUUGAUUAACGUCUUCCAGCAAGGUCUGGCUGCUGCUGCUAUAUUAUAAAGUUGCCACACUCCCAAGGGACCUGCUAAUCUAUGCUGAUCAAGUGUGCUGGGAAUCUGGUCUGUGCCUCCGCAUCAGGGUGUGGUAUUUGUUAUGGCUGUAUUGACUGUGUGUGAUAUAUGUAUGUAAUGGUUGUGAUAUUUGUAGUGGGCAUUUAAUUUGAUUUAAAAACAUGCAUGUAGGCCCAUGUGUGAAUUCAGGUGUGCAUUUUUGUAGGUUUGUAUUUUUUCAGGUGUCCCACAGUGAGACUCACUGUGAUGGAUAGAAAUGAAUGUGUGUAAAAUGUCUAUUUACUUUGUAUACCUGUGUUAAUUUAUUACUCAAAAUGGCUGCUAGAGCACCGCCUCCCAUCGACCAAGACCCUCGUGUAGUAAGAUGGCGUCUCCUUCCGGAGUUACACCUAAGAUGACGAUGGCAUCAACACCCUCUGGAGGAAGUCCAUAAAGAUUAGACACUUAACACCUAACCAAUUAAAUGUUUACUUUACUAAAACACUUAACCAAUUGAAAAGUUUACUUUCUGUAUUAGCAUACGUUGCAUUCUUUGCCUUUUUAAGGGGCUACACCGCCCCCUGACAAUACACUUGGAAGUUUUCAUUCAACUGAACUUUUCUGUGUCAGUGGGAUUUCUUCGGCGUGCACGCUUUAUUACAUUUAUGACAUUUGGACAGGGGCAGAUAUUCAUGUAGCCCAUGGAUCAGCGCAGCUAAGAGGAAUAGGCCUUGACAGAGCCAGGAGGUAGGCAUAGCAGCCACAGGAAUUUAGUGACAGCUAGCAUGCUGGGUAGGGCGGAGCCAUAAGGGGAGUAUUUAUACCAGCCAUUAUAUGAAGUGGCCAUUUUAACUGAACCUAAGCUUACCUGUCAGUUGUGAAAGCUGCGUGCCCUGGAGGGAGAAGUCAGCAGCAUGGAGGCAGCAUAGAAGAACAGGCAGCAUGGAGGCAGCAUGAAGAACAGGCAGCAUGGAGAUACAGGAGAGGCUGGAGUGAGCUGCUACUACAUGCUCACUCCCAUCAGCAGCAUGAAGAACAGAGCAGUAUUGAGACAGGAGGCAGCAUGGAGGUACAGGAGAGGCUGGAGUGAGCUGCUGCUGCAUGCUCACUCCCAUCAGCCUCAGACAGAACUCCAAGCAAGCCAUCAUCCUGGUCACAAAGGUUGUGGCAGAAUCGUGGCUGGUGGCUGGGGGGCCCCGAGCACGUCUGCUACCCCCCCUCCCCCACGCGGUGGCGGAACAGAGGCCAGCAAGGAGAGAGAGGACGCCCCAGCGGCAGCCUGUGAGUGACAUCGUUAGUUCGGCAGCCCGUGAGCCUGUCAGGAGGCGGCAAGGGGAAGGCUGAAAAUGAGGUCGGAAAGCAGGCAGGAGUUGGAGGGCGGCUGGCGCCGUAUGUUCGACGCGGCGCCGUUCAGGCAAUGUGGCAGGUCAGGAUGAGGCCGCACAGAAAGAGCGCCCCCUGCAAUAAGGCGGGGGGGGGGGCGGGAAAGCACAAAGGACAGCGGAAUCCAGCAUGACAGGAUGGCUGCCAGGCAGGGAGAGCGGCAAGAUGCGUCCUGGUGAGUCUGCCCCUGGUGGCAUACCUGAGGGACGGGGGAAUUAUGCAAGGGCCCAGCAGUGUAAAAGUGGUCCCCCCCCCAAUGGGCAGGCGGGGGGGGGUCCAGGUCGGCGGGACACAGGGACGGAGGCAGCCCUGGAUGGGGCCAGGGUCAGGUCAGAGGUGAUGGAAGGGGAUAGUGAAAGCAGCAGGCGGAGUCUUCACAGGCGCAGCAGAGCAGCUAUGGUGGGGAAGGCCAGCAACCAGGAUUAAUUAAAGGGGCCACAAGUGGAUGAGGCGGCCGGGGAGAGGCCAGGUACUGCAAGCAGAGGGCAGAAGAGAGGACAUGGACGGGUGGAAAUAGACGUAAGGCACAGGGGCAAGCGGGAGCCCCCUGGGGGGCGUUCUCAGGAGCAGGAACACAGGAGGAGCAUCAGCAGGUGUGAGUACGGGAGGGAGCAGCGCAACGACAAUGACAGGCACUGCAGCAGCAGGAGGUCGGAUGAGGGAUGGAGGAGCAGGUCGAGGAGUGUUACUUCUACGGGCUUGAGGCUGGACCAGUGCGGACAGGAGUCGGCAUCCACCGGAUACUCCAGAGCCUGGCGAGGUGGAUGGAAGGACAGCGCAGACGGGGGUUCAGGUGGUGAGUCAAUAAACACACCACACUUUUUUAAAUUGCAAAAAUCAUUUUAGAGUCAAGAUCAAGGAAAAAAGGGGCCGUCCCCGCGGUGCGGAAGGGUGGGGUCACCAGAGCGCAGUCGGGAGGCCGAAGUAAGGGUGUUUCCUGUCUUCCGCUCGAGGAGUUCAUUGAUUUAAAAGGGGUGGUUCCUAAUGAGGGUGCAGGAAAUGCGCUCUUUCCGGGGGCUGCAGGCGCACCCCCAGGAGGUGCGGUGCUGGCUGGACAGAAGAAAGGUCAGUGCAACUGGGGACUGUCGGGUAGGCUUCAAUACGGGUGUUCCGGAGGCGGUGGGAGUCACGGUGUCAACUGACGCGUCAAGAAAGGAAAACCUAUGGCAGGAAGGGUACUCGGCAGGGCUUCAGCCCCGCGGUUGUGGCUCGGAGCGGCACCGGUGAUGAUCAGUGCAUUGCUGUUGUGGCUAAGGCAGUAAGCCUCCCAUGAAUGCGCUAGUUUUAUGGCUGGGAUUGUUGAGGGGGUUUACGCUAUUCCAUUCAAAGUCAAAGGACCAGGAAAAGUGGUGGGCGAAUAUCAAGUCCAUGGGGGAACUUUGGAUUGCGAGUGGUCACGCGAGGAAGCCCAGUUGGGGGGAUGGCGGUUCCGUUACAUCCGCGCCAUUAGCGGACCUGUGGGUGUCUCCAUGGGGGGUGGUCCCCUAGAAAUGGGCGGGCAAAUUCCGUCCCAUACAAAACUUAUCGCACCCGAAAGGGGCAUUGGUAAAUGAGGACAUCGCCACGGAACUGUUCUGUAUCGUUGGCAUCAUUCGGCCUUGCCAUCGCGUUGGUUUGGGGUAACAGGACGCGUUCGAUUAUUGGCGACCCUUCCAUCUUUUGGGUUGCAUGUUUGCAGGUUACUAUUGGUAAUCUCUACUUGCCAAGGGGCAGUUCCAUUCAUGUUCCUACUUUGGGAAGUUGGAUCCGUCUGGGAGUGGGAGGUGAAAGAGGAAUGUUGUGUGGGCUCGGCUGGGCCGGGCCGUUGUGGACAUACCUUACGGACGGGGGAAUCCUACCACACGUCUUUGCUUGAGCUGGAAAUUGUUUCGGUGGUAGGAGAGUGCUGAUUGCCUGGGGUUCAGUUGACUGCACUUCGGGAGUUCAGGCUGAAGGUUCGCAGGUCCAAGAAGGUCACUGAGAAAUCGCAGUUGUUCAUAAGGCAGUUUCAAGUUGCAUGUCGGGUUAGUCGCGAGGACUGGGCAGGUAGCCAUUUCAUGGCGAAGGCUACUUGUGGAGCCUUUGCGGGUGGUAUUGAGUUGUUCACGGAUACCUCUGGGAACAUAGAUUCUGGGGCAUACCUGGAAGGCAGGUGGUGCGCAGAGUGGUGGUGGGAGGCAUGAAAGGUAAGUCCUCUUAUUCGAAGUUGGCAUCUUCUGAGUUAUUUCCAUUGGGAGUGACUGUGGCUCUAAAAGGUGAAGGAUUAAGGGAUGAAAAGUCAUAAUUCACGCACAAUACGGCGGGGUUCAUGUGGUUUACCAUCCAGCCGGGUCCUCGGUUCAGGAGGUACGCCGAUGGUGGCGAUUCAUAUCACUGUUCAGGUAUCGGGUGCAGGCACGCCAUGUGCCUGGUUGGCGGAAGGUAGGGGCUGGUUACUUGGCUUGCGCACAAGGGGACAAGCUGCGAAUGGCGGCCCCAGGGGGCGCGGGAGGAGGGACAGUCCGGUCUGGAGGAAAUGUGGUAGCUCGAGACGCCAUGCUUGGAGGAUCGAUACAGAAUCCUAUGGCACCGGGCACAGGGACUGCCUAUGUGAACGUUUGAGAUAUGUGGGACAAGGCGGUUGGUUUCACUGUGGGGGCCCAGUCAAAGGAGGAGCGAAGGGAUACCUUGCUGUGGUUCCUAAGCCGUUUGUUCGUUCAGCGUUAGCUCCAUCGGCAAUGGACAGGAGCAUGGCGGCAUUGUUGUUAGGGUUCAAACUGACCGAUUGGGAGGAAGUGACGGAACGUUGUCACGUCCGUCAGGCAUCGCAGGUCUUACGGAGAGGUAUGAAAUAUGUCGGUGCCGGGCGGCGGGUUUCCUUGGAUAACGCAACGCCUGGUGGUGUAUUACUCUACUUUUGCAGUGAGUUUGCUUGCGGUGGCCUUCUCGGAGGCUUGGGGCAAUUCGGAUUGGGGAACUGGUGAGUGCCUUCGGGCAAGUGUUGGGGGGUUUUACACUCGGUUGUCGAACCUCAGUUGGUUAAGGUAACGAUUCAGUAGGGUUGUUCAAGAAUGGAUGUGUCUGGUAAAGGAGGUUUGGUAAAGCUGUAUUCCCUGCCGGGGUCAGGGGUACGCCCGGUGUUAAGCGCAUCAUGCUACUUGGAGCUUUGCCUGGACUUCCCGGGUGGCUUACUGGCAAAAGGGGACAGAUCGGUGCUGUCACAAUUCAAUUCCCGCAGGUGUUUGUUCGGAGGGGUUUGACAAUGUUGGGUUUGGAUCCCGGGCACUUUGGUACCCAUUCUUCCCGGAUGAUGGCGGUAACAGAGGCGCCCCGCCUGGUUUUAAGUGAGGACCUAGAGAAACGUUUAGGCAGGUGGGAGUCAGUACGGUUUAAGUCCUGUUUCAGGCCAGUCUAUUUGGAUUAAUGGCUAUGGACGUAUGGGUUUGUGUUUGGGGCUAUGCCUUGUCGCUAAUUACUUUCGUUUCAGGUUUGGUGACAUGGUUGGUGGGUCAUUCUUAUAUCUAAGGGGCACAGAUGGGAGCCGCGUUUCGGUUCAAACGCAACUGGGCUUUCCUUUGGAAUUGGUGGGGGUACCGUCCAGGACAUUCUGGAUAUUGGCAUGGUCCCGGAAAAGGAAUUGAUCAGGUGGAGGCAGAGGGAGGUGGACCGGCUAUGGGAGCUGGCCACGGGUGUGGUGGUGGUGCGGUCCGACAUGGUUCCUCGGUUACAUUGGAGACAUACUACGUACCCGGCCAUGGUAGCUCGGUGUCGAGGACGACUUAAUAAAAAAUUGAUGGCGGUAUUUAUUAGAUGUGGGGGCGGUGUAACAGUGAGACACAACGAAUUGGGAGGAAAGCUCCCUGGGUACUCCAGGUGGGAUGGGAUACAUUUUCGGAUGUAAGGUGUGAUCUGUUUAAAUUGGGCCUUCAGGAAGGCAUUCAACAGGCCUUAUUCCGGUGUGGUGGGGGUCGCUCAGGAGCUUUAGGUGUCAAGUCCUGAGCUGUGGCGGGGAAUGGCCUGGUUAAAUCGGAGGGUAGAUGGAGGAGAAAGUGGGCAUCCUGAGGUUUGCACGUGGUUGGUAGGUUCGAGCCCGUCGGUGGCUCCGAACCUGGGGGUGUGGUGGUGUCUUGGUACACCCUACACUGGAACUGGUGAGUAGCGGUGUCUUGGUACACCCCUACAAUGGAUAUGGUGGGUAGCGGUGUCUUGGUACACCCCUACAAUCGAUAUGGUGGGUAGCGGUGUCUCGGUACACCCCUACAAUUUAACCUGGUGGAAAUGUGAUCAAAUUGGGCGGCCAGUUUCUGUGUUAACAUGUUAUUUAGAUUGUUAUCUAUUGUUAUUAUUGUGGGGUCAUUGCUAGGGGUAUGUUAUGUAUAUGGGGGAGGUUAACAUUAUUAAGAUUUGUUGGCAAUGACACCAUUUGUUAUUCCUUAAUUAUUUUAUUAAUAAUUUAAUAAAGCUGUGGACGAAUUAUUUCCAACAGUAUAACCUGUGUCCGUGUUUUAAUGGGGGUUUGGGUAAGGUUAGCGCAUAUGUUGGCAAAUCCGACUGUGCGCCUGUCAAGCAAACACUUGGUUUGGUCUAAAACAACACAAUCAGGUGCACAUGCAUAUACUGUCACAUACAGCCACAUGCACACCCCUUAGGACGGCUCUGUAAACACACAUGCACUUUGUCAUCCUGCUCACAGCCACAAUCAUCAGCAGUGAUGUGGAUUGUGUUACUGACAAUGCACACAAAGGCAUUGUCUCCAGUAUCCUCCUCCUCCCUUUUUUUAGUCCUAAGUUUAGACUUGUUUUACGUGUAAUUAUUGUAAGCAUGCAUUGUAAGCAUCCUGCGCUCAAAUUCCCAUCACUCCUGGGCGGUAUCAACGACCACAGUACUCAUCAGCCCCAAUACGUACAGUAAAAACCAAAGAAAAAAGUUACUUGAGCAUAUUUUAACAAAUGGAGGUUUUUAGUUUCUCCACUGGCCAUGAGAGAGUUAGCCCACUUGCCACGUCAAAGCAAACCUCUCAGUUAGGUCCUACACUAACCUUUCACCUUGCUUCCUUGAGCUUCUGGCAAAUAUAUCUCUAAUGAGACAAAAAGGGGUAUUUUUUUUGUUUGUUUUUUUAUAUACCCCUACAUGCCUAUUAACCCCUAAUAAGGAACACAUGGGAUAGGUGGCAGCAUUGUAACAUGAGAGGGAUGGGGUCAUAGUGAGAGGGGGGGUGAUUGUGAGAUGGAGGGGGGGGUGAUUGUGAGAGGGGGGUUGACCCCUGGGGCUAGAGUUCACUCUUGCAAGAUCUGAGUGUUGCCGCAGCAACACUCCGACCUCGCGAGAGGAACCCAGCAGAGCUGCUGGUUGAGCUCCCUGGGUCCUCUCCUGCCUCCCUCCAUGCUGUGUGGGCUGCAUGAGUGUGUUGUGUGUGUAAGGGUGCUGCGUGUGUGUGUGUGUGUAAGGGUGCUGUGUGUGAGGGUGCUGUUAGUGUGAUGUGUGUGUGAGGGUGUUUGUGUGUGUGUGUGUGUUUGUUAGGGUCCUGUUAGUGCGCUGUGUGUGUGAAGGUGCUGUGUGUGUGUUUGUGAGGGUGCUGUUUCUGUGCUGUGUGUGAGAGGGUGCUGUGUGUUUGAGGGUGCUGUAUGUGUGUGGGUGCUGUAUGUGCGAGGGUGCUGUAUGUGUGUGGAUGCUGUGUGGGUGCUGUGUGUGUGUGGGUACUGUCUGUGUGUGGGUGCUGUGUGUGUGUGAGAGUGCUGUGUGUGUGUGCUGUGCAUGUGUGGGUACUGUAUGUGUGUGCUGUGUGUGAGUGCUGUAUGUGUGUGCUGUAUGUGUGUGCUGUGUGUGCUGUUUGUGUGUGUGCUGUAUGUGUAUGUGUGCUGUAUGUGUGUGCGGGUGCUGUAUGUUUGAAGGUGCUGUAUGCGUGUGCUGUGUGUGUGGGUGCUGUAUGUGUGAGGGUGCUGUGUGUAUGUGUGUGCUGUAUGUGUGGUGUGUGUGUGUGGGUGCUGUGUGUCUGUGUGGGUGCUGUAUGUGUGUGGGUGAUUGAGGGGGUGGAGGUGGGGGUACAUUUAAUAUCCCCCCCUCCCUUCUUACCUUAUGUAGGGAGGGGGGAUCGUGCUGCUGCUUUCCCUGGUGGUCCAGUGGAGAGUGAACUUUAGCCCAUGGGCAUAGAGUUCACUCUUGCAAGAUCUGAGCGUUGCCGCGGCAACGCUCCGUCCUCGCGAGAGGAACCCAGUGGAGCUGCUGGUUGAGCUCCCCGGGUCCUCUCCUGCCUCCCUCCAUGCUGCAGUGGGGAGGGAGGCUGAGAGCAGAGCCAGCGCUCGGAUAGCGCCGGCUCUGCAUGAGCCGACAGGGGAGAUCCUGAGAUCUCCCCUGCCAGUCUCAAUAAAUAAGCGUGCCGCCAGAAUUAGGGUGCGCCCAGGCACACCUGGUACACCCCGUGCACACGCCUAUGGUAUGUAUGUAUAUGUGCAUCUCAUCUCAGCAUUUCGCCUACACUACACACAAAUACAACCCUGCAUCCAAAUUUCAACCCUACAUGAAAACACACCACCAUAUUCAAAAACCACACUACAGAAAAAUGCACUCCUGCAUUCAAAUGCCAAUAUGUGCAAACACACCCUUACAUUCACUCACACAUACUCCAUACAAAAACAUGCUUACAUUCAAACACACAAACAGUGCUUGGUGCUAAAUAUAUAAAAAUAAAAACACUGCUCAGUGGUAAAGACAAAAAAUAUAUAUUUUUUACAUUUUAAGAGGAGAGGGGUGAGGGGGAGGAGUGCUAAAUAUAGGAUACGCCACGGGUGCCAAAUGCUUCAGGUACACCCCUGCUUGUAUCAAGGAUAAUUGUCUGCCACUUUGAUCUCUAAGUUGAACAACUCUAUGUAUGGAAAUAGAGCAUUUGAAAUCCAAACCAGGAUAAUGCUUACUCAUUCUGGUGUUAGGCUAACAUACUCAAAAUGAAACUGGUACCCAAAAGCUCAUGUCAAGCAUUUUUUGUGAAAAAUAUCUGUCGAUAUAUUUGCAAGCAUACAUGAUCGCAGAUGAGACAAAGGGCCAUGGGUGCUUGAUUUUCAGUUUUUAUAUGUAUGCUCAAUUGUAGCCCACACUAACUACAUGUUCCAUUCACUAGACAUUUAUACAUGCAUACAUUACAAGGAUACUGCUGGAGCCAAUCAAUAACGAACACAUGCAGAAUCCAGAGCGCUUGCCCACUCAUUCAUUAAACAACCAAAUUCAAAGCUCAUAAAACAUAACUCCCCUGGUUUUCACCCCUCGCUGUUACAGGUGCCUGAUGCGGCAGCCCCAUUUAGUCUUGCACUGCUAAGAGCCCCAGGCAACAAUUGUAGUGACCAUAUUAGUUCUACAAUCAAUAGAAAAUAAUCUUUCAGUAAUAUUUCAAGCUGUUUGUGAUCUUAGUCAAAGAGUUAAAGGAACACUCCAAGCACCAUAACCACUACAGUGUGCUGUAGUAGUUAUGGUAUCAGGAGUGCCCUGAUGCACCCCGAUGUAAAUAGUCAAAUGGUUUGACAACUACAGAGCACUGUUUUGGUCAUGAUACUUGGAGUAGCCCUUUUAAUUCUUAGAAACACUUACAGCAUAAUAAUGCAAUACAGUAGAAACAGUGGGUUUUUCUUUAUAUUCAUGCUGGGGCUCCCCCUUCUCAACUCCUACUUUGUCAGUCAUAAAAUGUAUGUUUUGUUAUUCUAAAUAAACCAAAUUUCGCUUUAAUUGUUUAGGAUAUUCAAGUCUUUUCUGUUUACAUUUCAUAUAGUUUUACUUUAUUUUUAUCCAUGUCUCACUCCAAAUGUUUAAAUUUAAUCUAAAUGUCAUGACAUCAGCAUCUGUUCCCACAAAAAACUCUGAACAAUGCCUGUAUUCCCUUAGGGUUAAAAUAAUCAAGAAAUAAUUCACUAGUAAAGAAAUCCUUUUAGUUUUUACCUACAGACUUGUUACGAAUCAGAAUAAAGUAAAACUGAGAGAGUUGUUUACUGUGGUCUAACCUACAGCAACAGCAAGUAAAUCGCAUUCAAUUUGGUUUCUCAAUUAAGAAAUUCACUGUAAACAACUAACUAAAAACACAGGUAGAAGUCAGCACUCGGAAAAGCACGUACGGAUGUAGAGUCGUGUGCUCAUGCCUUAGGCCCAUCCAAAAAUAGAAACAAAUUUAACUUUUAGACAACAAAUAUUUCUACUUUAUAUCACAACUUUUCAAGCAGCCAGGUAUAUUUGGUGUUAGGAAUAGUUUUAUUUUGUUUAGAUAUUUAAUAGCAAGUAGUUUGAAGAAAAAAAAAACUAAAUUGCACUUAUCCAAACUAAAUUUUCCAAGAAUCGUGACAAGUCAACAAAACAGCAAUGUUUGAAAUUCAUUGAUUAAAGGUACACUCCGAACACUAAUACAACUCUAGUUUUUAGAUAGUUGAAGGAAUAUGCUGCAGAGGAAUGAUUAUUGAAAUCGACUACAAAAGGGGUGGCAUCCAAAAAUGUUACAUUCGUCUUGCAGCCCUGACCCAUAGAGGUGGCACAAGGUGAGAGUUGAGACUAUGGGCACUGUAUAAUGGAAUGCAUACUAAGAAGGUGAGAGUAUGAUGAAAUACAUUACUGGUUGCCAGAACUUUGAAGUUGAAACACAUAUCAAGGACAGGUAAGCAUCACUAGUGAUAGGGCUCCCUUAACAAUGGUUGUUUCGAGUGCUAGCGAUGCCACAUACAUGGACUAAUGACAGGUGGGAACCAGGUACGCCAGGUGAAUAGCAGCCUUGACACUAAUAUUUGGAUAUAUUGUAACGGUAUGGUUGAAAAAUAAUCAGUUCUAAAUUACAUUAGAACCAUGACUGCCUCGAUACGGUAUCUUUUUCUGACCAAAAUUAUGUGUAAUAUGUGAGCAUGCUAUGUGUGAACAAUAGUGUUAUGUGAUCAGUCCUAGGGGGUGGUUGACAAACCAACUGUUACUUCUUCGACAUUCUUUGUCAAGGGAAAUGGAAUUCAGGGGGUAUAUAUAUAUAAUAAAAUGUAUCCAGAGAAGUUAUGUAAAUCGUGUAGAUAAGCGAGAACUGUGUAGACUACACUGACCUUUAUUCUGUCCUCUAAUUCUCUCAUUUUGCAUACAUUUGUUUCCAUUUAUUGUUCUUUACUGUAGUUAUCUACAUUUUUUUGUUUUUAUUAAGAGAAUUUAGAGACUGUGUUGUCCACGUCUGACCUUUAUUAUUUUGAUACUGGAUUUUCACAUAUUUGUCAGUGGCCCACAAACACAAAUUCCUCCUUUUCAAGAAAAAUGUUUGUUGAAAAAGGUCAGUUUAAACGCCAAGGUUUUAAAGGGCCUUAACAAAAAAAAAAAAAAAUGUGGUUGGCCCAUUUGUAACACAAGGAAUGAUGUUCUAAACACUAAUUAUAAAUAAUGCAUAUUUUACAUGUACAGGUUUUUUUUUUUAAUAAAAUGAGAAUUGUUGGCAAUUUAUAGUGAAUUGAAAGUGAAAUUAGCAGAACUGGAAGCACAGCUGAUUUGGAGAAUCUUUCCAGUUCAGAUACUUUGUCCUUAAAUUUAAAAUUCACUUUGAAUUUCCAACAAUUCCCAUUUUAGUCAAUAACCCUGUAAAUAUAUAUAUAUAUAUAUUUACAUGACUUCUUUAUUGUAAUCUAAACUACUGUAUACUAUACAGAAAUGUUAUCACACGUUUGCCACGUUUUCUUUUUUCAACAAUCCUUCUUCAUAAGGGGCAUGCAUCUAAGGCAGUGGUUUCCAUAUCAGUGCUCAAGGCACACUGACCAGCAUGGCCGCCACCAGAAAUUUAACCAGGGGCGGACUGAGCACUCAGUAAAGGGCCCGCACAGCCUUCCGCAGGCCCCUGCUGCUAAAAAUAUUAUCCCCCUUGCAGGGCACACUGAGGGACAGCUAAAGGGCCUUCCAAAGACCCCGCUAGGCUGCCCCUCAGUGUGCCUAUCUCCAAACACAGCCUCAUUGAGCUGCCUGUAACUGCUCAGGGCAGCUCCGUGCAGCUUGUUUUGCAGGAAGUGACAUCAGUCACAGUGAGCUGUGCGGAGCUGCCCUGAGCAGACUUGCAGGCAGCAUGUCUGCAUUGUGUGCCCUGGAUCAGGGAGGUUCCUUCAGAAGAGGACCACCAGAGAGGUAAGAUUUGAGAGGGGAGAAUGGGGGGAGGCUUUAUUUUAUUUUUUAUCUUAUAUUUAUUUUUUAAGUCAUUUUAUUAAAAAUGUUUUAUCAUAUAAUUAUGUCCCCCACUACGGCCCCAUCAGAGCACCUACCCCCCUGCUCCCACUGCAUCUCCUGCCCCAAGUGGAGCCCCCACCCCCCUGCCCCAAGUGGAACCCGUACCCCCCCUGCCCCAAGUGGAACCCGUAACCCCCAGCCCCAAGUGGAGCCCUCCCCUGCCCCCCCCCUGCCCCAAGUGGGCCCCUAACCCCCGCCCCAAGUGGGCCCUUACCCCCCCUGCUCCAAGUGGGCCCUACCCCCCCUGCUCCAAGUGCUCCAGAGUGGGCCCUCCUGCUCCAAGUGGGCCCUAACCCCCCUGCUCCAAGUGGGCCCUUACUGCUCCCAGGUGGAGCCGCCCCCUCCCAAGUGGGCCUUACCCCCCCUGCUCCAAGUGGGACUUACUGCCCCAAGUGGGCCUACCAGCCUGCUCUAAGUGGAGCCCUAACCCCCCACUGCUCCAAGUGGGCCCUUACCCCCCCCUGCUCCAAGUGGAGCCCUUACCCCCCCUGCUCCAAGUGGAGCCCCUACCCCCAGGCACCCACUGCAGCCCCUUUCCUCAGGCACCCACUACAGCACCUAUACCCUAUGCACCCACUACAUCCCCUAUACCUUAUGCACCCACUACAGCCCCUAUGCCCUAUGUACUUACUACAGCUCCUAUUUCCCCAUGCAAAGACAACAGCACCUAUUACCCUUUGCACCCACUACAGCCUGUCCCUCCUCUGCACCCAUUAUUCCCCCCCUGUACCCUCUACAGUCCUUCCCCACUGUACCCUCUGCAGCCCCUUCCUCUUGGCACCCUCUACAGUCCCUACCCCUUUGCACGCACAAACAUAAAACAUAAAGGGACACUAUAGUUACCAGAACAACUACAGCUUAAUGUAGUUGUUCUGGUGAGUAUAGUCUACCACUGCAGGGUUUUUGCUGUAAAGACUGCCUUUUCAAAGGCAGUGUUUACAUUGCUGCCUAGGAACACCUAGGCGCUUCCUGUGUCAUGUUGCAAAAUGUGCAGCACUGACAUUCAGCAUCUCCAUGCUCUGCAUGUCGACGCUGAAUGCUUGUCAUAGAGAAGCACGGAUUCAAUGCACCUCUAUGAGGAGAUGGUGAUUGGCACAGAACAGCGUUUUGCUGUACGUACACAAUAGCCUUCCAGUGCUUUCCAAUGGUAGUGCAUUGGGUUGGCUGAGAUCAUCUAAAUUGAUGAACUCUCCAAAGGAUUCUGGUCGGUGCUGAAAAACAGGUGUGUAAAUUGCAUUUUUAAGGGGCAAUACACGUUUGUAUUCCUGACACUAUAGUGUUCCUUUAAGGUGGCUCGUAACAUUUAAUACUUGGUUUGUAAUUUAAGAUGGAAAAUUUGGAGGCCUGCAUACCUCAUACAAACACAUUGCCAAAAUUCACAAAUACCACCUUAUACAUACUGCCAUGCAACACAAACAUACACACAAAAAAAAAGUACCCUAUUUAAAAAACCAAAAACAUGUAUAAUAUACUAUGAAUCCACAUAUCCUGACACUACACACAAAGACACGCAUAUAUUCACUUACACUAGCGCUCACAGUGAAUAUACACACAGAAACAUACAUUCACUUUACAUGUAAAUACAAUAAAAUACAUGGUACACCUACACCAGCAUAUAUAUCGGUCUGCUGGGGGCCCAGGUGCUAAAUUUGCCCAGGGGCCCAGGCCACUGUCAGUCCGUCCCUGCCCCUAACUCAGCUCAGGGUCUGGGCCCCCUGGGGCCCGUCUCCAAUCCCGCCCACAGGAUCCGCCUCCAAAUUCCACCCACAGGAAUACACACACAGACACAAACACACACAGUGAUACAAAAGGACACAGAUACACACACACAGAUACAUACUAACAGACACACAUACUGAAACAGAUAUACACGCAUAUAGGCAUACAUACUGACACACACAUACUGAGACAUACACACUGUGACCGACCGCUGGCACUCCGACUGAGUUCCUCCGCCAAUCGAUGUUCCUAGCGCUUGCCGAGGACUCCGAGCACUCCAACCGACACCAUCAGCACUGCGGACCCCACUUCCAGCGAUGCAGCUGCGCCGGGGUCUCGCCGUCUCUCAUCCACCCUGGAUCCAUGACCAGCAUCCAGCUUCCAGUGGGUGAACCUCUCCUAAAUCCAGAGACCAGGAACCAGGAACAAAACAAGCUCUUGCAAAAGCUGACUCUGGGGAGUGUGUGAUUAUAGCAAUCUCCAGGGUGUAGUUAUCCCUUCCCCCAAGCAUGAUCCAAGGCUUCAAGAAAGGUGCAAGUAGGUCUGGUUUAUUGAGGGCUACCUGACCGGUAUUUAUGCAAGUGUCCACCAGGUGGACACUCCCCUAGGGGACCUGAUGGGACACCUAUUGGAUAUUAGCCAAUCACAGACAAUACAAACAAAACACUCCCACAGUGACAUCACAAUCCCUGCUCUCUAUCCUAGAGAUAAUUGGGAAGCAAUCAAAUUAUCUUCCAGGACAGAGGCAAGACUCCAUUAACCACAUGGUUACAAAAAGACAUAAAAUUACACAAUGUUACAAUUACUACAUAAAACAUAUACAUGCAACAUAUCCCCAUAUAGCUUAGAUCUGAGUGCACAUUAUUACCGAAUGGCGCUCAGAUCACAUACAUACAUUUCAAUCACCAUGGAGCCAAAGUCUUUUCCAUAGUCUUUCGUUACAUGAAUAGGCUCCAUGGCAUAGCUAUCUGGGGUAGCACUACUCACAUACUGAAAGUCCAGAACGCCCUGGCAGAAAUACACAAAUAAACCUUUCUGCAGGGUAAAAUACAGCUAUCAGCACAGGGGCCAUAGUCAGAAGGCAGGAGGCUAGACAGUAUUCCCCUUCAGACACAAGUGGUGAAGGGCACUUCGUCACACACACAUAUACAGACACACAGGCAUACAUAGUGACAGACAGACACAUACAUACAGACACACAUACAUGAGGACAUACAGACACAUACCUACAUACACACUGACAUACAUACAUACACCGACAUACAUACACACAGACAUACAUUCAUAAUGACAUACAUACAUACAUACAUUCAUGCUGGCAUACAUACAUACAUAUAUAAAUACAUACAGUCAUACUAACAGACAUACAGACAUACAUUCAUACAGACAUACAUACAUGCAGACACUGACAUCCAUACACACACAUACAUACACAGACAUACAUUCAUAUUGACAUACAUACAGACAUACAUACAUAAUGGCAUACAGACAUAUAUAUAUAUAUAUAUAUAUAUAUAUAUAUAUAUAUAUAUAUAUAUACACACAUACAUACAUACAUAAAUAAUGGCAUACAGACAUACAUAUAUACAUACAUACAUAAUGGCAUACAUUCAUACAUAUAUACAUACAUACAUACAUAAUGGCAUACAUAUAUACAUACAUACAUACUGACAGACAGACAUGCAUACAGACAUACACACACACACACAGAGCAUAUUUUUCAGCCACCCUCCUGUUUCUUACCUUUUCCUUGCAGGAGGGCGGCUGGGGCUGAUGGGAGUUGCUCUCCCUCUUCACUGCCUGGCUGGCUCUCCUCCAGCGCGAAGUGAGCUGGGAGGAAGUUACCACUUCCUCCCAGCAGCACUUGCGCUGUGGCUGCGUUUGUUUUUUUUUUUUUAAAGGGGUCCGGUCGCGCUAUUACACGGCCACAGCGCUGAACGGGCCCCUGAAGAUUUAGGGCCCAUCGGGUGGCCCUAAGUGUGUGGGCCACCCGAUAGGCCCCAUCAGCUUCUGGGUCCCGGUGCAAUUGCACCGGUGGCAGUUCCGAUGCUACACGUGGGGCCCAGGUGGCCGGGCCCCCCAGGGCCGCCGGACCCGUGACAACCGUCAUGGUUGUCACCCCCUGAUGGCGGCCCUGAUGCCUGUAUGCCCUUAGGGUUAAAAUAAUCAAGAAAUAAUUCACUAGUAAAGAAAUUCUUUUAGUUUUUACCUACAGACUUGUUACUGAAUCAGAAUAAAGUAAAACUGAGAGAGUUGUUUACUGCUGGUCUAACCUACAGCAACAGCAAGUAAAUCUAAUUCAAUUUGGUUUCUUCAUUAAGAAAUUCACUGUAAACAACUAACUAAAAACACAGGUAGAAGUCAGCACUCGGAAAAGCACGUCCGGAUGUAGAGUCGUGUGCUCAUGCCUUAGGCCCAUCCAAAAAUAGAAGCAAAUUUAACUUUUAAACAACCUAAAUUUCUACUUUAUAUCACAACUUUUCAAGCAGCCAGGUAUAUUUGGUGUUAGGAAUAGUUUUAUUUUGUUUAGAUAUUUAAUAGCAAGUAGUUUGAAGGUAAAUAAAACCAAAUUGCACUUACCCAAACUAAAUUUGCCAAGAAUCUUGACAAGUCAACAAAACAGCAAUGUUUGAAAUUCAUUGAUUAAAGGUACACUCCGAACACUAAUACAACUCUAGUGCAUUUGAUAUUUUUAUUUGCCUCAUUAAUGUGCAGUAUUUUUUGCAUGUACAAAUCUUUAUAUUUUUUGCACAAAAAAAAAUGUUUUGCAAAAUACUACCCCAUAAGUCUUUUUAGAUAGUUUUUAGAGAGUUGAAGGAAUAUGCUGCAGAGGAAUGAUUAUUGAAAUCGGCUACAAAAGGGGUGGCAUCCAAAAAUGUUACAUUUGUCUUGCAGCCCUGACCCAUAAAGGUGACACAAGGUGAGAGUUGAGACUAUGGCACUGUAUAAUGGAAUGCAUACUGAGAAGGUGAGAGUAUGAUGAAAUACAUUACUGGUUGCCAGAACUUUGAAGUUGAAACACAUAUCAAGGACAGGUAAGCAUCACUAGUGAUAGGGCUCCCUUAACAAUGGUUGUUUUGAGUGCUAGCAAUGCCACAUACAUGGACUAAUGACAGGUGGGAACCAGGUACGCCAGGUGAAUAGCAGCCUUGACAAUAAUAUUUGGAAAUAUUGUAACGGUAUGGUUGAGAAAUAAUCAGUUCUAAAUUACAUUAGAACCAUGACUGCCUCGAUAAUGUAUCUUUUUCUGACCAAAAUUAUGUGUAAUAUGUGAGCAUGCUAUGUGUGAACAAUAGUGUUAUGUGAUCAGUCCUAGGGGGUGGUUAACAAACCAACUGUUACUUCUUCGACAUUCUUUGUCAAGGGAAAUGGAAUCCAGGGGACGUAUAUAUAAUAAAAUGUAUCCAGAGAAGUUACGUAAAUCAUGUAGAUAAGCGAGAACUGUGUAGAACUGUGUAGAUUACACCGACCUUUAUUCUGUCCUCUAAUUCUCUAAUUUUGCAUACAUUUGUUUCCAUUUAUUGUUCUUUACUGUAGUUAUCUCCAUUUUUUUAUUUUUAUUAAGAGAAUUUAGAGACUGUGUUGUCCACGUCUGACCUUUAUUAUUUUGAUACUGGAUUUUCACAUAUUUGUCAGUGGCCCACAAACACAAAUUCCUCCUUUUCAAGAAAAAUGUUUGUUGAAAAAGGUCAGUUUAAACGCCAAGGUUUUAAAGGGCCUUAACAAAUAAAAUGUGGUUGGCCCAUUUGUAACACAAGGAAUGAUGUUACUAUGUUCUAAACACUAAUAAUAAAUCAUGUAUAUUUUACAUGUACAGGUUUUAGUUUUUUUCUUUUUAACCAAAAUGAGAAUUGUUGGCAAUUUAUAGUGAAUUGAAAGUGAAAUUCAAAUUUCAAGCUAAAGUAGCGGAACUGGAAGCACAGCUGAUUUGGAGAAUCUUUCCAGUUCAGAUACUUUUUCCUUAAAUUUAAAAUUCACUUUGAAUUUCCAAAGAUUCACAUUUUAGUCAAUAACCCUGUACAAAAACCAUGUUAUAUAUAUAUAUAUUUACAUGACUUCCUUAUUGUAAUCUAAAUUACUGUAUACUAUACAGAAAUGUUAUCACAAGUUUGCCACGUUUUCUUUUUUCAACAAUCCUUCUUCAUAAGGCAGUGCAUCUAAGGCAGUGGUUUCCAUAUCAGUCCUCAAGGCACACUGACCAGCAGGGCCGCCACCAGAAAUUUUGGGGCCCCUAACUCAGCUCAGGGUCUGGGCCCCCUGGGGCCCGCCUCCAAUCCCGCCCACAGGGUCCGCCUCCAAAUCCCACCCACAGGAAUACACACACAGACACAAACACACACAGUGAUACAAAAGGACACAGAUACACACACACAGAUACAUGAUAACAGACACACAUACUGAAACAGACAUACACGCAUAUAGGCACACACAUAUAGAGACAUACACACUGUGACGGACCGCUGGCACUCCGACUGAGUUCCUCCGCCAAUCGAUGCUCCUAGCGCUUGCCCAGGACUCAGAGCACUCCAACCAACACCAUCAGCACUGCGGACCCCACUUCCAGCGAUGCGAUCACUUCCUCCCAGCAGUACUUGCGCUGCGGCUUUGUUUUUGUUUUUUCCUAGGGAAGUCAUCUUUCUGCAGCCAAAAGGUAUGAAACAGGAGGGUGACUAAAAAUUUAUAUUUUUCAUGUGUGUCUGUUUGUGUGUGUAUAUCUGUCUGUAUGUGUAUAUGCAUGUGUUUCUGUGUAUCUGUGUGUGUAUCUGGCUGUAUGUGUAUAUGCAUGUGUGUCUGUGUAUCUGUGUGUGUAUCUGCCUAUAUGUGUAUCUGUCUGUAUGUGUAUCUGUGCGUCUGUAUAUGUGUAUCUGUCUGUAUGUGUUUCUGUGUGUGUAUCUGUCUAUAUGUGUAAAUGUAUGUGUAUUUGCCUGUGUAUCUGCAUGUGGGUCAGUAUGUGCCCCUGUGUAUGUCUGUGUAUCUGUAUGUGUGUCAGUGUGUGUGUCUGUGCAUCUCUAUGUGUUAGUGUGUGUCUGUGUUACUGCAUGUGUGUCUGUGUAUGUAGCUUCAUGUGUGUUAUUGUGUGUAUCUGCAUAUAUGUCAGGGUGUGUGUCUGUUUAUUUGUAUGUGUGUUAGCGUGUGUCUGCAUGUUUGUCAGUGAGUGUUUCUUUGUGUCUGAAUGUGUGCCAAUGUGUAUCUGUGUAUGCACCUGUGUGUCUGUGUAUCUGUCUUUGUAUGUCUGUGUAUUUGUUUGUCUGUACCUGUGCAUAUCUGAGUUUGUGUAUGUGUGUAUCUGUAUUUGUGUCAGUGUUUGCAUUUGUAUGUGUGUCAGUGUGUAUAUUUUCUCUAGGUGAAACACAAGUGUGGCUAAGUCUAUGUUCUAUGUGUGUGUGUGUUUUGUGUGUUUUCUUUAUGUGUGUCUUUGAGUGGAAGGCGUGUUUGCAUGCCACAAUGUGGGAGGGAGGGGACCAGGGGGCCCAAGCAAAUGCUUUCCCAGGAUCCAAUCAGCAUUAAAGACGGCCCUGACCAAUUUUAUCAUAAUAUACUUAUUGUACUAUCUGCUACAGGAGGGACAUAAUGAGGCAUGUUACAAGAAGCAAGGUCAGUAAGGUAUUUUGUUUUAUUAACACAUCUUGGGUUGGCCUUCCCUCGCCCAACUUCUACUAAAGUCAGAAAGAUCCAAAUCUCAAAUUUUAAGGAUGACUGUGCAGUAGCUAAACUACACUGUUGCAUUUCACACUUGGUUCCUGGUUUGUUUAAUGAUUGAAUUGAAUCAAAAUUCUAAAGCUGGAGAGAUCUGGCACUUGAUUGAGUAAGUAAACAGAUUCCAUAAGGUUUGAUUAACGUCUUCCAGCAAGGGCUGGCUGCUGCUGCUACAUUAUAAAGUUGCCACACUCCCAAGGGACGUGCUAAUCUAUGCUGAUCAAGUGUGCUGGGAAUCUGGUCUGUGCCUCCGCCUCAGUGUGUGGUAUUUGUUAUGGCUGUAUUGACUGUGUGUGAUAUAUGUAUGUAAUGGAUGUGAUAUUUGUUUAAUUCGAUUUAAAAACAUGCAUUUAGGCCAUGUGUGAAUUCAGGUGUGCAUUUUUGUAGGUGUGUAUUUUUUCAGGUGUCCCACAGUGAGAGACACUGUGAUGGAUAGAAAUGAAUGUGUGUAAAAUGUCUAUUUACUUUGUAUACCUGUGUUCAUUUAUUACUCAAAAUGGCUGCUAGAGCACCCCCUCCCAUCGACCAAGACCCUCGUGUAGUAAGAUGGCGUCUCCUUCCGGAGUUACACCUAAGAUGACGAUGACAUCAACACCCUCUGGAGGAGGUCCAUAAAGAUUAGACACUUAACACCUAACCAAUUAAAUGUUUACUUUACUAAAACACUUAACCAAUUGAAAAGUUUACUUUCUGUAGAGGAUGAUACACUUUGAAGGUCGGAGCGUGUCAGGAGCACAACCACCCCACUGUAAAACCUAAAUAUGUAUCAAUAUUAACAUGAAAAAACAAGUCCUGCACUCAAACUCCCAUCACUCCUGGAUGGCAGCAACGACCACAGUACACAUCAGCCCCAAUACAUACAGUAAAAACCAAAGGAAAAAAAGUUACCUGAGCUCUUCCCAAAUACCUAUGCAUAUUUUAACAAAUGAAGGUUUUUUAGUUUCUCCAAUGGCCAUGAGAGAGUUUAGCCCACCUGCCACGUCAAGGCAAACCUCUCAGUUAGGUCCUACAGUAACUUUUCACCUUGCUUCCUUGAGCUUCUGGCAAAGAUUUCUCUAAUGAGACAGAAAGGGGUAUUUAAAAAAAAAAUGUUAUAUACACCCCUACGUGCUUAUUCAUGUAACAAUAUUGAAAUGAAAAUGUAGGGCCUCUCUGUAUAUAUUUUGCUGGCUAACAUAUAUUGGAAAUAUAUUCUGGCCAAACUUGUAGUCAAAUAUGUUAAUGUGAAAAUAUGAAAUACAGCAAAAUGUAGUGAUUAUUUACCAGCAACAGAAAACAAGCUGACAUGAAGAGUGUUUAGGUAAUUGCAGGUGCACGUUCUUACUACUGAUUUCUUCCAUGGAAGAACGUUGCACAAACAAGCUGACAUGACAUUGAUAAGCGGGAUAAGAAGCAGUUUGGGAACACUGGGAACAUAAAGACCUUGGCUUGGGUUUCUGCAAAUUUGGUUUCUGACACAGUGUCAUUUCAGGAUACUGGAGACAGUAACUUCUCAGUGAUUCCUUUAAUCAAUGGCAGUUACCUUCUUGCUGUAAUAAACAGAUUUAUAAGUAAAUAUCUGGGCAAAUUGGUUAAAUUUACACCUAUGGAGCAACUGUAUAUAGCAGGAUUCAAAAUGUCAAGUACUUAUGCUACUAGCCAAGCCUUAAAAAUACUUGUCACUGCACACUUGGAGGGCCCAAGGCUGGGGUUAAUGUCUACUCACCAGGGCUGAAUUUUCACAUGCCAACAGCUAGUGGACUAAUGGAACAUUUUAACUCUUGUAUCAAGGAUAAUUGUCUGCCACUUUGAUCUGUAAGUUGUACAACUCUUUGAAUAGAAAUAAAGCAUUCGAAAUCCAAACCAGGAUAAUGCUUACUCAUUCUGGUGUUAGGCUAACAUACUCAAAAUGAAACUGGUUCCCAAAAGCUCAUGUCAAGCAUUUUUGUGAAAAAUAUCUGUCGAUAUAUUUGCAAGCAUACAUGAUUGCAGAUGAGACAAAGGGCCACGGGUGCUUGAUUUUCAGUAUUUAUAUGUAUGCUCAAUUGUAGCCCACACUACAUGUUCCAUUCACUAGACACUUAUACAUGCAUACAUUACAAGGAUACUGCUGGAGCCAAUCAAUAACGAACACAUGCAGAAUCCAGAGCGCUUGCCCACUCACUCAUUAAACCACCAAAUUCAAAGCUCAUAAAACAUAACUCCCCUGGUUUUCACCCCUCGCUGUUACAGGUGCCUGAUGCGGCAGCCCUAUUUAGUCUUGCAUUGCUAAGAGCCCCAGGAGAAAGCGUUGCCCUAGUGAGUUAAUCUCAGAAGAGGUGGCAUUAAGUUUAUAGAAUAUGACUUGUCAAAAAUGGGAUACUAUACAAUGAUAAAAAGUAUCCAUACAAAAAAUGUCAAAAAAGCACAUACCAUGAAUGAGAAGGAAAAGGUUUUUUUAUAAUAUAAUAAUCUACAACCACUGGGAGGGAAAAUAGAGACCAGUUAACCAAACUUCUAAUGCAUUUUGGACUUCUUUAAUCAUUAGCAUUGUGGCAGGCUCUGCAAUGUAUAAUCGCACACUGAAAUUAAAUCCUCAUUAUUUUUGCCAAAGUAAGGUGUUUAUACAAUAACUAUUACAUUUUCUUAACUUUGAAGUUGGUGUUUAUUGAAGAGUGUGCUGGAUUCUCAAUGUUGCAUUUAUAUAAUGAACAUUCUUUAUUUGCUGUUAGCUUUGUAUCCUUAAAUUUGUGUGAAAAGUUUCUUCAAACCUACAAAUAAUUAAUUGCUAAACUUGCUGACUUUUCAGAGUGAGGGAGAACAUAUAACCAGCAGACUGUAAGCAGAGGUCAAUUACUUAUUUUGUGGCACAUUAAAAAUGUCCAAACAUUUCCCAAAUUCUUCCCAUAGAGUUAAGAGAUAUGUAAAGUAUUGCAUAUUCUCACAUUCCAUUUAAAUUAUUGCAAAAUAACAUGAAAUAAAAAAAUAUAAUUUUGUGUGCCUAAUGAAUUUAAAUAUUUUAAAGCAAAUUGUAAUCUUUGUUUUUGUUAAAUUUAAGGGUCAGAAAAUGCUUCUUUCUCACUUGGAAAAUGGUUUCUGACAAUUAUGGAAUUUUAUGCUUUGAUGUUUUUGUCAUGCUUUUGUGUUUUUCUGCUUUGGACUAUCACAAUUUGAAACGUAGAAACAUAGAAUGUGACGGCAGGAAGGAGCCAUUCGGUCCAACUAUUGUGCCCAGUUUUCUAAAUUCUUUCACUAGUCCCUGGCCUUAUCUUAUAGUUAGGAUAGCCUAAUGCAUAUCCCAUGCAUGCGUAAACUCCUUUACUUUGUUAACUUCUAUCACUUUAGCUGGAAGGCUAUUCAAUGUAUCCACUACCCUCUCAGUAAAGUAAUACUUCCUGAUAUUAUUUUUCUAUCUUUGCCCCUCUUUGCGUUAUUAGUAAACAAUUUAUAUAUAUAUUUUUUAAAGUCAAUCUGUCUAUUUCUUCCUCUACAUUAACCAUAUUGACCUUUUUUUUCUUUAGUAACUACAGACCUUUUUUACAAAGAGAAUUUCUGGUCAGUUUCAUCAAGUCAACAGAACCCCGCUGUAAUUUUUGUUUGCCUAAAAUUUAUUUAUUCACUUUGAAUAAACUUUUAUUGAAUGUGAGUGAAUUUUACAUUAGUGGAUAACUUUGUGGCAGUUUCCAUAAACAGAACAAAUAAAAUAAGGUUUGAGACCAUUAAGAUUAUUUAAAUUAAGCAGACAAUGAAUUAUACAUAAGUGACUAAUGUGUUGGUUAAACAAAAAUAAUUGUACUUUGCUUAAACUAAUUAUCUCAUAGGCACUAGAGGUACAAAAUAUAAAACAUAAAAUACCCCAAAAUACAAAUAACAUACAUAUUAACCCCCCCAAAUAAUAUAUCCCUGGAUAGCCUGGAUUUGAGCACCCAACAUUUCCAAAUAGUGUUUGGAUCCAGCAAACACAGCUGAAUCGCUACCGGGGAUUAAGUUUUGACAAAUCGCACACGUGGCGCCUGCCCAAAUUAGUUCCAGAGAAUCAAUGGUAGCGAUCGGUCACCUUUGGGAGUUCCAAGACAAACCAAAAGUCAAACGGUUACGCUGGCUCAUGGGUAGCGAUUGUUCGCCUGAUUCGUGCGAACAAUCCUACCGAACAGCACUCUCCUGGUUUGUCGAGGAAGGAAGCAGGCAUUCGUACCAGAUGACCAGUGUUCGCGGGGUCAAGUGGCUUUUGGGUCCCCUUCAUUCCUUUCUCCCUUGUUUUCUAACUAUUUGAAGUCUGUUGUGGGUAAGGAGGAGUUUUGGUGGCAAAUUUGUAUAAGAAAGUGGAGCGUGGAAAAUAGCAGGCCCCUUUAGUUCUUCUCCAUACUUUAACUUGCAGUUUUUCUUUUUGGGCUCAGUUCCCAAACAGGAACCUGGAUCAUUUUGUCUGAUUUAUAAAUUGUUGCUUCCUUCUGGGGGAUCAGUGAAUGAUGAUAUUAUCCAGGAAGACUGCUGAGUUCAUUAUUCAUCUUUUGAUAGGGCUUUGGAGCUGGGCCAGGCGGCAGGGCAAGGGGGCGUGGUUGGGAAAGUCAGACAUUGAGUCUGCUUUUCACCUGCUGCUGAUCCAUCCAAACUGUUUACAUUUGCUUGGCUGUUAGUUUCAGGGUUGUUUUUUUCUAUGAUAUGUGCCUUCCCAAGGAUUGUACCAUAUUUUGUUCUUAUUAUGUUCUGAAAUAUUUAGCUCUUUUUCUAGAAUGGGUGGUUUCUCAGUUAUCAAGUAAGCACCCACCUGACGUUGACGUUGGCAGGCAGGCAUUCCCUCCAGUGGCCAUUGGAGUAACUAAAUGACCUCCAUUUAUUUAAAUAUACAUAGGGAUUGAUUUAGGAGAUAGCUUUUC
rnacentral:lncRNA from 1 species